rnacentral:lncRNA from 1 species
UUCCUCUGCUACCUCUCUCAUCAUUGGCCUGCGUUGACCGGUCAUGGCCAAGCACCGACUUGCUACCGCAGCCACUUGAAGUAUUAACUCCAUGUUUUCUUGAUUGUCUAUCUCCCUAUCUAUGAGUUCUGUAAGCUUGCCCUCCUUCACACCUUCCAUGAAGACAGACACGAGGCUUACCUUUGUUUUGGACAGUGCCCUCCUUCGUGUUAAGAGCUCCAAAAGAACAACACCAAAGCUGUAAACAUCGCUCUUAUCAGUAAGCUCAAAGUUCAAAAGGUACUCUGGAUCUAAGUAGCCCAUCGUCCCCUUCACUACUUGAACAUUUUCAUCAGCUGACCUAAUCAUGGAGCACCCAAAAUCAGAAACUUUUGCAGAGAGAUCGUGGCCUAGAAGAAUAUUAACGGACUUGACAUCUCCAUGAAAGACAGGGUGGCUAAGAGAAUGUAGGUAUGCAAGUGCUGCAGCAAUCUCAGAGGCAAUUUUAAGACGGACCUCUAGAGUUCUUUUGGACGGAUCAACUUGUGUAUGAAUAAGAUGUUGUAGAGUUUGAUUUGGAACAUAUUCAUACACCAGAACUGGAGCUUCAAACUGCAAGCUGCAACCUAGAAGCUGGACGAUGUUUUCAUGUUUGACUCGAGAAAGUAUAAGAAGCUCCUUACCAAAUUCCAUUCUCCUAUUCUCAUCAAAUCCCUUGCAGAUCUUGAUAGCAACAGGAUUAUUUUCUAAAUCAAGAUUUUGCCCUAUAUAAACAGUUCCCUGACCACCUUCACCAAUGAUUGAGCUUUUGUCAAAGUUGUUGGUGGCCAACUCAAUUUCUUCUCGGUUAUACAACUUAAAUGUUUUGUUGCUCUCUACUUUCAUCAUAUCCAUUAGCAAUUGCCCUCCAUUCUGCUGAAAGCAUUCAUCAGUCUUCCUUAUGUAUUCUUGCCUUAUUAUUUGUCGUUUGUGCUGGAUCCAUUCUUUACCAAGAUAAAGUAAUAGACCAAGCAAAACACAGGCAAAAAUUCCUGCAGGUCAGACAUGUAUCUAACUCGUAAGUUGGUAGAAGGAAAAACUAAAGAAGUAUGGUUAGACCUAUUCACUGAAACAACUACUAAUGUACUGGUUGGUUUAUAUACUUGUGUCACUUAAAUACAAUAUUCAGUCACUUCACAAAUGUGACACCAUGAGGAUAGAUUUGUUUCAGUCAUGCUUUCACAAAUCUAAUUGAACAGUGGGGAAAGAUGCUUUCACAAAUCUAAUUGAACAGUGCGGAAAGAUACGACUAUACGAGUAGUACCUAUUGGAAUUGUGACUUUUAGAGGAAUUGACUGGUCCUUCUCACAUGUCCCAGUGUAUGCGUUGCCUUGGUAAUGCGGAGGACAAAUGCAUUGAAAUCCUCCUUGAGUAUUCUUGCAAGUUCCCUUCACAGAGCAAGGGUAUUUCUCCAGAUUGUUAUUACAUUCAUCAACAUCUGCAAUGUUAGCAGUGGUAUAUAAAAUAUUGAGUAAAGAUUUCCAGUGGCAGUAGAUUAUCUCAUGACCUAAUCAAAGGUCAAAACAUCGCCUCUCUUAUUUAUACAAACAUAUCACGCAAAAGGAAUUGCACCUAUAGAUUUCAUUACCUUUGCAUCCGUCAACAAGGUACGGAUUGCCUUGGAAUCCUUUGGUGCAGUUGCAGAUGUAGCCUUGUCCAUUGUCCGAAUUAAAGCACUCACUGCUACUGCUGACACAUGCAUAUGACUCAGGCUUGUUCCGGGCUUCAUCGCAAGUUCCGUUCCCAAUAGCCCAGUCCACGAUCAACGGUGGCUGCCCAGAAUAAGUAUCGUAGAACUCCGAUGAUGUAGCGUAGCUUUUGGAGAAUGUGAAUUUGGAUGCCUCGACCAGCGCCGCGUAGCUGCAGCGGCUGGUGUUGUAGAUCUCCGACGUGUUGAAGCCUUCAUCGAACCACACCUGGUAGUACUGCAGACCCUUGGGGAUGGCUGUCUGGCAGCAGCCAAUUCCGGAGCAUGAGCCAUCAGUAAGUGUUCUUACAUCGCCUCGCCGGCACAUGGAGACACAACCGCUCAUGUACCUGCCGAUGUUAUUCUCAUCUCCAAUGUAUGCCAGUGUUCUGCACCCAACGACCGUAAACAUGUUAGCAGUCUCUGAGAAUCUAUAGGGCGUACCUGUCAGGUUCAGCCGCCAGUUUAGGUAAUCCAUUUCCUUAGUGGAGGUGUUGUAGCAAUAAGUCGACAUAUCCAUCCUGAUCCGGGCAAGACCUUGCUGCAGCGAGAUAUUCAGAACCUCUACAUCUUUAUGAAAUGGCCUGAAUGAUCCAUGGCCGACUUCCGUGCAGCUCAGGUUGAAGCCGGGCAAAGAGCAGUGAUCAGGCGAGUCGUAAGGCCCAAUGCCAAAUGGAUAUGGGAUAUCGACUUCGCCGCAUUUUCUCUGACAGUUGUUGCUAGGCGGCGGCAAUGCUUCAACAGAAGAGAGUAUUACCGCAAGCAAGAGCACUACUCCAAGACAUAGCAGUGCAUCUAAUCUAUGCGGCAGCAUGGUGUGGUGGUGUUAGUUGUCUUCCCUUGAUUGAAUCGAGCACUUGGCAGCUGCUACUCCAAGGUUGAGGAAGGUCUAUUUAUGCAAACUCCUUGUUAAGUAUAAGAUGGUUAGCGACGGUGUCGACACCAGUACAGGUCAGAUCCGUGUGUGCAUUUACUAGGACGGCCUGGUCAGAUUCCUGUGUGCAUUGACUGACUUGGAUGACCAGGUCUUUCCAUCUGGCUUCGUCCGAAUUUCUGUUUAAAAAAAUCAAUUUGCAGCAAAACGCUAGUUGCUUUCGGCAUCUUGGCAACUUGGCAGCGAGCAUGAUAGGUGAACGGGAGAGAAUCGAAUAAAAAGGCCACUGCACAUCUCCGUAUAUAUAUUUAAGUCCAAACACCACCGGAGAACUUACCUUCGUGUUUUUGUCCCGGUAAACAUUGGAUCCGGAACUAAAAUACAUUUAGUCCCGAGUCAAAAAUGAGGAACCGAAAGGAUACCAAUAGGAGGGGUUUUAGUCCUGGUUGUAAAGAUCUAGCACUGACGCCCCCUCCUUUUGUCCUGGUUGGAAAUUCCAACCGGGAAAAAAGCACCCCCACUUGUCCCGGUUGGUAAUUCCAAUCGGGACAAAAGAUUUAGUUCCGGUUGGAAUUACUAACCGGGAUAAAAGGGGUUUUUUUUCUCCUGGUUGGAAUUUUCAACAGGGACAAGUGGCCGGGGCGUCACCAGAUUUCCAUGCGGUCCUUGAGGCAGCGCUCUCCUCUCCACUUUUCUUCUUCGUUCCUCUCCUCAUCCUCUCCUCCCUCUCCUCUUCUCUCUACCAACGCUCCCCUCCUCCCCCUCUAUGCGCCGCCACUGCACCCUCACCUCCCACCGCCACCGCCCCCUCCCCCUCUGCUCGCCCCUCACUGGCAGUGAGGAGCGGUAGCGGGGCGAGGGUAGGGCAGUGGUGAGGCCGGGCAGCGGGCGGCUGAGCGGCCGGCAGGCGGAGCCGAGGCGGGCGGGGGCGGAUCCGGAGUAGAGGUGGGCGGCUGGUGGGCGGGGGCAGGCGAGCAGCAGCUGGCACGAGUGGAGGCGGAUAGAGGCGAACGGAGGCAUGCGGCGGCGGGCGGGCACAGGCGGCCGGCGCGAGUACUUUUUUUUAAAACUUUUUAGUCCCAGUUGGUAACACCAACCAACUGAGACUAAAGGUGAUCUUUAGUCCUAGAUGAAUGAUUCGGGACUAAACGACACCCCUUUUGUCUCGAAAAUUUAGUUUCGGUUGGAUUUUCGAGAUCUAUAGCCUUAUGCAACCGGAACUAAAGGUUCAUUUUCAAGUAGUGAAAGAUAACAUCAGAAGACUCGAACAACUAUAAGUGCCGUGCUUGAUUACUGUACUUGUAUUUUACGUUGAACAGUCUUGUGAAACCGGCCAUGCUUGCUUGACUGACUACCAUCUGUGGCUAAAAAUGGUUGCCGGGCCGGGGAAGACCUGCCAGGCACUGCUAAAGCAAGUCAGUCUCCACCUAUAUAUUCGUAGGCUUCCGGGUAUGUACAAACUAGUUGUCUUGUCUAGUUGUCUGUUCCUUGCCGUAGAGAAUAAUUUUUUUUCGAGUAACGUUACAUCAAGGUGAUACAAUAGAACAUGAAGAAUUCCCUACCUCUACCAAAAUAGUACACAGCCUUACAAAAGGAAACACGAAAACAGGCAGGCUAAUGACUUUCGAUCUGAAUACUAGACCGCUAUCCAUGUGCCUCGGUAAAAUGUCCUUAGCCAUUCGCGCCGAGCAUUGAGAUGCCGCUACAACCAAACCUUGUGUAGUAGGCUUCCGGAGGAUAGCCCAUGUACGAAGCCAGCGUGUGAUUGAGAAGAUAACAUGCAAAAAAGAAUGUUGUUUCUUCUCAAAUAUCACACCAUUUCUGCACAACCACAAAGACCAACAUGCAGGCGCUGCUCCAAGAAACACUAAAGGUUUGUAAGCCAUCGUGCCAAACAUAUUUUCCACACUACGAGGUUGUAAAAUACCAAAAGCCGCAUAUAUUGCGCAGAUCAUACGAGCAAGUCGACACUCAAAAAAAAGAUGUGGAAUAGUCUCACCCUUGUGACAUACUGCCCUGGUAGUUGUGCUUAGCUAGAUUAUCCUUUGUUAAGAUAACACGUCUAUGUAUUAUAAUAUUUUUAUUUUUAAUGGGAUCUUUAAUUUCAAGAGUCGUUUGUUGUUACUGGGGACCUCGUUAUAGAUCAGAGCCAAAUAAUCUCCAUUUUGAUGUAGGUUCUAAUGAAAUUCAUCUUCAUUAUGGCUUAGCACAAUAUUAGCGAUUCGUGGAAGGAGAUUGUUCCACACCACCAACUUAUUAGUAAUUCAUGGUUGGAAGAGAUUAGGGGCCGGACGAGCAGGGCCCGACGAGCAGGGACGAGCAAGGACUGACGAGGACGAGCAGGGGCUGACGAGGAUGAGCAGGGGCCGGGCAAGCAGAUCUUGCACAGGGCUGACGAGGACGAGCAGGGGUGGAGGGCGGCGAGCGAGCAGCGCGACCUGGGGCGGAGGGAGGGCGGCGUGAGCUGGGCCGGAGGAAGGGCGACGACUCCCAUGCGUGCAUGCUCGACAUGCUGGGUGCGGCGGAGGAGGACGGCGGCAGCAUGCUCCCCGACGUGCCGCUCCUCACCCGAUUCUUCUCUACCUCAUCAUGGCCGCUGCCGAGCCCUGCGACCCACGGCAAGCUCAGCUGAGGCGGGCUCAUCUUCCCCGUUCUGCGAAUCACCACUGAAUCGCGGCGUCCCUCCCACUCCCCUUCGCCUAGUCCGCUUCGGCUGCGAGCUGCGGCGGCGGCGCCGGAGGCUGCACGGGCAGCCCCUGCUCCGCCUCCGCCCCCGAAGUUGUAGGCCUGGCGCUCGCGCUCGCCGUAACCUAGCGCCGCUAGGGCGGAUGGAGGGCGGCAGGCGGGCGGCGCGACUUGGGGCAGAGGGAGGGCGGCGCGUCGGGGGAGGAGGUGGAAGAGGAAAAAGAACGUACCGAUUCGGUACAUAACCGAUGGUAGGCGUCUAAAUAACCCAGAAAGCUAGUUAGAAGCUCGUUUUCCCCUCCUUUCCAGCUUACCAUUGUAACGUGGCUUUCCACAGCUUUUAGCUCACGAAAAGCUAGGCUCAAAAGCUUGCCGUUUGUUCGGGCUUUCGACUUCUAGGGGCGAGAAGCUGGCUGAAAGCCCAAACAAAUAGGGCCUAAAGAGGGUCUUCCCAGGUGGAUGGAAUGGGAUUAAAGGACCCCUUUUUGUCUCGAAAAAUUUAUCCCGAAUGGUUUUUAGAGAGAUUUGGCCUCUACCAACCGGGACUAAAGUCGAGGUUUCUAGCAGUGAGUGCAGAGGCUGAAUACAGGGCAGUGACAAAUGCAGUUGCAGAGUGCUGCUGGCUAAGGUAAUUGCCUGGUGAAUUACAAUGUGCAGUCCUGUCAGCAACAGUGGUCUUCGGUGACAAUAUAUCUGCAGCUUACAUGGCCAGUAAUCCUGUUCAUCAUCGCGGCACCAAACACAUCGAGUUGGACAUCCAUCCCUCGGUGAGUUUUGCGUCGUUCGUUUACCGACUGAUCAGCAGAUUGCAGAUAUAAUGACCAAAGGAUUAGCUUCAGAUUUAUUCGACUCUUUUGUUUCCAGUCUGUGCAUUUUGUCAGGAGACGAUGUUCAGACUGCCGGGGGUGUUACACUGACAAUUAUAGUUUUCCAUUUGGCCCGCGGCCCGCGGGCCGGCCCACGACACGACAUUUGGCCCGGUACAGGCACGGCUCGGCACGGCGGCCUUGCAGGACCGGGCCGACCCGGCCUACACCACGGGCCGGGCCUAGGCCGCUACCUCAGGCCGUGGGCUGGCUCGGCACGGCCUAGCCCAUUCAGCCCGUGGGCUAGCAACGGCCGGCACGGCUUGUUUAGGCGUGCCACGCCUGCCUCAGCCCGGCCAACGGCCGUAUAAAACACCAGCACCCGGCGGCCCCCGGCCGAAACCCUACCUCGCGCCCGCACCGCUCCCGCAUUGAGCCGCCUCUCGCCCUCUCCAGCGCUCCCCUCGCUCCCUCCCGGCUCCUCGCCUCCUCCCUCCGUCCCUCGAUGCCUGCGCCUCCUCCCCUAGAUCCUCCGCCGUCCUUGCCCGCCGUCGUCUCACACUGUCCCUCCCCUCUCAGAUCCGGCGUCCUCGCCCACCGCCGGCUCGCCGGUGGCCCCUUCGCCUCCCUCUCCCCGUAACUACUCUUCCACUCUCAGAUCUGGCGUCCUUGCCUGCCGCCGGCUUGCCGGUGGCCCCUCCGCCUCCCUCCCCCUGUAACUGCUCCUCCACUCUCAGAUUCGGCAUCAUCGCCUGUCGCCGGCUUGCCGGUGGCCCCUCCACCUCCCUACCCCCGUAACUGCUCCUCCCCUCUCAAAUCCAGCGUCCUUGCCCGCCGCCGGCUCACCGGUCACCCAUCUACCUCCCUCCCCGUAACCCCACUUCUCCCCUAGCCCCUCUGGCCCUCCGCCUUCCUUCCCGGCUCCUCGCCUCCUCCUCCCGACCCCUCGCAGAUCCGCCUCACUCCCUGGUUCCCCACCAUUGCGGUUCGUCUUCUCCGGCUUAGGGCUCCGGCUGCACAGGUAAACAACCUCCUCUCGUUCCUCUUCUUGUUUUGACCCCUCGCAGAUCCGCCUCCCUCACUUUUCUCCUCUUGCAGGUCUCCUAUAGGUGCCGCGCGUUGUUGAGGAACGGAACUGCCGAGGCGACGACGUCAAUGGUGGAGGGCUUGAGGGUGUGUUUCCUGUUCCAGGUGUGCUCUUCAUUUGAGGUCUUAGGAUGGACGACAACUAUCCAACCUGCCUCAAUGAUGAGUUGCGGUUGAUGGGGGGAGACCGGAGAUGAUAAUUCUGAUUUGGAGGCGGAUCGGCGGGCGCUGCUCGGUGGUGCUGUCCUCGAUUCUCAGCCAGGUAGUGGAGAUUCUCCACCACCUGCUGCUACUGGCUCUGGUGCUUGUCCGGGCUCGGAGAGUACGGGCAGCAAGAGGACUCGUUCUUGCACCUCUAAGGUAUGGGACGACUUUGAGCCACUAUACGGGGUAAUGAAUGACAAGAGGGUAAGAACUGGUGCUAAGUGCCUACAUUGCAAGAAAGUUUAUUUUGGUAAGUCUUCUAGUGGUACUGGACACUUGCAUAGGCACCUUCCAAAGUGCCCAGUCUUGCUAGGUGCUUCACGUAUGGCUCAGUCCCAACUCAAGUACAAUCCUGAUGGCUGUCUCCAUAUGUGGGAGUACAAUCCUAAUGUUGCUCGUAUCCAGUUGUGCAGAUUGAUUGCUAGACUAGACCUUCCUUUAUGCUUUGGUGAGUCUGAUGCAUUUGAGGAGUAUAUUAAUAUUGCUCAUAAUCCUUGAUUCAGUUGUGUGUCUAGGCAAACCACCACCAAAGAUUUUGUUAAGUAUUUUGAUGAGUGUCGUACUAAACUUGUGGCUUCUUUGCAAUAUGUUUCCUUUGUUGCUCUUACAUCUGCCAUAUGGUCUGGUAAUGCUAAGGAAGAUUACCUUAGUGUGGUUGUUCAUUAUGUUAAUGCUGAUUGGCAACUAGAGAAGGCCUUCGUUUCAUUGAUGUUUCUCAUAAUGCUGAUAAUAUUGCUGAGCGCAUUACAUCUGUUGCUACUGAUUAUGGUUUAAAUGAUAAGAUAUACUUUUGUGUUUCUUGACAUCUGCCCACAACAUAUACUUUUGUGUCUGCAGGAGCAUGAAUGGAACAUCUUGUUUACCGUUCCAUUCUCUAAUGCUGAUGGGCACGUUGUCCCUUACAAUAGCCUUGCACCGACUCACGAACUUUUUAGCCACAUGUUUGGGAGCAAUUGGCUUGCCCUUUUCCAUCAAUUCCGUGAUGUGAAGCCUUUCCUCCAUAAUCUUGGUAUGACCUCAUGGCUUGUUUUGCUUCAUUGAUCCAGAGGGCUAAUAGUUCAAGAUUCAUUAAUUAGUACAUAGUAAUAAUAAAUAUGAAAUUAUAGAUGGGUUAAAAUAAUGAAAAUGAUAUAUAGCUCGCCGGUACCUUCCGUGACGGCAAGGCUUUAUUCCGCAUUGUCAUCAACGUGGUGCUUGGGCUCAUCAUUGCCAUCACUGGACAUGUUGAGCAACAUGUCUGCCUGGCUACCCUCAUCCUCGGUGUACGUUAUUAGAACGUUGGAGCCACUACCACCAGCAAUAAUCUCCUCCAUUAUAUACCUUGCAUCCUCUUCAUAUCCCAUCUCAACUAAUUUAAACACACAUGAAAUCAUAGAUAAAUUAAAUUAAAAAUUGUAUCAUAGACUUUGAUGUAGCAUCAAUGAAUCAUUCAGCAUCAAAGUUUGAUUUUGUUGAUUUCAUGAAACCAAAACUUCACUAUUCUAGUGGUUGAAUGAAGCAGUGCAUAAACUAUAAUAAAAAAAUAUAUUCAAAUUUUGGUUGUACAUAUAUGCUGUUAUGCAUGAAUAUUUGGAUGAGCAUAAUAAAAAUUUGUGCCAGUUUGUCUAGCAAUAUUCUAGUCUUCUACAUUUAACAUCAGGUUAAGUGAGUUUAUAUUGGUUUUCGUAAUGGAAGGUUCCACUUGGUCUGUCUCUUAAAGUUUGACUGUAACAUACGGUUGAUUUGUUUUUUAAAUUAACGUCCACAUUUCAAAUAGGUUCAGGCGCACGGACGGCGGGGGCAGCGCUCGGAUGUAAGGGCGGCACGCGGAACAACAUGCUGGGGCAGGCUACAAGGUGGGCGCGAUGGUGGGGGUCCUGGACGGUGGCAGGGAAGGGGCGCGGGUGAAGGUGGGGUGCGCGAAUCGACGGCGAGGGUCUUGGAUGGGGCGGGCAACAACAACAAUGGCAAGGGUGGACGGAGGCGGGGGGAGCUCGGAUGGUAGGCAGGCUGGGGCACCGCGAGUGACGGCGUCCGGGGCAGGAGGACGGCGGCGGCCGGUGCAGGCGGAUGGCGGCUGGGUGGUAGAUGGGAGCGAGCGGACGACAGCAGCCAAGGCAGGCGGAUGGUGGCAGGGUGGUGGACGGGAGACGAGCGGGCGCGGGGCAGCGGAUCGAUCUAGUGGAGUGUGUGGGAGACGAGGCAUAAGGGAGAAGGGGCGUGUCUUAACCCUCCUAGUCCUGGGUUGACUUUGCAACCGGCACUAAGGGGCCUUUAGUCCUGGUUGCAAAUUCAACCCAAGACUAAACCCCCCCCCCCCCCCCCGCUUAGUCCUAGUUGCAAUUUGCAAGGGUGCUUUUCGCGUAGGAGCUGAAAACACACCCUUUAGUCCUAGUUCCAAAUUGCAACCAGGACUAAAGGGUGGGCCUUUAGUUCCUGGUUGACUUUGCAACUGGGACUAAAGGCUCUUUAGUGGGGUUUUGCAUUUCCCGCUUGUUUUCAGUUAUUUUCCACUUUACAUAUUUUGAACAUGAAAUUAUAUUAAAUUAGCAAGUAUAUUUAAAAUAAGUUUAAAUCAGUCAUUAAUUCUAUAUUAGUUGAUUAAGUUUUCAAAAUAAUUAUUUUGAUGCAUCACUAUCAUCAACAAACUCUUCAAUUAAAUAAUUUCAACGUGCAAAAAAUGCAAUUGAUGUAUGUGGUUAAGUUAACAUUGUUUAUAUUGAUCAAAUAAAUGUUCACCAUAGAGAUUACAAUAAAAUUCAAAGGUUUUGAUGGCCAUAGAGCAUUACAUAAAGGUUAACCAUAUUUAGUGCAUUACAAUGUAAUGUUAAAAAACUUCUUGUUGAUGAAAAUUCUUUGGUCAUGAUCGUGGUGCAAGUACGGAGCCUCUUCUUUGGCUAGCUUCAUGCUUGGGUCAACUUCGAAAGCGAAUGGAGGCAUAUCAUCAAACUGAUCAUAAUCAUCUGACUAGUCUGUUUUAUCCUCGACUCCCACGAUUUUUCUUUUACCUGGAAGAACUAUGUGGCGCUUUGGCUCCCUUUCUUUAUCUUCUGAAUUUUUCUUGGGUUUGCUAGACAUAUCCUUCACAUAGAAAACCUGGUGCACAUCAUUAGUAAGGACGAAUCGUUCAUCAUUGUAUCCAGUGUUGGUAAGGUCAACUAUUGUCAUUCCAUACUGAUCUUUCAUUACGCCACCUCCAAUUAGCUUCACCCAUUGGCAGCAAAACAGAGGGGUGUUCAGCGGUCCGUAUUCGAGUUUCCUGAUCUCCUCCAUGAAACCAUAAUUUGAGUCCCUGCUCCUGUUUGUGUCUAUGGCAUCAAUGCGGACACCACUAUUAUGGUUGGUGCUUAUCUGAUCUUGGGCUCUCGUGUAAAAUGUAUAACCAUUUACCUCGUAACCUUGGAAUUUCACGAUUAUGCUAGUAGGUCCCCUGGCUAACCAAGCGAGUUGUUCAUGAAUCACGGAGUUACUCAUAAGGUGUUGACGCAACCAAGAGGUUCAUAUCCAUGUGAUUAUAUAUAAUCCACGCAUCAGAUUUCGUCGAGUAUUAGGAAAAUAAAAUCCGCUUGUGCUCCUCGAUAUACUAAGCCACAAAGAAUGAGUGUUGCAAAACAGUGAAGUGUGCUUUCUGGAAUAAAUUAGUAUCAUUGCUCAAACUUGAUUUCCUUCCAAUGGUGCCCGUUCCGUGCAACCUCCCCUUGUGGCAUCAUGUUGGAACCCCAAUCGAAUUAAUUGAGUCAAUAAAAUCAACACAAAACUCAAUGACCUCUUCUGCUCCAUAUUCCUUGGUGAUGCUUCCUUCUGGACGGGCACGAUUAAGUACAUAGUUUUUUAGAAUGACGUGAACCUCUCGAAAGGUCACAUAUUGUGCAGGAAUACUGGACCGAGAAUAGUAAUCUCUUUGACUAGGUGAACUAGGAGGUGCGUCAUAAUAUUGAAGAAGGAUGGUGGAAAUACCAACUCAAAGCUAACAAGACAUUGUACCAUAUUGUUCUGUAGCUUUACUAGCUUGGUUGGAUCGACUGCCUUCUGCAAAAUCACAUUGAGAAACACGCAUAGCUUUACGAGUGCCAAUCGUACAUUCUCUAGUAGAAUACCCCUCAGUGUAACCGGAAGCAACUGGGGUAUCAACAUGUGGUAGCCAUGGGCCUUGAGAUUUGUGAUCUUCUUUUCUUUCAUAUUUAUUAUUCCCUUUAUAUUCAAGGAGUACCUAGACGGAACCUUAAUACUAUUCAUGCAUUCAGACAUGGUAUCCUUUUGUUCCUUGUGGAGAGUGUAAUUGGCAUGAUGUAAGUAGUGCUAUCUGUUAUCUCCCUUUUCUGAUUGUAGGUCAUCUUGUUGCUUCAUACAUUUCAGGUCUUGUCGUGCUUCCAAUGUAUCUUUUGAGUUCCCAUAACAACCCAUGAAGCCUAGCACGUUCAUGCAAAGAUUUUUGUUAGGUGCAUCAUAUCUAUUGCAUUGCGGACCUCUAGGAUUUCCCAAUAAGGUAGCUCCCAAAAUAUAGACUUCUUCUUCCACAUGGGUGCACGUCCGUUAUCAUCGUUCGGAAUAGGUUCGCUACCAAGACCCUUUCCAAAGAGUACCCUUACAUCCCUUAUUAUCUCAAAUACACGCUUUCCAUUAUAGUGUGCAUGUUUUUUACGAUAAUCUGGCGCCCCUUUGAAAUGCAUCCCUUUCUUUCUUAACGGGUAGUUACCAGGAAGAAAUCGAUGAUGGCCCAUAUACAUGACCUUCCUAUAGUCUUUCAAAUACAUACUAUCUGUGUUGUCUAAACAGAGGGUGCACGCUCGAUAUCCCUUAUUUGUCUGUCCUGAAAGGUUACUCAAUGCAGAUCAAUGCUCGUAGGUCAAAGCUCUCUUGUUUAUUAUCAUCCUACAAAUGUACACAUUCUUCCUUCCAGAGCAGUAAAAGUUCAUCAACCAAUGGUCCUAGGUACACGUCAAUAUCAUUGUCAGGUUGUUUUGGGUCUUGGAUAAGCACUGACAGCAUAAUGAACUUCCGCUUCAUGCACAGCCAAGAAAGAAGGUUGAACAUACAUAGGGUAAUAGGCCAAGUACUAUGACCACUACUCAACUCACCGAAUGGAUUGAAUCCAUCAGUACUUAAACUAAACCUUAUGUUCCUUGCAUCACCUUCAAUGUCUGAAAAUACUCUAUCAAUUGAUCUCCACUGGACUCCAUCCGUGGGGUAUCCCAAUAUCUCAUCUUGCUUGCAUUCUUCUUUGUGCCAUCACAUCAACUUAGCAUUUGACUUGUUUCUAAACAAAUGCUUCAAAUGUGGUAUUAUAGGGAAAUACCACAUCACCUUCACGGUAACUCUCUUCUUGGGAGGCUACCCCUCGACAUCACCAGGAUCAUUUCGCCUGAUCUUAUACCGUAUUGCUCCACAGAUAGGACAAGCAUCCAAUUUCUCGUAUUCAUCAUCACGAUAGAGGAUAUAGUCAUUAGGGCAUACGUGUAUCUUCUGAACCUCCAAUUCUAGAGGGCAAAUAACCUAUUUAGCUUCAUAUGUUGUGGACGAAAAUUCAUUAUUCUCGGGAAGAAUGUUCUUUACAAUUUUCAAUAUCCCCUGAAAUGCCUUAUCGGACACACCAUUUUUUGCCUUCCAUUACUGCAAUUCUAGUGUGGUACCUAGUUUUUUAUGCCCCCGCUUGCAAUCUGGGUACAAUAAUUUUUUGUGAUCAUCUAUCAUGUGCUGCAACUUUCUUGAUUCCUUCUCAGUUUCACAAUCUCUGUGUGCAUCCUGUAGUACCUGACCAAGAUCAUCAAUAGGGUCAUCUUCUGCAAACUCAUCUUCAUCAGCCUCGCCCAUUUAGCAUCUACAAAAGUUUGGCCUGCAGCCCAGUCCGGAAUGUUGUUAUCAUCCUCCUCUUCUUCGUCGUCUUCCAUUAUAACCCUGCUUUUGCCGUGUUUGGUCCAAAUUAAAUAGUUAGCCAUGAAAUUGUAUCUAAAUAAGUGGUUCUGAAUAAUCCCUAAGGAAGAGUAGUCCUUAUUGUUACUGCAUUGGAAGCAUGGAUAACAUAUGAAUCCAUUCUUUGGCUUGUUGGCUUUGACCCCUUCGAGAAAAUAAUGCAAGCCAUCAACAAACCCCUUGGUCCAUCUGUCCUAGUUAAACAUCCAUUGCCGGUCCAUCUAUAUCGUAUUACGUGUGAAAUGGACAUAGGUCUUUGUAUUAGAUAAAGAACUUGAUCAAUAUUAGAUAGGGGGGAAAUAGAGUUAAUGUGAUUAUAAUAUUUAGUCCUUGCAAAAAACAUUAGAUAAAUAAAUUAUUACAUGAGAAAUGGACAUAGGUCUUCGUAUUAGAUAAAGAACUUGAUCAAUAUUAGGUACGGAAAAAAAUAGAGGAAAUGUGUUUAUAAUAUUUGGUCCUUGCAAAAAAUAUUAGAUAAAUAAAUUAUUACAUGAGAAAUAGACAUAUGUCUUCAUAUUAGAUAAAGAACUUGAUCAAUAUUUAUAAUUUACACUAAUCAACCUUCAUGAAGAUAAAAACAAUUCACAUGAAAAUUACACCAUUCAAAAUUCAUAACAUUCACUAAAGAUACAUAUAAAGAUUACACUCAUAAUAAGACAAUAAAGAUACAUAUACACUAAACAUUACAGACGCUCCAUAGUGAAGUUCACGUAGUCAAUUAUCCUAAAAUAAUGGUACAACAUAGCAGAAUGUUCGCCCUCCAAGUCAUCUUUGCACAUAACUCAAUUUUCUAUGAAAUCUAUCGAGAGUCACCUUCACAUAUCCAAUACCAUAAAAUAAUGGUACAACAAAAGAUCUUCGAGUCCACGUACUCAGGCUAAAUAACAUAAAGGAAUCUUGAAAUAAUUGUCCAAAUAUCUUUUGGAGCAAGUGCCACAUUCUUACAAUAGAAGUAUGGUGGCACACACACAAUAGCCCAUCCAGGCAAAAAAUCUGUUCACUGAGCAUGACCCAUGGCGGCAAGCCAAAACCAACCAAAAGCCGCUAGGUCAAGGUCAGUGAACAGAUCUUUGCCUGAAGAUGAUAUUGGGCCAGCAUACUUCUAUUAUGAGAAUUAGGCUCCAAAAGGCAUUUGGAAUAUUAUUUCAAGAUUCUUUUAUGAUAUUCAGCCCGAGUUUGUGGACUCGAAGUUCUUCUGUUGUACCAUUAUUUUCUGGUACUGGAGGAGCGGAGGUGACUCUCCAUAGACUUCGUAGAAAGUUGAGUUCUGUGCAUAGAAUAAUGUAUGCACACUCAUGCCAUGUGCAGACACUGUUCUCUGGAUUAGAGGAGCGGAGGUGGUACAACCAUUGCCGGUCCAUCUGCAUCGUAUUACGUGGAAAAUGAACAUAGGGCUUCGUAUUACAUUAAGAACUUGAUCAAUAUUAGGUAGGGGAAAAAUAGAGUAAGUAUAUUUAUAUUAUUUAGUUCUUGGAAUAAACAUGAGAUAAAUAAACUAUUGGUCAAAGAAUUGCAAUUAUUGUUAAAUUACAGUGACAUGAAAAAUUGUAGCAAUGACCAAAUUCUAUUUCUUACACCUACAAUUUAUUUACCUUAAUUUUAUUACAAUGACUAAAUAUUAGAAACACAUUUACUCUAGUUUUUCCCAUACCUAAUAAUGAUCAAGUUCUUUUAACUAAUACAAAUCAUAUAUAACAGGAAGCUAUCCAUCAAAUUCUAGGUCAAAAACAUGUAUAAAUGAAAAUCCUCUCCAUUCUCCCUCAUUCUAAAAAAAAUCAUUUUUCUCCCUCUCUCAAGCAUAAAAUAAAGCAUAAUAACAAUAAAUGAAGGGAAGAUGAAGUGCCUAACCUUCACAACACUUUGGAUGAGUGAAAUCCUCACGGAAAUGAGGAAAAAAAUUCAGGUAGCACCUCCCCUAAGGUUGUUUGCUCGCCAUGGAGAGGAGGAUGAAGCUCUCGGUCUCUGGUGGAGUGGCUCGGGCUGGGGGAGGAAGAAGAGUUUCAGGCUGGUUGGAUUUUUAGGGGAGGAAGAAGAGUUUCCAACUGGGAUAAAAGAGCCCCUUUUGUCCCGGUUGGUAAUUCCAACCGACACUAAACCUUUUGUAAUUCCAACCGGGAUAAAAGGGAGUGGGCGUCGGUGCGAUAUUUCUAGCCGUUACAAUUGGGACUAAAGGGGGUGUAGUCCUGGUUGGUCUUUACAACUGGAACUAAAGGAAGCUUUAGCAACGCCCCCCCCCCCCACGGUGACCUUCGAUGCCUCAUUCUUGACCCGGGAUGUCCCGGGUCCAAAGUCAACCGGUACAAAAGUACCUAGAUGGAAGGUCAAUUCUCUACUAGUAGGUUAUACUUUCGCCAUAUGCUUAUGGCUCAUUUUAUGUUAACGUGGGUUGGUAUAUACUUAUACCUUAGUAUUCAGGUGCUAAUAAAAUUUGACCAACUAAAAUUGCUUAUUGUAGUAAACCAGUAAGCCUCUCCUUGUUUAAGCCUUGCAUUCAUUUGUUCCCCACACUUGCUGAGUACGACAUGCGCUUACCCUUGCUAUAACCAAUGUUGCUCAGAAGAAGAGGCUGCUACGAAGUUGUUGUGAAGAUGAUGCUGAGUUCUAGGCGUACGCAACCCCCGAUCGAUUUCCUGUGAAGUUUGGAGCCUCCAUUUUCAAGAUUACGCUGUAAAUCUAUUAUAGACUCUCUUUCCUUUCGUGAUAGCGUUGCUGUUACUCACUUAUGAUGUCACUAUAUGUAUGAAAUUAGAUCCUGGCAUCCAUAUAGGUAGCACUUGGUUUUGUUUCAAAAUUGGGUGUGACAGAAGCUAUGCACGAGGCAAGAGGUUGCGGGUUCGAAUCACACGCACCGCACAAGCAUAUAUUUCGCGUGAAAAAUUGCGUGACUUGAGCGAAUGUGUGAACAUCCCCGGAAUUUAUAAUAUUUUUUUCGGGACUAAAGAUCCCGACCUUGGUCCUGAAUUCGUAAUCCUGGUUGGGAAAUCGGGCUUUAUAUGAGGUUUCCAAACAAGGACUAAAGCAGAGUUGUUCGUGUACUGCACUGCACGUCAAAUGUGCCGCCGCGUGAGAAACACGCUCUUUUGUCAGUUUACACCGGAUGAUUGAUAGAAGCAGGCGAAACUGAUGCCAGGUUGGCAACUUUUGCCGGGUCAUCGCACUCGCCCGCGCCCUCCUCCUGUCUUCCCAUCGAGUAGACUGACCAAAAAGGUGUGGGUAGGUGCUUCACGAAGUAUCACCAUCAAGCCAACACGUAUUUACUCAGUCAACCAACGCACGAGGGUUUUAUGUUUUCUUUUCAUUCUAUCAUGAAAGCAGUACAUCUCUCGCGACUUUGACAAGUUUACUCAGUCAACCAUUCUACCAAAGAAGAAGAUGAUGAUGAUGGCGGAGAAAAAGGGGAAGAAAGAGGGGUAGGGUGAGGAUCGGGUGGAGGAGAGUGUGUGCCAGGUACGGUGGUUUGUUUUUUUCUUGCAUGGGUGCAAAAGUAUCUGCUACAGUUUAUGCUAACAUUCAACCCUCUUUGAUCGAAAGGUUAAAGGGCUUCAAUCUUAUAUAAUGUUAUGCGAAGUUAUUCGAAAUGAUGCAUUGCUAAAUGUGUUAGGCAUCUUGCUGGCUCCUGUUAUAGUGUUAUUACAACGAAACUUGAGUUCCUAUAGAAAGUAUGUACAAAUUUUCUAUACCAUAACUUCAUUGCAUCUUUUAAGAGAAGCAUAAGUGGCAACCUUAUGAAAACCAUAUACAGACUAUUAAAAAUGGUACUAGAAUCCUGUGAAUUAAUUGAAACAAAUAUCAAGCUCCAUGUGUUAUGAAACUUGUGCUUCCCUUUUAUAGUCCUUCAUUUUUUAUCACUAACUUUUAGCACCGGAAGACCAAGGCAUUAUUAUACUAGUUAUCACGUGCUUCAACAAAUUCAGUCAUCUGUCCAUGUUGAUUUCAUCUUGCAAACUCUAUGCUCAUCGAGGCUUUCUUCUGGAGGAUGUAAUAAUCUGUGCUUUCUUCACUAGUAUAGUCACCCGAUGAAUUGUCAGACGACCGUCCCUGCAUCAUGAGUGCACUAACACCAUGAAACCCUUGAGUGCGAGGUGGUACUGGACGUGCCAAUCGCUGGAGUUCCUCUGCUACCUCUCUCAUCAUUGGCCUGCGUUGACCGGUCAUGGCCAAGCACCGACUUGCUACCGCAGCCACUUGAAGUAUUAACUCCAUGUUUUCUUGAUUGUCUAUCUCCCUAUCUAUGAGUUCUGUAAGCUUGCCCUCCUUCACACCUUCCAUGAAGACAGACACGAGGCUUACCUUUGUUUUGGACAGUGCCCUCCUUCGUGUUAAGAGCUCCAAAAGAACAACACCAAAGCUGUAAACAUCGCUCUUAUCAGUAAGCUCAAAGUUCAAAAGGUACUCUGGAUCUAAGUAGCCCAUCGUCCCCUUCACUACUUGAACAUUUUCAUCAGCUGACCUAAUCAUGGAGCACCCAAAAUCAGAAACUUUUGCAGAGAGAUCGUGGCCUAGAAGAAUAUUAACGGACUUGACAUCUCCAUGAAAGACAGGGUGGCUAAGAGAAUGUAGGUAUGCAAGUGCUGCAGCAAUCUCAGAGGCAAUUUUAAGACGGACCUCUAGAGUUCUUUUGGACGGAUCAACUUGUGUAUGAAUAAGAUGUUGUAGAGUUUGAUUUGGAACAUAUUCAUACACCAGAACUGGAGCUUCAAACUGCAAGCUGCAACCUAGAAGCUGGACGAUGUUUUCAUGUUUGACUCGAGAAAGUAUAAGAAGCUCCUUACCAAAUUCCAUUCUCCUAUUCUCAUCAAAUCCCUUGCAGAUCUUGAUAGCAACAGGAUAAUUAUCUAAAUCAAGAUUUACNNNNNNNNNNNNNNNNNNNNNNNNNNNNNNNNNNNNNNNNNNNNNNNNNNNNNNNNNNNNNNNNNNNNNNNNNNNNNNNNNNNNNNNNNNNNNNNNNNNNNNNNNNNNNNNNNNNNNNNNNNNNNNNNNNNNNNNNNNNNNNNNNNNNNNNNNNNNNNNNNNNNNNNNNNNNNNNNNNNNNNNNNNNNNNNNNNNNNNNNNNNNNNNNNNNNNNNNNNNNNNNNNNNNNNNNNNNNNNNNNNNNNNNNNNNNNNNNNGGCAAAAAACUAAAGAAGUAUGGUUAGACCUAUUCACUGAAACAACUACUAAUGUACUGGUUGGUUUAUAUACUUGUGUCACUUAAAUACAAUAUUCAGUCACUUCACAAAUGUGACACCAUGAGGAUAGAUUUGUUUCAGUCAUGCUUUCACAAAUCUAAUUGAACAGUGGGGAAAGAUGCUUUCACAAAUCUAAUUGAACAGUGCGGAAAGAUACGACUAUACGAGUAGUACCUAUUGGAAUUGUGACUUUUAGAGGAAUUGACUGGUCCUUCUCACAUGUCCCAGUGUAUGCGUUGCCUUGGUAAUGCGGAGGACAAAUGCAUUGAAAUCCUCCUUGAGUAUUCUUGCAAGUUCCCUUCACAGAGCAAGGGUAUUUCUCCAGAUUGUUAUUACAUUCAUCAACAUCUGCAAUGUUAGCAGUGGUAUAUAAAAUAUUGAGUAAAGAUUUCCAGUGGCAGUAGAUUAUCUCAUGACCUAAUCAAAGGUCAAAACAUCGCCUCUCUUAUUUAUACAAACAUAUCACGCAAAAGGAAUUGCACCUAUAGAUUUCAUUACCUUUGCAUCCGUCAACAAGGUACGGAUUGCCUUGGAAUCCUUUGGUGCAGUUGCAGAUGUAGCCUUGUCCAUUGUCCGAAUUAAAGCACUCACUGCUACUGCUGACACAUGCAUAUGACUCAGGCUUGUUCCGGGCUUCAUCGCAAGUUCCGUUCCCAAUAGCCCAGUCCACGAUCAACGGUGGCUGCCCAGAAUAAGUAUCGUAGAACUCCGAUGAUGUAGCGUAGCUUUUGGAGAAUGUGAAUUUGGAUGCCUCGACCAGCGCCGCGUAGCUGCAGCGGCUGGUGUUGUAGAUCUCCGACGUGUUGAAGCCUUCAUCGAACCACACCUGGUAGUACUGCAGACCCUUGGGGAUGGCUGUCUGGCAGCAGCCAAUUCCGGAGCAUGAGCCAUCAGUAAGUGUUCUUACAUCGCCUCGCCGGCACAUGGAGACACAACCGCUCAUGUACCUGCCGACGUUAUUCUCAUCUCCAAUGUAUGCCAGUGUUCUGCACCCAACGACCGUAAACAUGUUAGCAGUCUCUGAGAAUCUAUAGGGCGUACCUGUCAGGUUCAGCCGCCAGUUUAGGUAAUCCAUUUCCUUAGUGGAGGUGUUGUAGCAAUAAGUCGACAUGUCCAUCCUGAUCCGGGCAAGACCUUGCUGCAGCGAAAUAUUCAGAACCUCUACAUCUUUAUGAAAUGGCCUGAAUGAUCCAUGGCCGACUUCCGUGCAGCUCAGGUUGAAGCCGGGCAAAGAGCAGUGAUCAGGCGAGUCGUAAGGCCCAAUGCCAAAUGGAUAUGGGAUAUCGACUUCGCCGCAUUUUCUCUGACAGUUGUUGCUAGGCGGCGGCAAUGCUUCAACAGAAGAGAGUAUUACCGCAAGCAAGAGCACUACUCCAAGACAUAGCAGUGCAUCUAAUCUAUGCGGCAGCAUGGUGUGGUGGUGUUAGUUGUCUUCCCUUGAUUGAAUCGAGCACUUGGCAGCUGCUACUCCAAGGUUGAGGAAGGUCUAUUUAUGCAAACUCCUUGUUAAGUAUAAGAUGGUUAGCGACGGUGUCGACACCAGUACAGGUCAGAUCCGUGUGUGCAUUUACUAGGACGGCCUGGUCAGAUUCCUGUGUGCAUUGACUGACUUGGAUGACCAGGUCUUUCCAUCUGGCUUCGUCCGAAUUUCUGUUUAAAAAAAUCAAUUUGCAGCAAAACGCUAGUUGCUUUCGGCAUCUUGGCAACUUGGCAGCGAGCAUGAUAGGUGAACGGGAGAGAAUCGAAUAAAAAGGCCACUGCACAUCUCCGUAUAUAUAUUUAAGUCCAAACACCACCGGAGAACUUACCUUCGUGUUUUUGUCCCGGUAAACAUUGGAUCCGGAACUAAAAUACAUUUAGUCCCGAGUCAAAAAUGAGGAACCGAAAGGAUACCAAUAGGAGGGGUUUUAGUCCUGGUUGUAAAGAUCUAGCACUGACGCCGCCCCCUCCUUUUGUCCUGGUUGGAAAUUCCAACCGGGACAAAAGCACCCCCACUUGUCCCGGUUGGUAAUUCCAAUCGGGACAAAAGAUUUAGUUCCGGUUGGAAUUACUAACCGGGAUAAAAGGGGUUUUUUUUCUCCUGGUUGGAAUUUUCAACAGGGACAAGUGGCCGGGGCGUCACCAGAUUUCCAUGCGGUCCUUGAGGCAGCGCUCUCCUCUCCACUUUUCUUCUUCGUUCCUCUCCUCAUCCUCUCCUCCCUCUCCUCUUCUCUCUACCAACGCUCCCCUCCUCCCCCUCUAUGCGCCGCCACUGCACCCUCACCUCCCACCGCCACCGCCCCCUCCCCCUCUGCUCGCCCCUCACUGGCAGUGAGGAGCGGUAGCGGGGCGAGGGCAGGGCAGUGGUGAGGCCGGGCAGCGGGCGGCUGAGCGGCCGGCGGGCGGAGCCGAGGCGGGCGGGGGCGGAUCCGGAGUAGAGGUGGGCGGCUGGUGGGCGGGGGCAGGCGAGCAGCAGCUGGCACGAGUGGAGGCGGAUAGAGGCGAACGGAGGCAUGCGGCGGCGGGCGGGCACAGGCGGCCGGCGCGAGUACUUUUUUUUAAAACUUUUUAGUCCCAGUUGGUAACACCAACCAACUGAGACUAAAGGUGAUCUUUAGUCCUAGAUGAAUGAUUCGGGACUAAACGACACCCCUUUUGUCUCGAAAAUUUAGUUCCGGUUGGAUUUUCGAGAUCUAUAGCCUUAUGCAACCGGAACUAAAGGUUCAUUUUCAAGUAGUGAAAGAUAACAUCAGAAGACUCGAACAACUAUAAGUGCCGUGCUUGAUUACUGUACUUGUAUUUUACGUUGAACAAUCUUGUGAAACCGGCCAUGCUUGCUUGACUGACUACCAUCUGUGGCUAAAAAUGGUUGCCGGGCCGGGGAAGACCUGCCAGGCACUGCUAAAGCAAGUCAGUCUCCACCUAUAUAUUCGUAGGCUUCCGGGUAUGUACAAACUAGUUGUCUUGUCUAGUUGUCUGUUCCUUGCCGUAGAGAAUAAUUUUUUUUCGAGUAACGUUACAUCAAGGUGAUACAAUAGAACAUGAAGAAUUCCCUACCUCUACCAAAAUAGUACACAGCCUUACAAAAGGAAACACGAAAACAGGCAGGCUAAUGACUUUCGAUCUGAAUACUAGACCGCUAUCCAUGUGCCUCGGUAAAAUGUCCUUAGCCAUUCGCGCCGAGCAUUGAGAUGCCGCUACAACCAAACCUUGUGUAGUAGGCUUCCGGAGGAUAGCCCAUGUACGAAGCCAGCGUGUGAUUGAGAAGAUAACAUGCAAAAAAGAAUGUUGUUUCUUCUCAAAUAUCACACCAUUUCUGCACAACCACAAAGACCAACAUGCAGGCGCUGCUCCAAGAAACACUAAAGGUUUGUAAGCCAUCGUGCCAAACAUAUUUUCCACACUACGAGGUUGUAAAAUACCAAAAGCCGCAUAUAUUGCGCAGAUCAUACGAGCAAGUCGACACUCAAAAAACAGAUGUCGAAUAGUCUCACCCUUGUGACAUACUGCCCUGGUAGUUGUGCUUAGCUAGAUUAUCCUUUGUUAAGAUAACACGUCUAUGUAUUAUAAUAUUUUUAUUUUUAAUGGGAUCUUUAAUUUCAAGAGUCGUUUGUUGUUACUGGGGACCUCGUUAUAGAUCAGAGCCAAAUAAUCUCCAUUUUGAUGUAGGUUCUAAUGAAAUUCAUCUUCAUUAUGGCUUAGCACAAUAUUAGCGAUUCGUGGAAGGAGAUUGUUCCACACCACCAACUUGUUAGUAAUUCGUGGUUGGAAGAGAUUAGGGGCCGGACAAGCAGGGCCCGACGAGCAGGGACGAGCAAGGACUGACGAGGACGAGCAGGGGCUGACGAGGAUGAGCAAGGGCCGGGCAAGCAGAUCUUGCACAGGGCUGACGAGGACGAGCAGGGGUGGAGGGUGGCGAGCGAGCAGCGCGACCUGGGGCGGAGGGAGGGCGGCGGGCGGCGUGAGCUGGGGCAGAGGGAGGGCGGCGGGCGGCGCGAGCAGGGGUGGAGGGCGACGACUCCCAUGCGUGCAUGCUCGACAUGCUGGGUGCGGCGGAGGAGGAUGGCGGCAGCGUGCUCCCCGACGUGCCGCUCCUCACCCGAUUCUUGUCUACCUCAUCAUGGCCGCUGCCGAGCCCUGCGACCCACGGCAAGCUCAGCUGAGGCGGGCUCAUCUUCCCCAUUCUGCGAAUCACCACCGAAUCGCGGCGUCCCUCCCACUCCCCUUCGCCUAGUCCGCUCCGGCCGCGAGCUGCGGCGGCGGCGCCGGAGGCUGCACGGGCAGCCCCUGCUCCGCCUCCGCCCCCGAAGUUGUAGGCCUGGCGCUCGCGCUCGCCGUAACCUAGCGCCGCUAGGGCGGAUGGAGGGCGGCAGGUGGGCGGCGCGACCUGGGGCGGAGGGAGGGCGGCGCGUCGGGGGAGGAGGUGGAAGAGGAAAAAGAAUGUACCGAUUCGGUACAUAACCGAUGGUAGGCGUCUAAAUAACCCAGAAAGCUAGUUAGAAGCUCGUUUUCCCCUCCUUUCUAGCUUACCACUGUAACGUGGCUUUCCACAGCUUUUAGCUCACGAAAAGCUAGGCUCAAAAGCUUGCCGUUUGUUCGGGCUUUCGACUUCUAGGGGCGAGAACCUGGCUGAAAGCCCAAACAAAUAGGGCCUAAAGAGGGUCUUCCCAGGUGGAUGGAAUGGGAUUAAAGGACCCCUUUUUGUCUCGAAAAAUUUAUCCCGAAUGGUUUUUAGAGAGAUUUGGCCUCUACCAACCGGGACUAAAGUCGAGGUUUCUAGCAGUGAGUGCAGAGGCUGAAUACAGGGCAGUGACAAAUGCAGUUGCAGAGUGCUGCUGGCUAAGGUAAUUGCCUGGUGAAUUACAAUGUGCAGUCCUGUCAGCAACAGUGGUCUUCGGUGACAAUAUAUCUGCAGCUUACAUGGCUAGUAAUCCUGUUCAUCAUCGCGGCACCAAACACAUCGAGUUGGACAUCCAUCCCUCGGUGAGUUUUGCGUCGUUCGUUUACCGACUGAUCAGCAGAUUGCAGAUAUAAUGACCAAAGGAUUAGCUUCAGAUUUAUUUGACUCUUUUCUUUCCAAUCUGUGCAUUUUGUCAGGAGACGAUGUUCAGAAUGCCGGGGGUGCAUUUUGUCAGGAGACGAUGUUCAGACUGCCGUGGGUGUUACACUGACAAUUAUAGUUUUCCAUUUGGCCCGCGGCCCGCGGGCCGGCCCACGGCACGACAUUUGGCCCGGUACAGGCACGGCUCGGCACGGCGGCCUUGCAGGACCGGCCCGGCCCGGCCUACACCACGGGCCGGGCCUAGGCCGCUACCUCAGGUCGUGGGCUGGCUCGGCACGGCCUGGCCCAUUCAGCCUGUGGGCUAGCAACGGCCGGCACGGCUUGUUUAGGCGUGCCACGCCUGCCUCGGCCCGGCCAACGGCCGUAUAAAACACCAGCACUCGGUGGCCCCCGGUCGAAACCCUACCCCGCACCCGCUCCGCUCCCGCAUUGAGCCACCUCUCGCCCUCUCCAACGCUCCCCUCGCUCCCUCCCGGCUCCUCGCCUCCUCCCUCCGUCCCUCGAUGCCUACGCCUCCUCCCCUAGAUCCUCCACCGUCCUUGCCCGCCGUCGUCUCACCCUGUCCCUCCCCUCUCAGAUCUGGCGUCCUCGCCCACCGCCGGCUCGCCGGUGGCCCCUUCGCCUCCCUGUCCCCGUAACUACUCUUCCACUCUCAGAUCUGGCGUCCUUGCUUGCCGCCGGCUUGCCGGUGGCCCCUCCGCCUCCCUCCCCCUGUAACUGCUCCUCCACUCUCAGAUUCGGCAUCCUCGCCUGUCGCCGGCUUGCCGGUGGCCCCUCCGCCUCCCUACCCCCGUAACUGCUCCUCCCCUCUCAAAUCCGGCAUCCUUGCCCGCCGCCGGCUCACCGGUCACCCAUCUGCCUCCCUCCCCGUAACCCCGCUUCUCCCCUAGCCCCUCUGGCCCUCCGCCUUCCUUCCCGACUCCUCACCUCCUCCUCCCGACCCCUCGCAGAUCCGCCUCACUCCCUGGUUCCCCACCAUUGCGGUUCGUCUUCUCCGGCUUAGGGCUCCGGGUGCGCAGGUAAACAACCUCCUCUUGUUCCUCUUCUUGUUUCGACCCCUCGCAGAUCCGCCUCCCUCACUUUUCUCCUCUUGCAGGUCUCCUAUAGGUGCCGCGCGUUGUUGAGGAAUGGAACCGCCGAGGCGACGACGUCAAUGGUGGAGGGCUCGAGGGUGUGUUCCCUGUUCCGGGUGUGCUCUUCAUUUGAGGUCUUAGGAUGGACGACGACUAUCCAACCUGCCUCAAUGAUGAGUUGCAGUUGAUGGGGGAGACCGGAGAUGAUAAUUCUAAUUUGGAGGCGGAUCGGCGGGCGCUGCUCGGUGGUGCCGUCCCCGAUUCUCAGCCACGUAGUGGAGAUUCUACACCACCUGCUGCUACUGGCUCUGGUGCUGGUCCGGGCUCGGAGAGUACGGGCAGCAAGAGGACUCGUUCUUGCACCUCUAAGGUAUGGGACGACUUUGAGCCACUGUACAAGGUAAUGAAUAACAAGAGGGUAAGAACUGGUGCUAAGUGCAUACAUUGCAAGAAAGUUUAUUUUGGUAAGUCUUCUAGUGGUACUGGACACUUGCAUAGGCACCUUCCAAAGUGCCCAGUCUUGCUAGGUGCUUCACGUAUGGCUCAGUCCCAACUCAAGUACAAUCCUGAUGGCUCUCUCCAUAUGUGGGAGUACAAUCCUAAUGUUCCUCGUAUCCAGUUGUGCAGAUUGAUUGCUAGACUAGACCUUCCUUUAUGCUUUGGUGAGUCUGAUGCAUUUGAGGAGUAUAUUAAUAUUGCUCAUAAUCCUAGAUUUAGUUGUGUGUCUAGGCAAACCACCACCAAAGAUUUUGUUAAGUAUUUUGAUGAGCGUCGUACUAAACUUGUGGCUUCUUUGCAAUCUGUUUCCUUUGUUGCUCUUACAUCUGCCAUAUGGUCUGGUAAUGCUAAGGAAGAUUACCUUAGUGUGGUUGUUCAUUAUGUGAAUGCUGAUUGGCAACUAGAGAAGGCCUUUGUUUCAUUGAUGUUUCUCAUAAUGCUGAUAAUAUUGCUGAGCGCAUUACAUCUGUUGCUACUGAUUUUGGUUUAAAUGAUAAGAUAUACUUUUGUGUUUCUUGACAUCUGCCCACAACAUAUACUUUUGUGUCUGCGGGAGCAUGAAUGGAACAUCUUGUUUACCCUUCCAUUCUCUAAUGCUGAUGGGCACGUUGUCCCUUACAAUAGCCUUGCACUGACUCACGAACUUUUUAGCCACAUGUUUAGGAGCAAUUGGCUUGCCCUUUUCCAUCACUUCCGUGAUGUGAAGCCUUUCCUCCAUAAUCUUGGUAUGACCUCGUGGCUUGUUUUGCUUCAUUGAUCCAGAGGGCUAAUAGUUCAAGAUUCAUUAAUUAGUACAUAGUAAUAAUGAAUAUGAAAUUAUAGAUGGGUUAAAACAAUGAAAAUGAUAUAUAGCUCGCCGGUACCUUACGUGAUGGCAAGGCUUUAUUCCGCAUUGUCAUCAACGUGGUGCUUGGGCUCAUCAUUGCCAUCACUGGACAUGUUGAGCAACAUGUCUGCCUGGCUACCCUCAUCCUCGGUGUACGUUAUUAGAACGUUGGAGCCACUACCACCAGCAAUAAUCUCCUCCAUUAUAUACCUUGCAUCCUCUUCAUAUCCCAUCUCAACUAAUUUAAACACACAUGAAAUCAUAGAUAAAUUAAAUUAAAAAUUGUAUCAUAGACUUUGAUGUAGCAUCAAUGAAUCAUUCAGCAUCAAAGUUUGAUUUUGUUGAUUUCAUGAAACCAAAACUUCACUAUUCUAGUGGUUGAAUGAGGCAGUGCAUAAACUAUAAUAAAAAAAUAUAUUCAAAUUUUGGUUGUACAUAUAUGCUGUUAUGCAUGAAUAUUUGGAUGAGCAUAAAAAACAUUUGUGCCAGUUUGUCUAGCAAUAUUCUAGUCUUCUACAUUUAACAUCAGGUUAAGUGAGUUUAUAUUGGUUUUCGUAAUGGAAGGUUCCACUUGGUCUGUCUCUUAAAGUUUGACUGUAACAUACAGUUGAUUUGUUUUUUAAAUUAACGUCCACAUUUCAAAUAGGUUCAGGCGCACGGAUGGCGGGGACAGCGCUCGGAUGUAAGGGCGGCACGCGGAACGACAUGCUGGGGCGGGCUACAAGGUGGGUGCGAUGGUGGGGGUCCUGGACGGUGGCAGGGAAGGGGCGCGGGUGAAGGUGGGGUGCGCGAAUCGACGGCGAGGGUCUUGGAUGGGGCGGGCAAAAACAACAAUGGCAAGGGUGGACGGAGGCGGGGGGAGCUCGGAUGGUAGGCAGGCUGGGGCACCUCGAGUGACGGCGUCCGGGGCAGGAGGACGGCGGCGGCUGGGGCAGGCGGAUGGCGGCUGGGUGGUAGAUGGGAGUGAGCGGACAACAGCAGCCAAGGCAGGCGGAUGGUGGAAGGGUGGUGGACGGGAGACGAGCGGGCGCGGGGCAGCGGAUCGAUCUAGUGGAGUGUGUGGGAGACGAGGCAUAAGGGAGAAGGGGCGUGUCUUAACCCUCCUAGUCCUUGGUUGACUUUGCAACCGGCACUAAAGGGCCUUUAGUCCUGGUUGCAAAUUCAACCCAAGACUAAAGCCUCCCCCCCCCCCCCGCUUAGUCCUAGUUGCAAUUUGCAAGGGUGCUUUUCGCGUAGGAGCUGAAAACACACCCUUUAGUCCCAGUUCCAAAUUGCAACCGGGACUAAAGGGUGGGCCUUUAGUUCCUGGUUGACUUUGCAACUGGGACUAAAGGCUCUUUAGUGGGGUUUUGCAUUUCCCGCUUGUUUUCAGUUAUUUUCCACUUUACAUACUUUGAACAUGAAAUUAUAUUAAAUUAGCAAGUAUAUUUAAAAUAAGUUUAAAUCAGUCAUUAAUUCUAUAUUAGUUGAUUAAGUUUUCAAAAUAAUUAUUUUGAUGCAUCACAAUCAUCAACAAACUCUUCAAUUAAAUAAUUUCAACGCGCAAAAAAUGCAAUUGAUGUAUGUGGUUAAGUUAACAUUGUUUAUAUUGAUCAAAUAAAUGUUCACCAUAGAGAUUACAAUAAAAUUCAAAGGUUUUGAUGGCCAUAGAGCAUUACAUAAAGGUUAACCAUAUUUAGUGCAUUACAAUGUAAUGUUAAAAAACUUCCUGUUGAUGAAAGUUCUUUGGUCAUGAUCGUUGUGCAAGUACGAAGCCUCUUCUUUGGCUAGCUUCAUGCUUGGGUCAACUUCAAAAGCGAAUGGAGGCAUAUCAUCAAACUGAUCAUAAUCAUCUGACUAGUCUGUUUUAUCCUCGACUCCCACGAUUUUUCUUUUACCUGGAAGAACUAUGUGGCGCUUUGGCUCCCUUUCUUUAUCUUCUGAAUUUUUCUUGGGUUUGCUAGACAUGUCCUUCACAUAGAAAACCUGGUGCACAUCAUUAGCAAGGACGAAUCGUUCAUCAUUGUAUCCAGUCUUGGUCAGGUCCACUAUUGUCAUUCCAUACUGAUCUUUCAUUACGCCACCUCCAAUUAGCUUCACCCAUUGGCAGCAAAACAGAGAGGUGUUCAGCGGUCCGUAUUCGAGUUUCCUGAUCUCCUCUAUGAAACCAUAAUAUGAGUCCCUGCUCCUGUUUGUGUCUAUGGCAUCAAUGCGGACACCACUAUUAUGGUUGGUGCUUACCUGGUCUUGGGCUCUCGUGUAAAAUGUAUAACCAUUUACCUCGUAACCUUGAAAUUUCACGAUUAUGCUAGUAGGUCCCCUGGCUAACCAAGCGAGUUGUUCAUGAAUCGCGGAGUUACUCAUAAGGUGUUGACGCAACCAAGAGGUUCAUAUCCAUGUGAUUAUAUAUAAUCCACGCAUCAGAUUUCGUCGAGUAUUAGGAAAAUAAAAUCCGCUUGUGCUCCUCGAUAUACUAAGCCACAAAGAAUGAUUGUUGCAAAACAGUGAAGUGUGCUUUCUGGAAUAAAUUAGUAUCAUUGCUCAAACUUGAUUUCCUUCCAAGGGUGCCCGUUCCAUGCAACCUCCCCUUGUGGCAUCAUGUUGGAACCCCAAUCGAAUUAAUUGAGUCAAUAAAAUCAACACAAAACUCAAUGACCUCUUCUGCUCCAUAUUCCUUGGUGAUGCUUCCUUCUGGACGGGCACGAUUAAGUACAUAGUUUUUUAGAAUGACGUGAACCUCUCGAAAGGUCACAUAUUGUGUAGGAAUACUGGACCGAGAAUAGUAAUCUCUUUGACUAGGUGAACUAGGAGGUGCGUCAUAAUAUUGAAGAAGGAUGGUGGAAAUACCAACUCAAAGCUGACAAGACAUUGUACCAUAUUGUUCUGUAGCUUUACUAGCUUGGUUGGAUCGAUUGCCUUCUGCAAAAUCACAUUGAGAAACACGCAUAGCUUUACGAGUGCCAAUCGUACAUUCUCUAGUAGAAUACCCCUCAGUGUAAUCGGAAGCAACUGGGGUAUCAACAUGUGGUAGCCAUGGGCCUUGAGAUUUGUGAUCUUCUUUUCUUUCAUAUUUAUUAUUCCCUUUAUAUUCAAGGAGUACCCAAACGGAACCUUAAUACUAUUCAUGCAUUCAGACAUGGUAUCCUUUUGUUCCUUGUGGAGAGUGUAAUUGGCAUGAUGUAAGUAGUGCUAUCUGUUAUCUCCCUUUUCUGAUUGUAGGUCAUCUUGUUGCUUCAUACAUUUUAGGUCUUGUCGUGCUUCCAAUGUAUCUUUUGAGUUCCCAUAACAACCCAUGAAGCCUAGCACGUUCAUGCAAAGAUUUUUGUUAGGUGCAUCAUAUCUAUUGCAUUGCGGACCUCUAGGAUUUCCCAAUAAGGUAGCUCCCAAAAUAUAGACUUCUUCUUCCACAUGGGUGCACGUCUGUUAUCGUCAUUCGGAAUAGGUUCGCUACCAAGACCCUUUCCAAAGAGUACCCUUACAUCCCUUAUUAUCUCAAAUACACGCUUUCCAUUAUAGUGUGCAUGUUUUUUACGAUAAUCUGGCGCCCCUUUGAAAUGCAUCCCUUUCUUUCUUAACGUGUAGUUACCAGGAAGAAAUCGAUGAUGGCCCAUAUACAUGACCUUCCUAUAGUCUUUCAAAUACAUACUAUCUGUGUUGUCUAAACAGAGGGUGCACGCUCGAUAUCCCUUAUUUGUCUGUCCUGAAAGGUUACUCAAUGCUCGUAGGUCAAAGCUCUCUUGUUUAUUAUCAUCCUACAAAUGUACACAUUCUUCCUUCCAGAGCAGUAAAAAUUCAUCAACCAAUGGCCCUAGGUACACGUCAAUAUCGUUGUCAGGUUGUUUUGGGUCUUGGAUAAGCACUGACAGCAUAAUGAACUUCCGCUUCAUGCACAGCCAAGAAAGAAGGUUGAACAUACAUAGGGUAAUAGGCUAAGUACUAUGACCACUACUCAACUCACCGAAUGGAUUGAAUCCAUCAGUACUUAAACUAUACCUUAUGUUCCUUGCAUCACCUUCAAUGUCCGAAAAUACUCUAUCAAUUGAUCUCCACUGGACCCCAUCCGUGGGGUAUCCCAAUAUCUCAUCUUGCUUGCAUUCUUCUUUGUGCCAUCACAUCAACUUAGCAUUUGACUUGUUUCUAAACAAAUGCUUCAAAUGUGGUAUUAUAGGGAAAUACCACAUCACCUUCACGGUAACUCUCUUCUUGGGAGGCUACCCCUCAACAUCACCAGGAUCAUUUCGCCUGAUCUUAUACCGUAUUGCUCCACAGAUAGGACAAGCAUCCAAUUUCUCGUAUUCAUCAUCACGAUAGAGGAUAUAGUCAUUAGGGCAUACGUGUAUCUUCUGAACCUCCAAUUCUAGAGGGAAAAUAACCUAUUUAGCUUCAUAUGUUGUGGACGACAAUUCAUUAUUCUCACGAAGAAUGUUCUUUACAAUUUUCAAUAUCCCCUGAAAUGCCUUAUCGGACACACCAUUUUUUGCCUUCCAUUACUGCAGUUCUAGUGUGGUACCCAGUUUUUUAUGCCCCCGCUUGCAAUCUGGGUACAAUAAUUUUUUGUGAUCAUCUAUCAUGUGCUGCAACUUUCUUGAUUCCUUCUCAGUUUCACAAUCUCUGUGUGCAUCCUGUAGUACCUGACCAAGAUCAUCAAUAGGGUCAUCUUCUGCAAACUCAUCUUCAUCAGCCUCGCCCAUUUAGUAUCUACAAAAGUUUGGCCUGCAGCCCAGUCCGGAAUGUUGUUAUCAUCCUCCUCUUCUUCGUCGUCUUCCAUUAUAACCCUUCUUUUGCCGUGUUUGGUCCAAAUUAAAUAGUUAGCCAUGAAAUUGUAUCUAAAUAAGUGGUUAUGAACAAUCCCUAAGGAAGAGUAGUCCUUAUUGUUUCUGCAUUGGAAGCAUGGAUAACAUAUGAAUCCAUUCUUUGGCUUGUUGGCUUUGACCCCUUCGAGAAAAUAAUGCAAGCCAUCAACAAACCCCUUGGUCCAUCUGUCAUAGUUAAACAUCCAUUGCCGGUCCAUCUACAUCGUAUUACGUGUGAAAUGGACAUAGGUCUUUGUAUUAGAUAAAGAACUUGAUCAAUAUUAGAUAGGGGGGAAAAUAGAGUUAAUGUGAUUAUAAUAUUUAGUCCUUGCAAAAAACAUUAGAUAAAUAAAUUAUUACAUGAGAAAUGGACAUAGGUCUUCGUAUUAGAUAAAGAACUUGAUCAAUAUUAGGUAGGGAAAAAAAUAGAGGAAAUGUGUUUAUAAUAUUUAGUCCUUGCAAAAAAUAUUAGAUAAAUAAAUUAUUACAUGAGAAAUAGACAUAUGUCUUCAUAUUAGAUAAAGAACUUGAUCAAUAUUUAUAAUUUACACUAAUCAACCUUCAUGAAGAUAAAAACAAUUCACAUGAAAAUUACACCAUUCAAAAUUUAUAACAUUCACUAAAGAUACAUAUAAAGAUUACACUCAUAAUAAGACAAUAAAGAUACAUAUACACUAAACAUUACAGACGCUCCAUAGUGAAGUUCACGUAGUCAAUUAUCCUAAAAUAAUGGUACAACAUAGCAGAAUGUUCGCCCUCCAAGUCAUCUUUGCACAUAACUCAAUUUUCUAUGAAAUCUAUCGAGAGUCACCUUCACAUAUCCAAUACCAUAAAAUAAUGGUACAACAAAAGAUCUUCGAGUCCACGUACUCAGGCUAAAUAACAUAAAGGAAUCUUGAAAUAAUUGUCCAAAUAUCUUUUGGAGCAAGUGCCACAUUCUUACAAUAGAAGUAUGGUGGCACACACACAAUAGCCCAUCCAGGCAAAAAAUCUGUUCACUGAGCAUGACCCAUGGCGGCAAGCCAAAACCAACCAAAAGCCGCUAGGUCAAGGUCAGUGAACAGAUCUUUGCCUGAAGAUGAUAUUGGGCCAGCAUACUUCUAUUAUGAGAAUUAGGCUCCAAAAGGCAUUUGGAAUAUUAUUUCAAGAUUCUUUUAUGACAUUCAGCCCGAGUUUGUGGACUCGAAGUUCUUCUGUUGUACCAUUAUUUUCUGGUACUGGAGGAGCGGAGGUGACUCUCCAUAGACUUCGUAGAAAGUUGAGUUCUGUGCAUAGAAUAAUGUAUGCACACUCAUGCCAUGUGGAGACACUGUUCUCUGGAUUAGAGGAGCGGAGGUGGUACAGCCAUUGCCGGUCCAUCUGCAUCGUAUUACGUGGAAAAUGAACAUAGGGCUUCGUAUUACAUUAAGAACUUGAUCAAUAUUAGGUAGGGGAAAAAUAGAGUAAGUAUGUUUAUAUUAUUUAGUUCUUGGAAUAAACAUGAGAUAAAUAAACUAUUGGUCAAAGAAUUGCAAUUAUUGUUAAAUUACAGUGACAUGAAAAAUUGUAGCAAUGACCAAAUUCUAUUUCUUACACCUACAAUUUAUUUACCUUAAUUUUAUUACAAUGACUAAAAUAAAGCAUAAUAACAAUAAAUGAAGGGAAGAUGAAGUGCCUAACCUUCACAACACUUUGGAUGAGUGAAAUCCUCACGGAAAUGAGGAAAAAAAUUCAGGUAGCACCUCCCCUAAGGUUGCUUGCUCGCCAUGGAGAGGAGGAUGAAGCUCUCGGUCUCUGGUGGAGUGGCUCGGGCUGGGGGAGGAAGAAGAGUUUCAGGCUGGUUGGAUUUUUAGGGGAGGAAGAAGAGUUUCCAACUGGGAUAAAAGAGCCCCUUUUGUCCCGGUUGGUAAUUCCAACCGACACUAAACCUUUUGUAAUUCCAACCGGGAUAAAAGGGAGUGGGCGUCGGUGCGAUAUUUCUAGCCGUUACAAUUGGGACUAAAGGGGGUGUAGUCCUGGUUGGUCUUUACAACGGGAACUAAAGGAAGCUUUAGCAACCCCCCCCCCCCCCCGCGGGGACCUUCGAUGCCUCAUUCUUGACCCGGGAUGUCCCGGGUCCAAAGUCAACCGGUACAAAAGUACCUAGAUAGAAGGUCAAUUCUCUACUAGUAGGUUAUGCUUUCGCCAUAUGCUUAUGGCUCAUUUUAUGUUAACGUGGGUUGGUAUAUACUUAUACCUUAGUAUUCAGGUGCUAAUAAAAUUUGACCAACUAAAAUUGCUUAUUGUAGUAAACCAGUAAGCCUCUCCUUGUUUAAGCCUUGCAUUCAUUUGUUCCCCACACUUGCUGAGUACGACAUGCGCUUACCCUUGCUAUAACCAAUGUUGCUCAGAAGAAGAGGCUGCAAUGAAGUUGUUGUGAAGAUGAUGCUGAGUUCUAGGCGUACGCAACCCCCGAUCGAUUUCCUAUGAAGUUUGGAGCCUCCAUUUUCAAGAUUACGCUGUAAAUCUAUUAUAGACUCUCUUUCCUUUCGUGAUAGCGUUGCUGUUACUCACUUAUGAUGUCACUAUAUGUAUGAAAUUAGAUCCUGGCAUCCAUAUAGGUAGCACUUGGUUUUGUUUCAAAAUUGGGUGUGACAGAAGCUAUGCACGAGGCAAGAGGUUGCGGGUUCGAAUCACACGCACCGCACAAGCAUAUAUUUCGCGUGAAAAAUUGCGUGACUUGAGCGAAUGUGUGAACAUCCCCGGAAUUUAUAAUAUUUUUUUCGGGACUAAAGAUCCCAACCUUGGUCCUGAAUUCGUAAUCCUGGUUGGGAAAUCGGGCUUUAUAUGAGGUUUCCAAACAAGGACUAAAGCUGAGUUGUUCGUGUACUGCACUGCACGUCAAAUGUGCCGCCGCGUGAGAAACACGCUCUUUUGUCAGUUUACAAUGGAUGAUUGAUAGAAGCAGGCGAAACUGAUGCCAGGUUGGCAACUUUUGCCGGGUCAUCGCACUCGCCCGCGCCCUCCUCCUGUCUUCCCAUCGAGUAGACUGACCAAAAAGGUGUGGGUAGGUGCUUCACGAAGUAUCACCAUCAAGCCAACACGUAUUUACUCAGUCAACCAACGCACGAGGGUUUGAUGUUUUCUUUUCAUUCUAUCAUGAAAGCAGUACAUCUCUCGCGACUUUGACAAGUUUACUCAGUCAACCAUUCUACCAAAGAAGAAGAUGAUGAUGAUGGCGGAGAAAAAGGGGAAGAAAGAGGGGUAGGGUGAGGAUCGGGUGGAGGAGAGUGUGUGCCAGGUACGGUGGUUUGUUUUUUUCUUGCAUGGGUGCAAAAGUAUCUGCUACAGUUUAUGCUAACAUUCAACCCUCUUUGAUCGAAAGGUUAAAGGGCUUCAAUCUUAUAUAAUGUUAUGCGAAGUUAUUCGAAAUGAUGCAUUGCUAAAUGUGUUAGGCAUCUUGCUGGCUCCUGUUAUAGUGUUAUUACAACGAAACUUGAGUUCCUAUAGAAAGUAUGUACAAAUUUUCUAUACAAUAACUUCAUUGCAUCUUUUAAGAGAAGCAUAAGUGGCAACCUUAUGAAAACCAUAUACAGACUAUUAAAAAUGGUACUAGAAUCCUGUGAAUUAAUUGAAACAAAUAUCAAGCUCCAUGUGUUAUGAAACUUGUGCUUCCCUUUUAUAGUCCUUCAUUUUUUAUCACUAACUUUUAGCACCGGAAGACCAAGGCAUUAUUAUACUAGUUAUCACGUGCUUCAACAAAUUCAGUCAUCUGUCCAUGUUGAUUUCAUCUUGCAAACUCUAUGCUCAUCGAGGCUUUCUUCUGGAGGAUGUAAUAAUCUGUGCUUUCUUCACUAGUAUAGUCACCCGAUGAAUUGUCAGACGACCGUCCCUGCAUCAUGAGUGCACUAACACCAUGAAACCCUUGAGUGCGAGGUGGUACUGGACGUGCCAAUCGCUGGAGUUCCUCUGCUACCUCUCUCAUCAUUGGCCUGUGUUGACCUUCCUUUAUGCUCAGCUGAGGCGAGCUCAUCUUCCCCGUUCUGCGAAUCACCACCGAAUCACGGCGUCCCUUGUGGUGGAACCGUCCAACUUAAACUGAUUUAAAUGCGCCUAAUUGCUGCCGACGCAGCAAUUAUUCGAAACGCACUUAAAACAGUAUAAGUCCGGUCGUCCGUCGAGUGUCCCUAGGACUCCUCGAAAGAUCCACGUUGUGUCUCGUAGCCAUACAUCAGGAUAGUAUCCGCGAUGGGAUAGCAUCAACAAAUAUUACAUUUUUACAUACAUACAAGAGGUACGAGUUAUUACAAGACUUAGUUUGAAGCAAACUUAAUAGUGCAGUGUUAGACAGAGUUCUAGGACUUAAAACAUAAACGGUUCAGAUGGAGAUGAGCAUUAAAAAAAACUUCUUCUAAGGGUAUUGUGAGACUCAUAACAAUACCCUAGGGCUUCGGGGCUUCCUCCUCGGUGGACUCCUGCGGUGCUUCUGAAAAGAUAGCCACAAGGGAUAACCCUGAGUACGAGGUACUCAGCAAGUCUUACCCGACUAACCAAUAUAAUAGCUUUUCUUUGGAAGUACAUGAUAGCUUUUUGGUGUACUUGGCUGAUACAUUUUUGCCGAAAAGCUUACUACAAGUGAUGCCUUAGUUUUAUCUUUUAUUUGGGUUAAGUCAUUACCUAACCAUUCUAGAUGAUGAGAAGAAAGUAAACGCAACCAUAGAUAUUAAGUCAUACAUCAAACAUUAUCAGAAAGAUAUGCCAUUCAUGAAUUUAUGCUACGAUGCUCAACAGUGAUCAAGUGCAUUCAUAACCGAGAAUUGCGGCGAUCCGGAUCAAUUUACAUCCUGCAGGAGAGUACCCCGAUCACCAGUUAUAUACGACUGUCCAGGUCGUACACAACGACCUUUCGAUUAGCAAAAUCAAUGAUUGGGAAUAAGACUACCCGGACCCAGGGACGCACCCCCACAUGGGACCCCAUGUCUGGCCCGAUCACCAUGUGAGUUUCAGGCUACACCCCUGCCAAUCUCCAGCACGUCAAGCGCGGGUACGAAGUAUUCCCGAUCAGAGAGUUUGCUAACCUACUGGGCUUUACUGGUCCCAUACCCAGUAAGUGAUCAGAUGAUUAUCACUUGAUCAAAGGUUAAGACAACGAAUCGGGCCUUCACCACAUUAAUCUAGCAGACAGAACUACAUCUCUAGCUUCUAUCCGCUUCUCAAUUCCAAGUCAUCUUCCCAUAAAUAACAUGUAAGACUCAAAAAGUUUUCCUUAAGGUUGGUAAACCAAGCAUUGAAGCAACUAAGCAUUUCUAGACUUGGGAUACCUACUAGGGUUUGAACAAGUGGCAAAGAUGUCCUUAGAACAAGGUAUGAUCAUGCACAAGAAUAGGUUUCAAGCAACUCCUAGACUUAAUGCAUACAUAUAGCAAAUAACUGAAUAUAGGACACAUGAAAUAUUGACUUCAAAAUAAUAGGUGUAAUGCACCGGGGCUUGCCUUGUUCGCUUAAAAAGUUAGUACUGUCCGACGGGUUGGCCUCGCAGGGGACCAAUUCAAAGACUUCUUCAAACUCCGAAGGUCCUUCUGAAAAUUCCAAGUAAUCUCCUUCUGGUGCUUCGGGGUCUAUAGCACAACACAUGCAGGGGUUAGGAAUGCAAAUUUUUGAAUAAAAGACUAUACAACUUUCCUUCAUGAUAAAGUUGCUAGCCAACAAGGACUAUACAAUUUAUCAUGAUAAAGUUGCAAGCCAACACACAAAAACCCAAAAAGAUUAGCCCAAAAUUUUUAUUUUCUUACCUAACCUUACUCAAGGCCUUUCUUUUAUUUUUUUUGAAAAGGUUAUAAUUAUUUUCUAACUUGAAAAACUAAUUUCCUAUGAGUUGAGAAUAAUUUGUGAUUACGAAAAUGUUAUUCCAUAUUUUAUACAUUUUAUAAAGAUUAAGUAUUUAUUUAAUUACCUUAAAAGAAAGGCAUUAAAUGAAUACCUAAAUUUUUAUAGUUUUCCUAGGGUAUAAAAAUUUUAAUGCAUAAAGGAAAAUAAAACAAGCCUAACAAAAUUGGUUUCACUAAUUUUGGACACUCCUAGAAAUUUCUGUGAUUUAAAUGGUGGGAUUCCAAUUUAAACUAAUUAUUCUAUAAAGGAAAUCCAAAUUUUCCCGAAAAACACCCCCGGCGACUUUUCUCACGCGGCUCGACUCUACCCCCUCUCACUUGCGCUGGGCCCGUGACGCGGACCCACCCCUUCUCCUAUUCCUUCUACCCGCCGGCCUCCUUUUACCCCGGCCGGGCCCUAUUGGGCCGAUUCCUCUUUCCCCUUCUUCUCCUUUCGCUCGCGACGGCCCAACGGCCCUGUUUUCUUUUUCUUCGUUUCCUCGCGAGCGCGGUCUGCUGGCUCCUCUGGGCCUCCGGCCUUCCUCUCCACGGUCGACCGCGCGCGCUCCCGGGCUUUCAAGGCCGCGGCCCAACUGGCCUCCGCGUCCGGCCGGCCGACUCCCUCUCCCUCUCUUCCCUACUGACGCGCGGGCCCAAGGCGCCAGACUCUUCUUCCUCCUCCCGCCAAAACUCGCGCGUGACAGGGGGCGGUGUGGCUCGCCGGCCGGCGCCCUACCGGCGGGGGAACUAGGUCAGGAAAGCACCUCCGUGCCCUCACACACCCGUGCGUGGCAACAGUUCCUCGGGAGAUGGCCGGAGCCAUUCCCUCCACGGCGGCGGGCGGCGGCACCUACGGCCGGUCGCGAUUACGCACGACAACGGCGCAAACUACCCCGACGACUACCACGACACCAUCCUAGCAUCCUAAGGACCUGCUUAAGGCUACCCAAGAAGGAAGAGAACAAGCGCAAGGGGGUGCUCACCGUGAGCGGGAGGUUUAAGGCGUACCGGCGGAGAGGCUGGGCAACAAGCUGCUAGGGUUGCUGGUGGGGUGUGGGUGGAGGUGUGGACGGAGGGAAUCGACGGGAGCUGCGGUGUGGUGGGAGUAUUUUGCUCGGCGGCGGCGGCUUGGACAGAGGAGAUGGCGGCGGUAAAAAGGACAGCGGUAGAAACGGCAGCGCGGGAGCGGUAGUUAUUCAAGCUUUCACCGCGCGCAUGGGCGACACCGUGGCCUACUCGUAGGCUUGCGUGGUGAGGAGGUGGCGUAGCUGCCGCGCUGGCGAGCGACCGACGACGGCGGUGGCGACACGUCCUGCCUGCUCUGUCAUCGUUCCCCCCCUUUUCUUCUGACGCCCGAAACUUCAGAGCUCCACCACGGCCGAUUCCAAAUCCGACGGUGCAUAUGUGUCUUAAGAAAAGUUGUAGAUAAUCUCGAGCUUUCCAAGUCAUAUAUAAACCUUUGCCCGAGAUAAACAUCCAAAAGUCUCCAAAUUUAAAUUUUUCUCGGGCAAAUGACUGAACCCUUUUUCCCUUCCAUUCAGUUUCGUCAGUCACUCGAUGUGGUCAUGUGCCCGACUUAGUGAAUCAUUUCGGUGCUCCAAAUCCUCUUUCUGUAGUCCAACUUCUACCCAAUUGUGUUCUACCAUCUUCAAGGUUUCCAUUUUGCCCAAAAACACCUACCUCUUUUGAUCUACAUUCCUCUGAAAUCCAUUUCAAAGUCGGCCACACACUGCUGUCUUCAGACUUAGUCAUUUUCAGUGAUGCAAUUACAGUGACGAGAUGCUGACUUUAGGCCUUCAUUUGAAAUAGCUCCCUCUGCUAUUCUUGAUCAAAAACACCCAAAUCUAGUAGUCCAAGGUCCACACUUUAAUAUGGUGUAGUUGUUCUGAUUUACUUAUUUGAAAAAUUCAUCAGAAAUCAAUUUUGAAAAUGGACUCUGCUGCUGUUUUCUGAAUUUUCCUAUUGUCAGAUGGUGAAUAGUGCACUUCGGUUUUAUUUGCUUUCUUUGAUUCUUUUGAGAUAUCUAGGACCAAUUCUGUUCCAAUUUCUUGAUCCUCAAGUUCUAAUCACCCUUACACCUUUAUUCCAUAUUUUUGACGAAUUUUUCUGAAUUUCAAUUCAAAAUUCAAAUUUCGGUCAAAUUUGACCUGAAUUUGAUUUUUGGCCAAUUUCUUUUUAUUUUCUUCUCAAAUUGCUUCCAAUUUUUCAAAGUCACUUUGGUGACUAAAAUGGCAAGGUAUUACAUCCUCUCCCCCUUAACAGAAUCUCGUCCCGAGAUUCCCGGGGUGAAAUCCUCGGCUUUGAGAAUGGAAAGGAAACUGCAUCAGGUCAACUAUUUUUCUCUUUUCUGUACAAGGAUAGUGGGGUGGUGGCUUUUGUUCAUCUGUCCCUGAUGGUUUCAAACAAUUCAGGAUAUUUAGACUCUAGGUCUUCAGCCUGUUCCCAAGUAGCUUCAUCCGGAGUAUGAUUUUUCCAUUGUACCUUGUAAAAGGUGAUACUCCGAGUUCGGGUAUCUCUUGUCUUUUGAUCCAGAAUUUUAAUAGGCCUUUCUUCAUAGGUUAGAUCUGGUGCGAGCUUGAUUUCUGGAUCUUCUAGAGUUUCUUCUGGAACUCUUAAACACUUCUUAAGCUGGGAUACAUGAAAUACGUCAUGUAUAGAAGUAAGUUGGUCUGGUAAUGACAGCUUGUAUGCCACUGGACCCUUUCGUUCCAGAAUCUCAUAAGGACCAAUAUAUCUUGGGGCUAACUUACCCUUUAUUCCAAAUCGUUGUACUCCUUUCAUCGGGGAUACCUUUAAGUAUACAAAAUCUCCGGUAUGAAAUUCCAAGGACCCUCUCCUUUUAUCCGAAUAACUCUUUUGUCGGGACUGGGCUAUUUCCAAAUGUUUGCGAAUUUUCUGGACCUUUUCCUCGGUUUCCAUAACCAGAUCUGAUCCCAAAUGUGUUCUUUCUCCUACUUCUGACCAAUUCAAAGGGGUUCGGCAUCUUCGACCAUACAGGGCUUCGAAAGGUGCCAUUUUAAUGCUAGCUUGAUAGCUAUUAUUAUAGGAGAACUCGGCUAGGGGCAAACAUUCGUCCCAUAGCUUAGAGAAGGUAAGGACACAUGCUCUCAACAUGUCUUCCAAGAUUUGAUUAACUCUUUCUGUCUGUCCUCCAGUUUGAGGCUGAUAGGCAGAACUUCUAAUUAGAGUAGUGCCCAUGUCCUUUUGCAACUGUUCCCAAAAUCUGGAAACAAACUGGGAACCUCGAUCAGAGAUAAUUGUCUUUAGUACUCCGUGCAAGGAUACGAUCCGGGCUAUGUAGAGUUUAGCAUAUGUCGACACCGGAUAGGUAGUCUUGACGGGAAUAAAGUGAGCUGACUUAGUAAGGCGGUCGACAAUAACCCAUAUGGAAUCAUACCCUUUUGAAGUGGUAGGAAAUCCAACUAUAAAGUCCAUGGAAAUAUCCUCCCAUUUCCAGACAGGGAUUUCUAAGGGUUGAAGUAAACCUGCCGACUUUUGUAGUAUGGGCUUAACUCUUCGGCAAGUAUCACAUUCAGCUACAUACCUUGCAAUUUCAGGUUUCAUCUUGGCCCACCAAAACCUUUGCUUUAAAUCUUGGUACAUUUUAUUGCUUCUGGGAUGAAUAGCAAACUUAGAUAGAUGUGCUUCUUCUAAGAUCAACUUUCUUAGACUUUCAUCCUUAGGAACUACUAUCUUUUUCUUGAAGUACAGUCCUCCAUCUUCUUCUUGAUUGAGUUCGGGGAUCUUCCCUUCUGCUUUUUGUUGAUAGAGUAUCUUAAUCCAUGGAUCUUCUUUUUGGGCUGUUAUAAUUCUUUCCUUUAAGGUAUCUUGUAUCAUAAUAUUCUGAAGGGUGCCUUGUUUUACUAUUUCCAAACUCAAAUCUUCCAUUUCCUCACAUAAGUCUUAAGGUUAGACUGGACGGUAGUGCAGUGGCAUUGGGCCUUUCUGCUUAAGGCGUCAGCCACCACAUUAGCCUUACCAGGAUGAUAAUGGAUUUCUAAAUUAUAGUCUUUAAUCAGUUCCAGCCAUCGUCUUUGCCUCAUGUUCAAAUCCAUUUGAGUAAAGAUGUACUUCAAACUUUUGUGGUCAGUAAAGAUACGACAUUCACUACCCAAAAGAUAGUGUCGCCAUAUCUUUAAUGCAUGCACUACGGCAGCAAGCUCUAAAUCAUGGGUAGGGUAAUGCUCUUCAUGACGCUUCAGUUGACGAGAAGCAUAAGCAAUAACUCUGCCUUCUUGCAUAAGAACACACCCUAUGCCUGUUUCAGAGGCAUCACAGUAUACAUCAAAGGGCUUCUCUAUAUCCGGUUGAGCUAACACCGGGGCUGUAGUUAGCAACUUCUUUAAGACUUGAAAUGAUUCUUCACACUCAGGUUUCCAUUCAAAUUUUACUUCUUUCUUCAAUAACUCUGUGAUUGGUUUGGAAAUUUUUGAGAAAUUGGGAAUGAACCUACGGUAAUAACCGGCCAUUCCCAAGAAACUUCUUACUUCAUGAAUAGAGGUUGGUGAUUUCCAAUCCAAUAUAUCCUUAACCUUUCCGGGAUCUACUUCAAUUCCUUUUUUGGACAAUAUGUGCCCAAGGAAUGGAACUUUCUUUAACCAGAAUUCCCAUUUACUGAACUUGGCAUACAACUGAUGUUCCCGGAGUCUAUUUAGAACAAUACGCAAGUGUUGCGCAUGUUCCUCUUCAUUUUUAGAAAAGACAAGGAUAUCGUCUGUAAAGACGACCACAAAUUUAUCUAACUCUGGCAUGAACACUGAAUUCAUGAGGUACAUAAAAUGCGCUGGGGCAUUUGUCAGUCCGAAAGACAUAACCAAGUAUUCAUACAGUCCAUAUUGGGUUGAGAAGGCUGUUUUAGGUAUGUCUUCGGGUUUUAUCUUAAUUUGAUGGUAUCCUGACCGAAGGUCGAUUUUUGAAAAGACCUUGGCUCCAGCUAAUUGGUCAAACAACAAGUCAAUCCGUGGUAACGGAUACUUGUUUUUAAUGGUUACCGCAUUCAAAGGGCGGUAAUCCACACAUAACCUUAAUGUGCCAUCCUUCUUUUUAACAAAUAGAGUAGGGCAGCCCCACGGUGAAGUGCUAGGUCGGACAAAACCUUUGUCCAACAAUUCUUGGAGUUGUAUUUUCAAUUCUGCUAACUCCUUAGGUGGCAUUUGAUACGGUCUUCUCGAGAUAGGAGCGGUGCCUGGUUCUAACUCAAUGGUAAACUCUACCGCUCUAUCAGGCGGUAGUCCAGGUAGAUCUUCUGGGAACACAUCUAUAAACUCAUUAACCACAGGAAUAGAUUCUAGAGUCACUGCUCUAGUCUUUUUGACCAUCUGGUCCAAACAAGGAUGAGCGGGUAAUUGGAGCUCGAAUGGGUGGCCUUGGUCAUCUUUCAUACUAACGAUCCGAUUAUCCAUAUCGAUUUGAACUUUAUGUUCCUUCAUCCAAUUUACCCCCAAAAUAAUAUCUAUUCCUUGAUCUUCCAGAAUUAAAGGAUAAGCACCCACCUUAUUUCCUUCUAGGUUUAAAAUCACAUUGCGAGUUACUUGAUUUGUAUUCUGUGUAGCUCCAGUAGCUUGAAUAGCAUACUUGACAUUUAAUGUAUGUACUUCUAGUUGGUGUUGCGUAACAAACCUUCUACUUAUAAAAGUAUGUGAUGCACCCGAAUCAAAUAAAACCAUGGCAGGAUAAUUGUUAACAAGGUACAUACCUGCCAGAAUAGGCUCUCCUUCUGGAAUUUCCUCCACAUUCAUAUAAUGAGCUUGUCCUGUCUUGGUGUUCACAAAUUUGCGACGGACAAACUUCUGCCCAGUGCCUUGACCCGAAGUUUGAGCCCUCAAAUUUGCGUUUCCCCCAACCUUGGGAAAACGGCAGUCCUGGGCAAAGUGUCCCGGCUUCCCACAGUUAAAGCAAACCUGUGGAUUCCCUGGAGGAGUAGGGUUACGAAACCCAAGAGGUGGCGCAUUUCCAGGACGAGGAGCAUUACUGGGAGCUCUGACAUUCCAGGGCUGGAAGGAUCUCUGCUGAAAUGAAGGUCGAUACACAGGUCGAGGAGGACCUCGAUAUACCACCUUCAUUCUUUGUGGAGCACUCCCAAAGGUUCCAAAAGGAAUAUUCUUCCUUUUCAAAGCUUCCUCUUUCCUUAGGGUUUCAUCUAGAAUUCUCAUCUUUUCUUCUACGGUAAUGGCUGUACUUACCGCAGAGCUAUAGUCGGCAAAGGUGCAGGUGGACAACUUCUCCUGCAUUCUUGCAUUGAGCCCACGAAGAUAACAAUCUCUUUUUCUGGACUCGGUAUUGACAUGUUCUGGUGCAUAUUGGGCUAAGUGGUCGAACUCAUUGGUAUACUCAAGAAUGUUGCGGUUCCCUUGCUGGAGUCCUAAAAAUUGCUCCAGUUUCAUUCGCAUGAUACCUUCCAGCACAAACUGUGUCCUGAAGGCUUCCUUAAAGUUCUCCCAUGUAACCUCCCUUCCAACUGGCUGCCUAGCCAGAUAGCUGGUCCACCAGGUCCCAGCGGGACCUUGAAGCUGGAGUCCUGCAAACUCUGCCUUUUGAGUGGUGGUGCACUGGGGGAUUACUCAAAACUUCUGUUCCAUUGUUUGAAGCCAUUCAUUAGCUUCAAGGGGAUGCUCAGCCUUCAAAAAUAUUGGAGGACGAGUCUCCAGGAACUGGGUGUAGGAUACACCCCGCUCUGGAUCCCGCCGAUUUCCAUCGUUACCAGUGUUCUGUACGAUCAUUUGAAGUAAUCGAGCCUGUUCGGCCCCGGAGUUCAUAAGGCUGGCUAUAGCAUCUGCCAGCGUUGGAGCUCUCGGUAAAUUCUCCUCAUGGCCCCCUGACCCUGAAGCUCGUGGACCUCUUGGAUCCGUCAUGCUAUCAAGAGUAAACAAAACAUUAAUAUUUAGGGUGCAUUUUAUCAACAGUUCCCUGCACACUAAUAUUUCACACAUCACAACAUGACCAUACAUAAACCACACUUAUACACAUAUUUAUUUAUAGUACAUGAUUUGAAGUUACUCUUUACAAAACCAUCGUGCUACUCUGUCCAUCACAUGUAUCUUACAUAAAUAUAUUACAACAUCUCUUAGAUAAGGUCUCGCUUCAACCAUCGUAAGGGUAGAUGCCUAGUUCUUCGGCAUUCAGUCCUAGUCGGGCCAUUGCUGCUUGUAGAAUAUCUUGCUCCACUGUCAUCAAUGUUUGUCCUGGAGGAGCGACAGGUGGGGCUUGAUUCACUGAGUUCUCACUUCCUGAUUCCGGCCCGAGGUCGCUCGAAGUGUAAGAAGUGUAGGAUGCAGAGGUACUAACUCCGGAAUUUCCCUCCAUCUCUUCAGGAUCCUCCUCUUCUUCCCCGUCUUCUUGCUCCGCUUCUUCCCACUGCUACAUUGGCCCGUAGCCUUGUGGAUCUAGCCCAUCGGCGUUUGCAUUGGCCCAGACAAAUUGUUGAUUUCCCACGGGAGCUUCACCCUGAUCAUCUUCCAUGUCAACAUCAAACCCUUCUAAGUUCUCAUGAGCGUAUAGAUCAAUCUCAGGAGCUGCAGGUGGAGCAAGAUCUUCCUUCACUCCUACCACAUCCACUAACUGGUCCGCUUCUUCUGGGUUCGGUGGCUGGGGCUCUUCUGGUGGUGGAGGCGGUGGAACAUUAACAAUGUUUUGCGCAGGUACCUGGGCCUGCAUCUCCUCCAAAGCCAGACGAAGUGAUAAGAUCUCGUCCAGCUGCUGGAAUCUUUUUGCUUCAAGCCUAUUAACAUUGGAUUCGGCUUCCUCCCUUGCUCUAUCUGCCAUGCUCCUGCUAGCCUCUAUGAAUCCUUGCAUCACCCUGAGUUUUUCUUUGUAGUCGUCUAUUCUCCUGGACUGUUCCCUUAUUAUUUUCUCCAUGUCGUGUUCCCUUGUCAAUGCCGCCUUUUUGUACAAUUCCUUAUCAUGUCGGGCGCCCAUUAACUCCAUUUUGGCGUCUUCAUUUUUCUGCCUCUGAUUGUAAUACUCUCUGAUGCAAGACUGAUGUAAGUUGUACAUGGCCGUCAUGUAAUCAGAAGCAGCAGCAACCAAGAUAUCGUGCUCUACACGAGAAGAGUUCUUCAGAGCUUUAAUUCUCCUCUUCCAGAUCCCGUCAUCUUGAUUCUUGAUAGGAUAGAACCGAGCAGAGCUCGACCCUAUCUCUACUUUGUGCUUUUCACAUAACUCGGUAAGAGCAGUCAUAGCCGCCCUUUCAAUUGUGUCAUUGAACUCAAAGCCUGACUCCAUUACUUCUUCUAGACGCCAAUUGGGAUUGGUGUCUUCAUCUGGAAUGUGCACAUAAACAGUGCAGUACUGUUUGUGACCCGUAUCUUCCUUCCUCCAAUAAUAUUCUGGAGGGUUGUGAAAGCCUAAUUCCUGCAGCGUCUUCCAUAGCAACUUCACAAACCCCGGCUUAUCCAGAUAAUGGCCGCGGGUCCAUCCAUCUUGAUCAGUGUAACCUUCUUGAAACAUCCUAUAAAAGAAACGAGGUCAGGUCUAACGGCACUCACUAAACCCAAAAAUUUUGAAAAUAUGCUUAUGCAACAUGAUGCAACGAUUCCUACGGACUCACAGACUCAUAUACACACUCGUAAAGAAAUUGGUGGCAUCGUAAUCUCUCCCUAAAUAACAGACUACCGAAUACUAGCGACACGCAGCAAACAGUUAGCAUCUGCAAAACAAACAACCAGUUAACACUACUGCCACCUGUGACUCAUGUUUUCUUUAUUUUAAAAUAGAGUCCCAGUUUUUAAAUGGUAAUACCUGUUGAUUAUCCCAACCUACGGCUCUGAUACCAGCUGUGGCGGAACCGUCCAACUUAAACUGAUUUAAAUGCGCCUAAUUGCUGCCGACGUAGCAAUUAUUCGAAACGCACUUAAAACAGUAUAAGUCCGGUCGUCCGUCGAGUGUCCCUAGGACUCCUCGAAAGAUCCACGUUGUGUCUCGUAGCCAUACAUCAGGAUAGUAUCCGCGAUGGGAUAGCAUCAACAAAUAUUACAUUUUUACAUACAUACAAGAGGUACGAGUUAUUACAAGACUUAGUUUGAAGCAAACUUAAUAGUGCAGUGUUAGACAGAGUUCUAGGACUUAAAACAUAAACGGUUCAGAUGGAGAUGAGCAUUAAAAAAAACUUCUUCUAAGGGUAUUGUGAGACUCAUAACAAUACCCUAGGGCUUCGGGGCUUCCUCCUCGGUGGACUCCUGCGGUGCUUCUGAAAAGAUAGCCACAAGGGAUAACCCUGAGUACGAGGUACUCAGCAAGUCUUACCCGACUAACCAAUAUAAUAGCUUUUCUUUGGAAGUACAUGAUAGCUUUUUGGUGUACUUGGCUGAUACAUUUUUGCCGAAAAGCUUACUACAAGUGAUGCCUUAGUUUUAUCUUUUAUUUGGGUUAAGUCAUUACCUAACCAUUCUAGAUGAUGAGAAGAAAGUAAACGCAACCAUAGAUAUUAAGUCAUACAUCAAACAUUAUCAGAAAGAUAUGCCAUUCAUGAAUUUAUGCUACGAUGCUCAACAGUGAUCAAGUGCAUUCAUAACCGAGAAUUGCGGCGAUCCGGAUCAAUUUACAUCCUGCAGGAGAGUACCCCGAUCACCAGUUAUAUACGACUGUCCAGGUCGUACACAACGACCUUUCGAUUAGCAAAAUCAAUGAUUGGGAAUAAGACUACCCGGACCCAGGGACGCACCCCCACAUGGGACCCCAUGUCUGGCCCGAUCACCAUGUGAGUUUCAGGCUACACCCCUGCCAAUCUCCAGCACGUCAAGCGCGGGUACGAAGUAUUCCCGAUCAGAGAGUUUGCUAACCUACUGGGCUUUACUGGUCCCAUACCCAGUAAGUGAUCAGAUGAUUAUCACUUGAUCAAAGGUUAAGACAACGAAUCGGGCCUUCACCACAUUAAUCUAGCAGACAGAACUACAUCUCUAGCUUCUAUCCGCUUCUCAAUUCCAAGUCAUCUUCCCAUAAAUAACAUGUAAGACUCAAAAAGUUUUCCUUAAGGUUGGUAAACCAAGCAUUGAAGCAACUAAGCAUUUCUAGACUUGGGAUACCUACUAGGGUUUGAACAAGUGGCAAAGAUGUCCUUAGAACAAGGUAUGAUCAUGCACAAGAAUAGGUUUCAAGCAACUCCUAGACUUAAUGCAUACAUAUAGCAAAUAACUGAAUAUAGGACACAUGAAAUAUUGACUUCAAAAUAAUAGGUGUAAUGCACCGGGGCUUGCCUUGUUCGCUUAAAAAGUUAGUACUGUCCGACGGGUUGGCCUCGCAGGGGACCAAUUCAAAGACUUCUUCAAACUCCGAAGGUCCUUCUGAAAAUUCCAAGUAAUCUCCUUCUGGUGCUUCGGGGUCUAUAGCACAACACAUGCAGGGGUUAGGAAUGCAAAUUUUUGAAUAAAAGACUAUACAACUUUCCUUCAUGAUAAAGUUGCAAGCCGACAAGGACUAUACAAUUUAUCAUGAUAAAGUUGCAAGCCAACACACAAAAACCCAAAAAGAUUAGCCCAAAAUUUUUAUUUUCUUACCUAACCUUACUCAAGGCCUUUCUUUUAUUUUUUUUGAAAAGGUUAUAAUUAUUUUCUAACUUGAAAAACUAAUUUCCUAUGAGUUGAGAAUAAUUUGUGAUUACGAAAUGUUAUCCCAUAUUUAUACAUUUUAUAAGAUUAAGUAUUAUUAAUUACUUAAAAGAAAGGCAUUAAAUGAAUACCUAAAUUUUUAUAGUUUUCCUAGGGUAUAAAAAUUUUAAUGCAUAAAGGAAAAUAAAACAAGCCUAACAAAAUUGGUUUCACUAAUUUUGGACACUCCUAGAAAUUUCUGUGAUUUAAAUGGUGGGAUUCCAAUUUAAACUAAUUAUUCUAUAAAGGAAAUCCAAAUUUUCCCGAAAAACACCCCCGGCGACUUUUCUCACGCGGCUCGACUCUACCCCCUCUCACUUGCGCUGGGCCCGUGACGCGGACCCACCCCUUCUCCUAUUCCUUCUACCCGCCGGCCUCCUUUUACCCCGGCCGGGCCCUAUUGGGCCGAUUCCUCUUUCCCCUUCUUCUCCUUUCGCUCGCGACGGCCCAACGGCCCUCUUUUCUUUUUCUUCGUUUCCUCGCGAGCGCGGUCUGCUGGCUCCUCUGGGCCUCCGGCCUUCCUCUCCACGGUCGACCGCGAGCGCUCCUGGGCUUUCAAGGCCGCAGCCCAACUGGCCUCCGCGUCCGGCCGGCCGACUCCCUCUCCCUCUCUUCCCUACUGACGCGCGGGCCCAAGGCGCCAGACUCUUCUUCCUCCUCCCGCCAAAACUCGCGCACGACAGGGGGCGGUGCGGCUCGCCGACCGGCGCCCUACCCGCGGCAGAACUAGGUCAGGAAAGCACCUCCAUGCCCUCACACACCCGUGCGUGGCAGCACUUCCUCGGGAGAUGGCCGGAGCCAUUCCCUCCACGGCGGCGGGCGGCGGCACCUACGGCCGGUCGCGACUACGCACGACAACGGCGCAAACUACCCCGACGACUACCACGACACCAUCCUAGCAUCCUAAGCACCUGCCUAAGGCUACCCAAGAAGGAAGAGAACAAGCGCAAGGGGGUGCUCACCGUGAGCGGGAGGUGCGGCGACGACGGACAGAAACGGCGGCGGUUUAAGGCGUACCGGCAGAGAGGCUGGGCAACAAGCUGCUAGGGUUGCUGGUGGGGUGUGGGUGGAGGUGUGGACGGAGGGAAUCGACGGGAGCUGCGGUGUGGUGGGAGUAUUUUUCUCGGCGGCGGCGGCUUGGACAGAGGAGAUGGCGGCGGUAAAAAGGACAGCGGUAGAAACGGCGGCGCGGGAGCGAUAGUUAUUCAAGCUUUCACCGCGCGCAUGGGCGACACCGUGGCCUACUCGUAGGCUUGCGUGGUGAGGAGGUGGCGUAGCUGCCGCGCUGGCGAGCGACCGACGACGGCGGCGGCGACACGUCCUGCUUGCUCUGUCAUCGUUCCCCCCCUUUUCUUCUGACACCCGAAACUUCAGAGCUCCACCACGGCCGAUUCCAAAUCCGACAGUGCAUAUGUGUCUUAAGAAAAGUUGUAGAUAAUCUCGAGUUUUCCAAUUGAUAUAUAAACCUUUGCCCGAGAUAAACAUCCAAAAGUCUCCAAAUUUAAAUUUUUCUCGGGCAAAUGACUGAACCCUUUUUCCCUUCCAUUCAGUUUCGUCAGUCACUCGAUGUGGUCAUGUGCCCGACUUAGUGAAUCAUUUCGGUGCUCCAAAUCCUCUUUCUGUAGUUCAACUUCUACCCAAUUGUGUUCUACCAUCUUCAAGGUUUCCAUUUUUCCCAAAAACACCUACCUCUUUCGAUCUACAUUCCUCUGAAGUCCAUUUCAAAGUCGGCCACACACUGCUGUCUUCAGACUUAGUCAUUUUCAGUGAUGCAAUUACAGUGACGAGAUGCUGACUUUAGGCCUUCAUUUGAAAUAGAUCCCUCUGCUAUUCUUGAUCAAAAACACCCAAAUCUAGUAGUCCAAAGUCCACACUUUAAUAUGGUGUAGUUGUUCUGAUUUACUUAUUUGAAAAAUUCAUCAGAAAUUAAUUUUGAAAAUGGACUCUGCUGCUGUUUUUCUGAAAUUUCCUAUUGUCAGAUGGUGAAUAGUGCACUUCGGUUUUAUUUGCUUUCUUUGAUUCUUUUGAGAUAUCUAGGACCAAUUCUGUUCCAAUUUCUUGAUCCUCAAGUUCUAAUCACCCUUACACCAUUAUUCCAUAUUUUUGACGAAUUUUUCUGAAUUUCAAUUCAAAAUUCAAAUUUCGGUCAAAUUUGACCUGAAUUUGAUUUUUGGCCAAUUUCUUUUUCUUUUCUUCUCAAAUUGCUUCCAAUUUUUCAAAGUCACUUUGGUGACUAAAAUGGCAAGGUAUUACAUCCCUCCCACUCCCCUUCGCCUAGUCCACUCCGGCUGCGAGCGGCGGCGGCGGCGCCGAAGGCUGCACGGGCAGCCCCUGCUCCGCCUCCGCCCCCGAAGUUGUAGGCCUGGCGCUCACGCUCGCCGUAACCUAGCGCCGCUAGGGCGGAUGGAGGGCGGCAGGCGGGCGGCGCGACCUGGGGCGGAGGGAGGGCGGCGUGUCGGGGGAGGAGGUGGAAGAGGAAAAAGAACGUACCGAUUCGGUACAUAACCGAUGGUAGGCGUCUAAAUAACCCAGAAAGCUAGUUAGAAGCUCGUUCUUUCCUCCUUUCCAGCUUACCAUUGUAACGUGGCUUUCCACAGCUUUUAGCUCAUGAAAAGCUAGGCUCAAAAGCUUGCCAUUUGUUCAAACUUUCGACUUCUGGGGGUGAGAAGCUGGCUGAAAGCCCAAACAAAUAGGGCCUAAAGAGGGUCUUCCCAGGUGGAUGGAAUGGGAUUAAAGGACCCCUUUUUGUCUCGAAAAAUUUAUCCCGAAUGGUUUUUAGAGAGAUUUAGCCUCUACCAACCGGGACUAAAGUCGAGGUUUCUAGCAGUGAGUGCAGAGGCUGAAUACAGGGCAGUGAAAAAUGCAGAUGCAGAGUGCUGCUGGCUAAGGUAAUUGCCUGGUGAAUUACAAUGUGCAGUCCUGUCAGCAACAGUGGUCUUCGGUGACAAUAUAUCUGCAGCUUACAUGGCCAGUAAUCCUGUUCAUCAUCACAGCACCAAACACAUCGAGUUGGACAUCCAUCCCUCGGUGAGUUUUGCAUCGUUCGUUUACCAACUGAUCAACAGAUUGCAGAUAUAAUGACCAAAGGAUUAGCUUCAGAUUUAUUCGACUCUUUUUUUUCUAGUCUGUGCAUUUUGUCAGGAGACGAUGUUCAGACUGCCGGGGGUGUUACACUGACAAUUAUAGUUUUCCAUUUGGCCCGCGGCCCGUGGGCCGGCCCACGGCACGACAUUUGGCCCGGUACAGGCACGGCUCGGCACAGCGGCCUUGCAGGACUGGGCCGGCCCGACCUACACCACGGGCCGGGCCUAGGCCGCUACCUCAGGCCGUGGGCUGGCUCGGCACGGCCUGGCCCAUUCAGCCCGUGGGCUAGCAACGGCCGGCACGGCUUGUUUAGGCGUGCCACGCCUGCCUCGGCCCGGCCAACGGCCGUAUAAAACACCAGCACCCGGCGACCCCUAGCCGAAACCCUACCCCGCACCCGCUCCGCUCCCGCAUUGAGCCGCCUCUCGCCCUCUCCAGCGCUCCCCUCGCUUCCUCCCGGCUCCUCGCCUCCUCCCUCCGUCCCUCGAUGCCUGCGCCUCCUCCCCCUAGAUCCUCCGCUGUCCUUGCCCGCCGUCGGUCUCACCCUGUCCCUCCCCUCUCAGAUCCGGCGUCCUCGCCCACCGCCGGCUCGCCGGUGGCCCAUUCGCCUCCCUCUCCCCGUAACUACUCUUCCACUCUGAGAUCUGGCGUCCUUGCCUGCCGCCGGCUUGCCGGUGGCCCCUCUGCCUCCCUCCCCCUGUAACUCCUCCUCCACUCUCAGAUUCGGCAUCCUCGCCUGUCGCUGGCUUGCCGGUGGCCCCUCCGCCUCCCUACCCCCGUAACUGCUCCUCCCCUCUCAAAUCCAGCAUCCUUGCCCGCCGCCGGCUCGCCGGUCACCCAUCUGCCUCCCUCCACGUAACCCCGCUUCUCCCCUAGCCCCUCUGGCCCUCCGCCUUCCUUCCCGGCUCCUCGCCUCCUUCUCCCAACCCCUCGCAGAUCCGCCUCACUCCCUGGUUCCCCACCAUUGCGGUUCGUCUUCUCCGGCUUAGGGCUCCGGCUGCGUAGGUAAACAACCUCCUCUCGUUCCUCUUCUUGUUUCGACCCCUCGCAGAUCCGCCUCCCUCACUUUUCUCCUCUUGCAGGUCUCCUAUAGGUGCCGUGCGUCGUUGAGGAACGGAACCGUCGAGGCGACGAUGUCAAUGGUGGAGGGCUCGAGGGUGUGUUCCCUGUUCCGGGUGUGCUCUUCAUUUGAGGUCUUAGGAUGGACGACGACUAUCCAACCUGCCUCAAUGAUGAGUUGCGGUUGAUGGGGGAAACCGGAGAUGAUAAUUCUGAUUUGGAGGCGGAUCGGCGAGCGCUGCUCAGUGGUGCCGUCCCCGAUUCUCAGCCAGGUAGUGGAGAUUCUCCACCACCUGCUGCUACUGGCUCUGGUGCUGGUCCGGGCUCGGAGAGUACGGGCAGCAAGAGGACUCGUUCUUGCACCUCUAAGGUAUGGGACGACUUUGAGCCACUGUACGAGGUAAUGAAUAACAAGAGGGUAAGAACUGGUGCUAAGUGCCUACAUUGCAAGAAAGUUUAUUUUGGUAAGUCUUCUAGUGGUACUGGACACUUGCAUAGGCACCUUCCAAAGUGCCCAGUCUUGCUAGGUGCUUCAUGUAUGGCUCAGUCCCAACUCAAGUACAAUCCUGAUGGCUCUCUCCAUAUGUGGGAGCACAAUCCUAAUGUUGCUCGUAUCCAGUUGUGCAGAUUGAUUGCUAGACUAGACCUUCCUUUAUGCUUUGGUGAGUCUGAUGCAUUUGAGGAGUAUAUUAAUAUUGCUCAUAAUCCUAGAUUCAGUUGUGUGUCUAGGCAAACCACCACCAAAGAUUUUGUUAAGUAUUUUGAUGAGCGUCGUACUAAACUUGUGGCUUCUUUGCAAUCUGUUUCCUUUGUUGCUCUUACAUCUGCCAUAUGGUCUGGUAAUGCUAAGGAAGAUUACCUUAGUGUGGUUGUUCAUUAUGUGAAUGCUGAUUGGCAACUAGAGAAGGCCUUCGUUUAAUUGAUGUUUCUCAUAAUGCUGAUAAUAUUGCUGAGCGCAUUACAUCUGUUGCUACUGAUUAUGGUUUAAAUGAUAAGAUAUUUUCUAUAACAUUGGAUAAUGCAUCGGCAAACACUGCCGCAAUUGGUAAGCUUCAUCCUUCAUUGACUGGUUACAUGGGCAAACUAUUUUUUCAUCAGCGUUGUGCUUGUCACAUUGUUAAUCUUAUUGUUCAGGCUGGCCUUGAUGUUUUCAAGCCUAUGCUUAGUUCAUUUAGAACUGCAAUUUCAUUCCUAAAUUGUUCUAACCAACGUAUUGUGGCAUACAAGUCAUAUUGCAUUGCUAUAGGUGUCUGCCCUCGUAAGUUUGCUUUGGACAUGGAUGUUAGAUGGAAUUCAACUUAUCUCAUGUUAAAGAAUCUAUUGCCCCAUAAGAUCACAUUCCAUUAGUUCAUAACCACUUAAUAUGGUUUGGUUGAAGGUCAAACAAUUCUAACAGAAUUACACUAGUAUGUUGCUGAAAAGAUUAUGAUAUUUCUUGAACAAUUCUAUGAUUCUACUGUUAUUCUGUCUGGUGUUUAUUAUCCAACUGCUCCAUUAAUCUUGCAUCAUAUUCUUGAGAUAGCUAGGCACCUUAAUUUCUAUGCUAAUGAUGCUAAUCUGAAACAUGUUGUUGCACCCAUGAAGUCUAAGUUCUUAGAUUAUUGGUCUGAUAUACCUAUACUUUAUGCCUUUGCUUUUAUAUUGGAUCCUAGAGCUAAGAUUACUGGUUUUAGCAAUGUGCUUCAGCUGAUGUCUCAGCUAACUGGUAAGGAUUAUUCUAGUUACUUAACUGAUGUAAGAGCUGAAUUGUCUACAAUCUUUGGCAAAUAUGAAGCUAAGUAUGGUUCUGUGAGGAUGUAGAGGGCCACUCAGCCAGGCCCUGCAGGUAAGAAAAAGACUGCUUGGGGUAAGAUCUUUGGUUCCCAGGGUGCUUCAUCUACUUAUUCUGCUGCUAGCCUUGGUGCUGGCCUGGGUUCUACUUCUGUUUCCUCCUCCCUGUCUAGGAGACAAUCUGCUAGUGCUUUAUUGCAAGCUGCUCAAACAGGUGCCUCUCUUGCUGCUGCUUCUGAACUGUCUGCCUACCUAGACAGUGACACUAUCAACCAAUAUGAUGAUGACUUCAACAUAUUGACCUGGUGGCAUGAGCAUAAGUUAUCAUAUCCUCUUCUAUCUAUCUUAACUAGGGAUGUUAUGACUGUGCCUGUCUCUACUAUAUCUUCAGAAUCUGCAUUUACUACCACUAGCAGGAUCAUUGAGGAGCGGCGACGUCGUCUGACCCUGAGAUGGUGGAGAUCUUGGCUUUGAUCAAGGAUUGGGAGCAAGGAGAUUCAAGACUGCAGCAUACCGUCGACGAUACCGAACUUGAAGAGUCAUUUGAGAAUUUGUAUCUUGAUGAGUAAGAUUUCUAAUCUCAUUUACUUCUCCUGCAACAUACUUGUUACUUGAUGAUCUCUGAUCCUCCUAUCAUUUUUUACAGAAGCUAGAUGCUUGUUGUCCUGUUGGUGCUCUGUCAAUAUUCAGGAGCAAGUUAGAACUCAGAAGCCUCAUGCUAUUGUGCUUGUGUAGGUCUUGUGACUUGUGAGUUGUGAGUUGUCAGUUGAGUUGUGAACUUGUGUCUGAACAAUGAACUUUGAUGAGCUGGCUGUACUCUUUUUUCCAUUGUAGGGUUUUCUCACGAGGUGUGAGUUUUUACCUACAAAGAUUUUUAAUGAGGCAGCAAUACAAACAACUCAAAAUAAUAUUCAAAUUUGUUUGUGUUAUUGUGAUUGUGAAUCUGUGUGAAUAUGUGAAUCUGCGUGAAUCUUUGUGAAUAUGUUGAACAUGUGAAACUGUGAAUAUGUUGAAACUAAGUUUUGAAUUUGGCUUUGAAACUGUGAAAAUGUCUUAGUGUGAUGAAUUUGAUUCUGGUUAGGGGUUUUUAAUAAAAUGUGUCACAGGCUGGCACAGGCACGGUGAGGCUGUUAAGGCCCGCCGGGCUAGCGGGCCGGCACGGCCUACGUAAGAAGGUAGCAAGCUGGGCCUGGGCCGCUUCUUCGGCACACGGGCCGGCCCAGCCUGGCACGGCUGUUGUGCGGGCCUAAACAGGCCGGGCUUAUUCGUGCUCGUGCCAGGCCAGGCCGGGCCGCCCAUUUGGCCAUCUAUACUAACAAUGUAAAUGGUUGUAACGUUCUCCUAUACAUUGUAUAGGUUUGAUCCUACUCUCUCGGUCCCAAAUUACUAUUUGUUUUGACUUUUCCAAGUACAUGACUUUGAUUUAUAAGGGCAUAGCAAAAGCUAUAAAUAUAAAAAAACCAAAAUAAAUAGAAAUUUGUGACGGACGGAGUAGAUUCUAGGCUUGACCGAGCACUAGUUUGUUAGCCAUAGGUGCUUCCUGAACAUGUAUUUAACCACCUCCGCUCAUGAAUGAAAGUGUGUUGGAUCAAAAGAUCUCUCACAUUCUCUCGUUCUACAAUCAUCAUCGUCGUCAUCUAGCUAGCUUUAAUCAGCUGCCGUGGCGACUGGCGCGAGGCAGCUCCCUGCCGGCGAGGAAGUGCGCGAAAAGCUGGCAUGUAGCAGAGCAGAAGAUGACUUGAUGGAAGGCAUGUAGUAGACGUAGUUGAUGUCGAGAAAGUAGUACUUAUAGGUCUAAUGGUGUGCAUAAACGAGCUGCAGCAUAAAGUACAUCUCCUUAAUGGGCUAUAAAGAAAGGGCCCAUUAGGCAUUUCUUGGGCAUCAAACGCCAAUUUACAUAUUUGCGAACAAGCCCACAUAUUGCUUCCUGUACUUCGUUGUAUCAGCAUGAUUGCUAUAAUGGAGAACAACUUUUAGAUGUUGAAAGGCGUGGAAGAGCACGACGAAUCCCGAGUCAGCCGUGGAAGCAGCCAGCAGAGUCGCGGGGGUGCUAUUCAAGCUCGCCGUGAACACUGCAAGAAACAAACUCAAAAUGAUUAAUAUACUUUGAUGAUGAAUGGAAACGGUAUGACAAAACAGAGGGGUUUCUGUGUACUUACGAGGCUCUAAGUCUCUGCCGUUCACUGGUGGAAAAGUGAGCAUUAGUCCUAGUUGGAGAGUCACAUAGGUCUCGAAAAUCCAAUCGGAACUAAUCUUUCGAGACUAAAUACCCCCCUCUCUAGUCCCUAGUAUUUCACCUAAGACUAAAGACCUCCUUUAGUCUGGUUAGUACUACCAACCGGGACUAAAAAUAUUUAAAAAAUAAAAAAAAAUGGGCUACCCCUGCUCCCGCCGCUUGCGCCUACGCUUGCACCUACACCGGGCCAGCCCAUGCCAUGUUGGGCCCUCGCCCACCGACGCCGCGUUGGGCAGCUUCACGCCAUGUCGGGUCCUCGCUCACGGCGCCGCGGCAACACAGCUCCCCUAUGCCGCACCAUCUCGCGGGGAGGGAGCUAGGAGGAGGAGGUCGGGGAGGUGGGGAUGGAGGGAGGGAGCAGAGCUUCGAGAGGAGGAGGCUGGGAGGAAGGGAGGGACCAGUGCUAGCUAGGCCGGGAAGGGGGAGGGAGCAGAGGGUGGAGCGAGUUGAGGGAGAGGAGAGGAGGAGAUAAGGGAGAGGAGAGGAGCGCUAGUUAGGAUCCUAAUUCAUUUUAUCCUAGCUGGUGGCUCCAACUGAAAUUAAAAAGGAUCCUUUUAGUCCCGAUUAAAAUUACAUUGCUAGAAAAAUCGAGAUAGGAAGUAAUUCAUGUUAUUCCUAGCGGAGUGGGGCCGAACUCCCGGCAGCAUGGGGCUGGCCUCCCGGUGGCACAGGGCUGCGGUGUGGGGGUCGGCCUCCUGAUAGCGCGGGGUUGCGGCUUUCCCGAGACAACGGUGCAGGGAGCGGCCUCUCGCACGGGCCCGACCUCACUCCAGAUAGAUUAAAGGGUACAGGCUGAUGACUGGUUGAGCCAUUGCUGAACAAAUAAAUCAUCGUAGAUAGAACCACCAAGCUCAUAACGAUUAAUCUAGCGUCCCUAGCAGUCGAAUCGGACCUAACCGAGACAGCGCUGGCAGCAGAGCGGUAGACUUAAAAGUUACUGGCCGAUGAAUUUAGAUGCGACGAGAUAAAAGGCUCAGUAAUAGCUCAGUGAAGGCCAAGAAUAAUAAGAUGUAUCGGUAAAAGCUUUACUGGCGGGCACGGCGACUUAAAAGUUACUGGCAUCCCAUCUAGAUCGGACCUAACCGUGCCAUCUAGAUCGGACCUAACCGAGGCAGCGCUGGCAGCAGUGCAGGAUUAAAAGCUUCCGAAUCACAAGACUCCUACUUGGGCACAUCAAAUGACUGAUACAGACUUUCCUAAUUUAACAUAAGGAAACUAAUCUUUAAGAUACAAUUAUGACCCUACAUAUCCCAUAUCUGGUAGGAUAAUGCAAUGUAUAGGCCUUUCCAGAGUCCUUGUCUGAUACGCCUUUCCAAUAUCUUUAUUAGAAUAUUCUUUUCAUUAUUUCAGGUUUUAUAGGAUUUUAUGGGCCAAAAUCCUGUGUCAACAGUUUUUCUAACUUUAAGUAAACUAUAUAAACUUGCACAUGUCUAUUCUCCCCUAUAAAUAUAGACGCCGGCCAGCGGCAUUAGCAACUCGAGAGUUGUAGAGCACACGGGAUAAUAUGUCUGGCAACAUGAGUAGUAGUCCUGGCUACUUCCUCGCCCUUUCCAUCCUGGUCCUCGGCGUUACAACUAACCUGCAGCCGCACCCUGGCUGCACAGCUGCUAGGGAGUUCCCAGGGGCCAACUCGCCCGCCAAGCAUCAGGCCCCGGUGGCUGUGGGCACCGCCGCCCCAGCCGGGACCAAUGGCAACGACACUACCGCCCCACAAGUGGCCGUUCAUGGCCGCAGUAGCCCAGGUAUGGCAUGACUGACAGCCCUUGCUAGCUCGAUUUGGGCAACCCGCAUCUCAUUUUUCGCUUCCCAACAUGACCAUGACGUUACAUUUCUAUCUGUACAUUUUAGCAGCAGCUAGCCUUCAUCUUUACAUAUUUGAUGUGGGUUUAUUUACAUAUCUUUUUCCCCUGUUUUAUGCCUUUUUGCGUGCCAAUUAGCUGGAGGGGCCGAAGGGCAAUACAUGGACCUCAAGGGCGAGUGCGCAACUCGUGCAGGGUGCUACGUUCCAGGGGUUGCAACACAGAGACACCCGACCUUUCCGCCCGUAGUUGGUUCUCCAACAGGCGGUUCUUCAGGAUUUUGGGAGUUCGUCCGUGGUGGAUGGCGGAGAAUGAAGAUUCGUCCUCCCGUACGAAAAUGACUCCCUGCAGCCGCAUCCCUUAAACCAUGGUUGAUGUCUUCUGCCCGUGUUAUAUGGGAGAAAAUCAAUGGUGUAUGGGAGUUACUACUGUGUCUGAUACCUAGCUAGCUUGGCAUCCGCUUGGUGUCGGCCAUUUGGGAAGGCUCCCUGCUGCUUAAUGAGCUAGCCUUCAUCGUUAAAUAAAACGUCUGAAAUAUGCAUUUACUCGUACUGUAACGCUGCAGUUCUCUCCUGCGUCCAACAGAGCUGGGGUUGGCUUCUGAUUCAUGGUCUGGAGUCUUCGACGAUGUGGGGCGCGGCGUACAGAUCGGACCUGUUGAUGAAGGCCCUGCCAUUUUUCUCGUGUAUUGUUUCUUAGAGUCUUUUGUUCAGGGGUUGAAAGUUGUAACAAGCAGGGUGUGCUCUGUACAACAGAGGUGUCAGCACUCUAUCGCUGUUUAUUUAUAUAUAUUUUUGAGCUAAAAUUUGAUGAAUAGCUUGCUUGUUAUAUAUGAUUCGUAUUAAGUAAAGAACUUGAUCAAUAUUAGAUCAAUAUUAGGUAUGGAAAAAAAUAGAGUAAAUGUGUUUUUAAUAUUUAGUCAUUACAAUAAAGUUAAGGUAAAUAAAUUGUAGGUGUAAGAAGUAGAAUUUGGUCAUUGCUACAAGUUUUCAUGUCACUGUAUUUGAACAAUAAUUUAUUUAUCUCAUGUUUAUUGCAAGGAUUAAAUAUUAUAAACAUAUUUACUCUAUUUUUUCCCCUACCUAUUUUUGAUCAAGUUAUUUAUCUAAUACAAAGCCCUAUGUUCAAUUUUUCACAUAAUACGAUACAGAUGGAUCGGCAAUGGAUGUACCACCUCCGCUCCUCCAAUCCUAGAGAACAGUGUCUGCACAUGGCAUGAAUGUACUUACACUAUUCUCUAGUAUUGGAGGAGCAGAGGUGGCUCUACAUCCUCUAGUAUUGGAGAAACAUUCUAAAGAGCUGGUUCCUCCGCUCGUCCAAUACCAGAGAACAGUGUCUGCACACAGCAUGAAUGUGCUUACACUAUUUUCUGGUACUGGAGGUGUGGAGGUGGCUCUCCAUACACUUUGUAGAAGAUCGAGUCAUGUGCAGAGAUGGCUUGCAGGGCGAAUAUUCUACUAUGUUGUAUCUUUAUUUUAAGAUAAUUGACUACAUGAAGUCUACUAUGCAGCGUCCGUAAUCUUUAGUGUAUAUGUAUCUUUAUUGUCAACCUAGUGAAUGUUAUGAAUGUUGAUUGGUGUAAUUUUCAUGUGAUUUAUUUUUAUCCUUAUGAAGGUUGAUUGGAGUAAAUUAUCAAUAUUGAUCAAGUUCUUUAUCUAAUACGAAGACAUAUGUUCAUUUUUCACAUAAUAAUUUAUUUAUUUCAUGUUUAUUGCAAGGACUAAAUAAUAUAAACAUAUUUACUCUAUUUUUUCCCUACCUAAUAUAAACAUAUUUACUUUAUUUUUAUCUUUAUGAAGGUCGAUUGGAGUAAAUUAUCAAUAUUGAUCAAGUUCUUGAUCUAAUUUGAAGACCUAUGUCCAGUUUUCACAUAAUACUAUGCAGAUGGACCGACAAUAGAUGUAUAAAGCGGACAGGUGGACCAAGAAGUUUGUUGAUGGCUUGCAUUAUUUUCUCGAAGUGGCCAAAACCAACAAGCCAGAGAUGGAAUUCAUAUGUUGUCCAUGCUUCCAAUGCAGUAACAAGAAGGACUACUCUUCCUGGGGGACUGUUCAUAACCACUUGUUUAGAUACGGUUUCAUGCAUAAAUAUUUGGUUUGGACCAAGCACGGCGAAAGAAGGGUUAUAAUGAAAAAUGAUGAACAAGAGGAGGAUAAUAACAAUAUUCCGAACUGGGCUACAUGUCAAGCUUUUGCAGAUACUACAAUGGGCAAGGCUGAUGAAGAAGAGUUUGUAGAAGACGGCCCUAUUCAUGAUCUUGGUCAGGUGCUAUGGGAUGCAAAGAGAGACUGCGAAACUAAGAAGGAAUCAAAAAAGCUACAGCACAUGAUAGAUGAUCACAAAAAAAUUGUUGUACCUAGAUUGCAAGCAGGGGCACAAAACACUGGGUACCAAACUGGAAAUACUAUAAUGGAAGGCAAAAAAUGAUGUGUCCGAUAAGGCAUUUGAGGAGACGUUGAAAAUUGUAAAGAACAUUCUUUCCGAGAAUAAUGAAUUGACUUCCACAACAUAUGAAGCUAAACAUGUUAUUUUCCCUCUGGGAUUGGAGGUUUAGAAGAUACAUGCAUGCCCUAAUGACUAUAUCCUCUAUCGUAGUGAUGAAUAUGAGAAAUUGGAUGCUUGUCAUGUGUGCGGAACACUGCGGUAUAAGAUCAGAUGAGAUGAUCCUGGUGAUGUUGAGGGGUAGCCUCCCAAGAAGAGAGUUUCUAUAAAGGUGAUGUGGUAUUUCUCUAUAAUACCACGUUUGAAGCAUUUGUUUAAAAACAAGGUGAAUGCUAAGUUGAUGCGAUGGCCCAAAGAAGAAUGUAAGCAAGAUGAGAUGCUAAGACACCCCGCGGGUGAGGCCUAGUGGAGAUCAAUUGAUAGUGCAUUCGUGAACUUUAAAAUUGAUACGAGGAACAUAAGGUUUUGUUUAAGUACUGAUGUAUUCAAUCCAUUCGAUGAGUUGAGUAGUGGUCAUAGUAUUUGGCCUGUGACUCUAUGUAUGUUCAACCUUCCUCCUUGGUUGUGUAUGAAGCGAAACUUAAUUAUGAUGUUGGUGCUUAUCCAAGGCUCAAAACAACCCGGUAGCAACAUUGACGUGUACCUAAGACUGUUGGUUGAUGAACUUUUACUGCUCUGGAAGGUAGAAGGUGUACAUAUGUGGGAUGAGGCUAAACAAGAGAGCUUUGACCUAUGAGCCUUGUUGUUCAUAACGAUCAAUGAUUGGCCUGCGUUGAGUAACCUUUCAGGACAGACAAACAAGGGAUAUCGGACAUGCACCCAUUGUUUAGAUGACACGGAUAACAUGUAUUUGAAAUACCGUAGGAAUGUCAUGUAUAUGGGCCAUCAUCGAUUUCUUCGUGCUAACCACCUAUUAAGAAAGAAAGGGAUGCAUUUCAAAGGGACCCCAGACCAUCGUAAAAAACCUGCACACCAUAAUGGAAAACGUGUAUUUGAGAUGAUAAAGGAUGUAAGAGUAGUCUUUGGAAAGGGUCUUGGUAGCGAACCUGUUCCGAAUGACGAUAAUUGAUAUGCACCCAUGUGGAAGAAUCUUUGUGUGAUGCAUGCACCUAAUGAAUAAUCUUUGCGUGAACGUGCUAGGCUUCAUGGGUUGUUAGGGGAACUCAAAAGAUACAUUGGAAGCACGACAGGAUCGGAAACAUAUGAAUCAACAAGAUGACCUAAAUCCGGAAAAGAGAGAUAAAGGAUAACACUACUUACGUCCUACUAGUUACACUCUCAGCAAGAAAGAGAAGGAUAACAUGUUUGAACGCAUGAAUAGUAUCCAGGUUCCAUCUAGGUACUCCUCAAAUAUAAAGAGAAUAAUAAAUAUAAAAAAAGAAGUUCUACAAGUGCUAUGGCUGGCCUCAGCGCUUGCAGCAAUUCACCCCGUUGUUGGAGCGCUGCCGCAGCCAAGUAGCAACUGCCAGAGAAGAUAUGGCCAACUCGAGAUCCACUACCCGUUUGGCAUCGGAUCAGGCGACUCGCCUGACCACUGUGCCAUGCCUGGCUUCUACCUGAACUGCAGCGACUCCAAGACAUUUCUUGGUAAUGUCGAGGUGCUUAACAUCUCGAUACAAAACAGCACUGCACGGAUGAGGGUGACCAUGGCCUCAUCUUGCUACAACACCUCCACUAAGGACAUGGACUACAACGCUCGGGCGUUGAACCUUACAGGUACGCCCUACAGGCUCUCCGACACGGCGAACAAGUUCACGGUUGUUGGGUGCAGAACAUUGGCAUACAUUGCUGAUCAGGACAACGUGGGAAAGUACGCGAGCGGCUGCGUGUCCAUAUGCCGGCGAGGUGAUGUGAGCAUCCUCACCGAUGGUUCAUGCUCUGGAAUUGGCUGCUGCCAGACAGCCAUCCCCAAGGGGCUACAAUACUACAAAGUGUGGUUCGAUGAAGGCUUCAACACAUCCCAGAUCUACGACAUCAGCCACUGCAGCUACGCGGCGCUGGUCGAGGCAUCCAACUUUACAUUCUCCACAAGGUAUGCUACAUCGUCGGCGUUCUAUGACACUUAUGGCAGGAAGCCGCCGUUGGUGGUGGACUGGGCUAUCGGGAAUGGAACGUGUGAGGAAGCCCGUAACAAGCCUGGAUCAUAUGCUUGUGUCAGCAGCAACAGCCAGUGCUUCAAUUCCACAAACGGACCAGGCUACGUCUGCAAUUGCUCCAAAGGGUUCCAAGGCAAUCCAUACCUUGUCGACGGAUGCCAAGGUAACGAAUCUGCAUAAACCUACAGACUACAUAAUUGAAACAUGAAAGAAGCUGAGUAGAGCUGUAGAAUCUGAAGCUUAAUUAUGAUAUGUAUAAAUGUUACUGAAAAAAUAGUAGUAGUACAGUUUCACCAGAAGCUACAAGCUAAGUCUAUUCCUGGUCUCUGAAGUAAAAUUUGACGCUCUAAACAUGUUAAAUGUUCCAUAUUAUCAAUCAAUAUACUGCAAAUUUUUUACAAAAUAUUUUUUAUGCAAUUGCUAAUACUGCAGAUGUUGAUGAGUGCAAGGAUCUGGAAACCAACCCUUGCUCUGUGAAGGAAGCUUGCAAGAAUACUCAUGGUGGAUUUGAAUGCACUUGUCCUCAACAGUCCCCCAAAGGCAACGCCUACAACGGGACAUGUGAGAAAGACCAAUCAAUUCCACUUAAAGUCACAAUUCCAAUAGGUACACCUAUCUUUCCUCUUUCAAUACAUUUAUUAUGUUUUAGAAGUAUAUAUGUUCAAAACAGAUCCACGAUCGUGAGAAGUUGGUAGAUAUUAUAAGGAGUAUCAAGCUGAUAACGUAUCCAACGGACAUGGAGACACAACCACGAAAACACAAAUAUUAAACGAAUUGCUUACCAAUUAUUAAUUGUUUCAGCUAACCAGAGUACUUUUCAGACUCUUUUUUCCAGCCGUCUAACAACUUGAAGUUUCCAUACAUGUCUGAUCUGCAGGAAUUUUUGGCUGUCUUUUGGUUGGUCUUUUACUUUUCCUUAUUAAAGAAUGGAUCAAGCACAAACGACGAAUAAUCAGGCACGAAUACCGAAGAUGAACGAAUGUUUUCAGCAGAACGGUGGCCAACUUCUAAUGGAUAUGAUGAAAGUAGAGAGUAACAAUUCAUUUCAGUUGUAUGACCGGGAAGAAAUUGAGGUGGCCACAAACAACUUCGAUGACAGAUCAAUCAUUGGAGAAGGUGGUCAGGGAACCGUUUAUAUGUGGCAAAAUCUUGAUGCACAAAACAAUCCUGUUGCAAUCAAGAUCUGCAAGGGAUUCGAUGAGAGUAGGAGAAGGGAAUUUGGUCAGGAGCUGCUUAUACUUUCUCGAGUAAAACAUGAAAACAUUGUCCAGCUUCUAGGUUGCAGCUUGCAGUUUGAAGCUCCAGUUCUGGUGUACGAAUUUGUGCCAAUCAAACCCUGCACUACCUGAUCCAUAGACAAGAUGAUGCAUCCAUCAGAACUAUGGAAAUCCGUCUUAAAAUUGCCACUGAAAUUGCUACUGCACUAACAUACCUACAUUCACUUAGUCACCCUAUCUUUCAUGGAGAUAUCAAAUCUGUCAACAUUCUUAUAGGCCACAAUCUCUCCGCUAAACUUUCUGAUUUUGGAUGCUCAAUGAUUAGGUCUGCUGAUGACAAUGUUCAAGUAGUGAAGGGGACAAUGGGCUACUUAGAUCCAGAGUACCUUUUGAACUUUGAGCUUACUGAUAAGAGUGAUGUUUACAGUUUUGGUGUUGUCCUUUUGGAGCUCCUAACACGUAGGAAGGCACUGUCCGAAACAAAGGAGAGCCUCGUGUCUGUCUUCACGGAAGCCAUGAAGGAGGGCAAGCUUGUGGAGCUCAUAGACACGGAGUUAGCCAACCAAGAAAACAUGGAUUUAUUACAUCAAAUGGCUGCAUUAGCAAGAGAAUGCUUGGCCAUGACUGGUCAACACCGACCAAUGAUGAGCCAGGUAGCCGAGGAGCUCCAACGAUUGGCAGGCCCGGUGCCACAGCGCACUCGACUGUUUCAUGGUAUUAACGCACUCAUGUUGCAGGGACGGUCGUCUAACAAUGCAGCAGGUGACUAUAUUAGUGAAGAAAGCACAGAUUACUACAACCUCAAGGAGAAAGCCUCCAUGAGCACAGAGUUUGCACGAUGAAAUCAGUACGCAUUAGUUGGUUGCGGCAGUGUAGACAUGCAUAGUAUAUUGACGUGUGUCCUAUUUAGAUACGUUCACAAUGUCAUAACAUAAUUUUGUUGAACUUAAUACUUCCUCAGUAAAGAUUUGUAUAGUUUCUAUAUAUACUGAAAUUACAUUGUAUCAGGAAAGUGGCUUUUGCCGUUCAAAAUUAUUGCAUUUAAAUAUGGUAUAAAGACUACUUUACAGCCGGCCGUAUUUUUGUUAAACGGAACGGCCGGUUCCAUCCACCGUCCAGCCAGGAUCUAACAGCCACGGAAGCUAGUGCUCGCGGGGUCCACAGGUCAGACCAGACGUUUGCUCCCCCAGGCAUACUAUAGAAAAUCUCGGGGCGCACCUGUUCGUCUUCAUCCGCUGAACUUUUUUUUAUUUUUAACCCUUUUUUUUCUUUAUUUUUAAAAAUAACCUCACCCGAGUUUUAUUUGCGCGGGGUGACCCUUUUGGCCGCGCCAGACCGCCUGGCGCGGCAGGAACACGUUGCCGCGCCGCAUGCACUGGCGCGGCGGCCCCUGCCACGCUGGCGCGGCGAGUCGUGGCGCCAGGUGGGCGCUGACGUGAGCGGGGCGUUCGCCGCGCCAGCCCGCCUGGCGCGGCAGGGCCAGCACUAGAUCCACGCGCCGGCUCCCUUCCUCCUCCCUCCCUCCUUUCUUCCUCCUCCAGACACACCCGAGCCCAAGCUCCUUGCGCCGCCCCCCGCCGCCCCACCCCCAAAUCCACCCAAAAUCCGGCGUUUUCGGUGGGGGAAAGUAGUGGAAAUCGAUCCCUGCUUCGUGUGGAAGGUAUUCCCCUACUUUUUCUCGUAUUUUACCGUUGCAUUUGGUAGAUCGGAGGAUGUUUAGGUGACUUAGGGUUAGGUUAGUGAUUUGAAAUUUCAAUGAAAUGCAAUGGUGUUUUGUGUUAGAUGAUACGUAGUUCAUACGCAAUUGAGUCUCUGCCCGCGAUAUUGACGUGUAGAACUUGUCGAUUUAAGGAUAUAUUCAUUGAAUCGUAUAGUGCAAUGUAUAUGUGUAUUUUUUGUUUGCAAUUUGUCCAAUAUAUGUAAUGUGUGUAGUUGAUAUGUCGAAUAUGUGCAAUGUGUAGUGUAUAUGACAUGGUGAAAUGUUUGUAUUUUGUAGAUGGAUCGUUUAGUUCGAUUUUUUGAUGGUGGUGUUGUGAAACAAAAUGGGGAGUUAGAGAAUAUGAAUGAGUCAAUUGAAUUCUUCGAUGGUCCUCCAAGUUUUAGUGAUUUAGUUGACCGUGUAAUGACGAAGUAUGGAUGUAGAGUGGAUGAGAUCGGUUUGAGAGGUCGUUUUGAUUGUGGGAAAGGUAGAGCUCAUUAUGUUCUCAUGAAGUUAGCAUCCGAUGCGAAUUGGAAGCACUAUAAGGAUGUUGUGCACGAAGCUAAUGUUGCAUGUUUGGAGGUUAUAGUCGAAAUUGUUCGUAUGCCUGGCCCAAAUGUUGUCAUGAGGGAGGAAGUGGCGGUAGUGAACCAUAAUGGUACCCAGGAGUCAGAAAUGUUGCAUCACGUGUUAGGUGAAACAGAACGUGAUUUUGACUUGGCUAUUGCCAAUGAUGAUUUUCCCAAUAACAUUUUUGAGAGGGAUGAAGCAAAUAUAGAUGUUGAUAAUGUCUCUAUGGGUUCCGAAGAUUGUGAAUUGGAGGAAGAUGGGGUAGUAGGUGUGGAGGUAGAGGAGGAAUCACUAUUUGAGAGUGGUGGGCAUGAAUAUGAGAACGUCGGGGUAGAAAAUGAAGAGGAUGGACCGCAAUUUGACACCGCAACCGUACAUGAUGUAGAAGGCAUUCGUCGUAUGGACGAUUGUUUUUCUUACACCCAGUAUGAGUUGCGGUUGUUAAAAGAACGUGAUGUCGAACUGCCAUCUGUUCCCAAUGAUAAGGACAUAAGUAUGGUUCACAAAGCAAUAUGUGAAUCUAGUAUGGUGAAUGCCGAAGGGACGUCCAUUGGUGAGAGUCCAGUGAUUAAGAAGGGGAUGAAGUUCAAUAGUCUUGAGGAGCUGAAGUUUUUCUUGGCUGACUACGCGGUGAGGUUACAUAGACCUUUUAGCGUAGUUCACUCUGACAAGAACUUAAGAUACAAUGUGAUGUGCAAGCAAGGAUGCCAUUGGCGUGUAUGGUCUCGGCUAAUAUCAAGCACCGGACAAUUGAAAAUUUCAAAUGUUGUGCAACCGCAUACUUGUCGGUCGUCACAGCCGAAGCGAGAGCAUGUACAGUGCACAGCAAAGUACCUUGGACGGCGUAUCCUAGGCAUUAUCCGUAAAGACAGCGAGACAUCGGUGCCAUCACUCGUGGAGUCCAUCUUCAUCUUUAGUGGGUACCGUGUGAAGUAUUCGAAGGCUUGGCGGGCGAAGCAACACACUGUUGCCCUGCUUUGGGGCGACUGGAAGGAGUCGUACGGCAUAGUUCCUAGGGUACUCUCAGCUAUGACCUACUAUAAUCCCGGAGUUAAAUGGUGCAUCGACUCAUGUGGCAUGAUGCUUCCUGACAAUGGAGUGUUGAAGCAUAUACUGCAAAGGGUAUUUUGGUGCUUCCCUCAAUGUAGUGAGGCAUUUCAACAUUGCCGUCCUGUGAUACUUGUGGACGGUACAUUCUUGACUGGCAAGUACAAGGGUACAUUAAUGAUGGCAGUUGUUGUAGAUCCAGAACAAUAGCUUGUGCCUCUUGCUUUUUCCUUGGUCGAGAGUGAGAAUAAUGAGAGUUGGUCAUGGUUUAUGAAACUUGUUCGGGUACAUGUUCUUGGACCUUCACGGAUAGUGUGUAUGAUAUCAGAUAGGCAUCAUGGGCUCCUAAAUUGUGCGAAGGACCACAUUGAUGGUUUUCCACCGCUUGUGCAUAGGUGGUGCAUGAGGCACUUUGCUGCCAACAUGUCACGUCGGCAGAAGAGCAAUCGUGUGAUUGGAAAAUUGAAAUUAUUAUGCAAGGUUCAUACAGAGAGAGAAUUUUGUGAGAAGUUAGAAGAUCUAGUGAAGGACUUGAACGACGACGCAAAAGAAUUGUUGAAGGGUGAAAUGGAGGACAAGGAUAAAUGGGCGCAGGCUUUCGAUGAGGGAGGGAUGCGCUGGGGAAUUAUGACCACGAACUUCUCGGAAUCACUCAACGGAGUUUUCAAAGGCAUCCGAAGUAGGCCCGUCGCUGGAAUUAUUGAAUACACAUUCGAAAAAUGCAACGCCUACUUUGUGAACCGAUGGGAAAAGGCACGUGAAAUGUUGGAUCAAGGCUAUAGAAUUGGGUAAGUUGCAGAUAAUUAUUUAUCAGAGGCUGAGCUUAGAUCCGUGCACCACUUAGCAGAACCGUACGGGCAAGAAAGGAUGGUGUAUUCUAUAAGAAGUUACGGUACGACUAACAUUGGGGGUGAGAGUCAUGGAGGCCGACACUACAUAGUGGAUCUGCACGAAGUUUCGUGCACCUGCAAUGUUCCUCAAUUGUUGCACCUUCCAUGUUUACACUUCAUUACAGCUUGCAAGGCAAGAGGUCUUAACUAUGAAAGCCCCAUGUACAUGUCACCGUUGUACUCUAGGGAGCACACCAUCAAAAUAUGGGAAUCAAGCUUUCAACCUUACCUAGAUCCGUCACAAUGGCCGGCAUAUGAAGGGGCAGGGUACGUGCCUAACCCCAGUUUAAUGGGAAAUAAAGUAGGAAGGAGGCAGAAGAAGCGUUUCACAGGCGACAUGGACGUGUCGGAAGGGAGGCUUUCUGCAGAUUAUGAUACUGGUGAUUUUGAUAUUGACAAGUCGGAAAAUCGUUGCUCCAAGUGCCACAAGAUCAUUAGGAAUUGCACGUGCCGCAGUAGAAAAUCAAAAGGCACUAAAUCUAGACCGAGCAGUAAUAGGCCGCGUACUUCGAACAAUUGGGUAUGCGCGUUGCUUGUAUUAUGCGUGGCUAUUAUUUUAUCUUUUUUUAUAGUAGUACAUUAUCAUAUUUUCCGUACUUAUCAUAUAAUGAAGCUUUUUACUAACGAUCAUUUUUGUUGUUUCUUUAGGAUGGCGGCCCCAGGGUACCCUCUUCUUGAGGCUGCUUACGACUUGCACCACCGUGCCCACCACCUCGCGGACCUAAAUGAGGUAUAACAAUGGUUGCUAAUUUUUGCUGAUGAAUGCAUACUUAGGAUGAGAAUUGCAAGAUUUUCGUAUGAAAUGUUCUUAUAAAUUAAGGAGCUGCCUAUCGUUACUAUUCACUUGUGUACAGUGUAAACAAUUUUAUACUGCAAAUGUCAUUUGUAUCAUAUUUGUGUUACUUACCACUUUAGAAGCCCGUUAUUCACAAUUGGAUUGACUUCUCAUUUUUUAAUAAUCUUAUAAUGUUUUGCAGAAUUUGACACCACUCAGGGCUAGGGUGCACUCACCACUUAGGUGGGAUGAGCGGUACGCCCAGUACCUGCAGAGAGCAGGUUUCUUGGAUAUCGCUGUUCAGGUCGUGGGGGGUCUCCCUCCAAUGGACGGACCACUGUUGACCGCUAUGGUCGACAGGUGGCGUCCGGAGACUCACACGUUCCACCUGCCCUUCGGAGAAAUGACCAUCACAAUGCAGGAUGCGGCUAUGAUACUCGGCCUUCCACUGGAAGGGCAGCCAGUGACAGGUAUUAUACAGAAUGAGAAUUGGCGUGAUAUGGUCGAGAUGCUUAUUGGGAUUAGGUCGCCAGAGCCAGAGGGUAGAGAUAUCUCGAAGAAAACGUCCGGUGUCAGCUCGGCAUGGUUGAGGGAGCACUUCGAAGUGUGUCCUCCGGGAGCAAAUGACGAGGUCGUGCAACGCUAUGCUCGAGUGUGGCUAUGGCACUUUGUCAGUACAUUCCUCCUUCCAGAUGCAGCUGGGAACACAGUAUCGUGGAUGGUUCUCCCCAUUCUAGGUCAGGUUUGGGAAAACAUAGCCGUUUACAGCUGGGGCUCAGCGGCUCUUGCCUGGCUGUACAGACAGCUAUGUGAGGCUUGCCGGCGCACAGCGAGAGAUUCCAAUGUUGGAGGGUGCACUUAUAUGCUCCAGAUUUGGAUUUGGAGCGAAUGCCCNNNNNNNNNNNNNNNNNNNNNNNNNNNNNNNNNNNNNNNNNNNNNNNNNNNNNNNNNNNNNNNNNNNNNNNNNNNNNNNNNNNNNNNNNNNNNNNNNNNNNNNNNNNNNNNNNNNNNNNNNNNNNNNNNNNNNNNNNNNNNNNNNNNNNNNNNNNNNNNNNNNNNNNNNNNNNNNNNNNNNNNNNNNNNNNNNNNNNNNNNNNNNNNNNNNNNNNNNNNNNNNNNNNNNNNNNNNNNNNNNNNNNNNNNNNNNNNNNNNNNUAUAGUUUUUUAAGCUAACUUCCGUAUAAUGUAGAUGAAAUAAGUAUGCGUGAAAAUUUUUGAAGGUGGAAUGGAAACCGUAUGACCGUGAGCAGCUUAGCCAUAUCGUCUUUUCACCGACGUGAUACAGAGACGGAGAGCUGUGGAGGUGCACGACCCCAAUGAUAUUGUACUACGUGGUAGAGUUUCAUAUGCCGCAUAGGGUGAUGCGGCAGUUUGGGAGGAUGCAACCGUGCCCUCCUUUGGAAUUAUCAACUUCACAGCAGCUGCACAGGUACGCAGGAAUAAAUAACUAUUGGAGGCUAUUCAAUUAACGCAAUUAACAUGCUAUACUAAUACUUCACUAAUUUCUGAUGCAGUAUCGAUCGCAGAAAGCGGUACAAGGAGAAUGAUUGGAGGUUGAAGCAUGGCCAGUACCUCCUCCUGUGGCAGAACAAGCAAGGAUGCGAUCCUGAAGGUGGACCGUACUGGCGACCAAACAAUGAGUACAUACGAUGGUACUGUACUUCGAUGAGAACCAAAGUGAAACCAUCUUGGACUAAUGUGCCCAUUGAGGAUGCACCGUCUGAUGAUGACGCUGACAUAGCUGACGUGUACGACACGGUGACACGCCAUGGGACACAGCCUGAGUGUGCACCUCUCCACGACUACAUGUGAAGAUUUCGGUUUGUAAUUAUAGUAUCGUCACAUUGAUCACUUAUGGAAUGAAAACUCCUUCGUGCAGGGACAGCAGCUUGCAAGGCUCUCAAACGAGGCGGGCGUGAUUAUGGAGCACGCCGUCGGGGAAGGUGAUGGUCUGCUUCGCGCUUUUGCAGAGGUAGAAGCCCAAACUAAUUUUCACUUAUACUCGUACUAUCUUUGUAACCAUCAAUAACAUAGUCGUGAAUAUAUGGCAGAGGGUUCGUAAAAGUUGCAGGCGAAUGGCUAUGAGGAUGAACUGCAUGACGUCCUCAGAUGCGCACGACGGGGGCAAUGUCCAGGAUACUUCUUCAGGAUCACGUCGGACUGCAUUGGCGACUACCCCCAGGGCUGCAACAUCGUCCACUGCUGCAGGUCCUAGCAGGAGAUCGCAAGGUAAGGAACCCGCAUCCCCUCAGGAAAGCGAGGACUCUGAAGGUGAGCAGUCUGAGGAUGAUGACCCUACAUAUGGUGAGGAACUGGAGAUUUCUCACGAUGCUCCACCUGUGACUCAGACGCAGGGAGAGUCCAGCCAGGUAUAUUCACAAGUUUCUCCAAAUUCAAUUAUACAUUUUAAUGUUCCCUCCCGAAGUGUCAUACAAAUUUUAUGAUUUGUGCCCAAUUAUUCCAUAGGAACCUGCACCUCAUACUCGGUUGCCACGCCGGCGUCGUCGUUCACGGGACCACACCGACGUUGGCAGCGCCAAUGCGCUGCCCACGCAUCCAAGGAGGGAGCGUCGCCCAAGAGAUCCUUUUAGCCCUCUAGAUGAGCGGCGGUCACGACACUGAACCUAGCAUGUCUCAAGACUUUUGGAACCGUCACGUGUGUCNNNNNNNNNNNNNNNNNNNNNNNNNNNNNNNNNNNNNNNNNNNNNNNNNNNNNNNNNNNNNNNNNNNNNNNNNNNNNNNNNNNNNNNNNNNNNNNNNNNNNNNNNNNNNNNNNNNNNNNNNNNNNNNNNNNNNNNNNNNNNNNNNNNNNNNNNNNNNNNNNNNNNNNNNNNNNNNNNNNNNNNNNNNNNNNNNNNNNNNNNNNNNNNNNNNNNNNNNNNNNNNNNNNNNNNNNNNNNNNNNNNNNNNNNNNNNNNNNNNNNNNNNNNNNNNNNNNNNNNNNNNNNNNNNNNNNNNNNNNNNNNNNNNNNNNNNNNNNNNNNNNNNNNNNNNNNNNNNNNNNNNNNNNNNNNNNNNNNNNNNNNNNNNNNNNNNNNNNNNNNNNNNNNNNNNNNNNNNNNNNNNNNNNNNNNNNNNNNNNNNNNNNNNNNNNNNNNNNNNNNNNNNNNNNNNNNNNNNNNNNNNNNNNNNNNNNNNNNNNNNNNNNNNNNNNNNNNNNNNNNNNNNNNNNNNNNNNNNNNNNNNNNNNNNNNNNNNNNNNNNNNNNNNNNNNNNNNNNNNNNNNNNNNNNNNNNNNNNNNNNNNNNNNNNNNNNNNNNNNNNNNNNNNNNNNNNNNNNNNNNNNNNNNNNNNNNNNNNNNNNNNNNNNNNNNNNNNNNNNNNNNNNNNNNNNNNNNNNNNNNNNNNNNNNNNNNNNNNNNNNNNNNNNNNNNNNNNNNNNNNNNNNNNNNNNNNNNNNNNNNNNNNNNNNNNNNNNNNNNNNNNNNNNNNNNNNNNNNNNNNNNNNNNNNNNNNNNNNNNNNNNNNNNNNNNNNNNNNNNNNNNNNNNNNNNNNNNNNNNNNNNNNNNNNNNNNNNNNNNNNNNNNNNNNNNNNNNNNNNNNNNNNNNNNNNNNNNNNNNNNNNNNNNNNNNNNNNNNNNNNNNNNNNNNNNNNAUAUUUAUUAGUAGGCCCAGUAAUUCUGACUACAUUUAACACAAGGCACAUGGUACUGACAAGACGCCCACAAAGUGUUCUGCAAUAGGAUUAGAUCAGACCGGUGCGCAAUCAUGGAUAAGAAUAACACACACGUGCAUUAAAUGUUAGGGGUACGUAUUGCCCCAUUUGUACUUCGUCUUCUACUAUUAUUGCAUCACAAAUACCUUCAAGUACACCCGCUCUACCAGCGCUAUGCCUUCCUCCUCUUCCACCGCCCACUCCUCCUCGUCCUCCAUCCAAAUCAUCAAUCCCAUCGAAGCUACUACAAUUUCUUUCACACUCUAGCGCUGACUACUAGCUCGGAGAGGAAACUUUGAUGCGUUUGGACAUAGUUCUCUCGAAAAUGAAAAUAGUUUUUGACAACUAAUUGUAGUUCCCAGAAUAAACAUAAACAUAAUUUUCUCAUAAAAGAACAUAGUUUUCACAGCUACAGAGAAACAUGAUCCAGCUACAUCAACACGUUCAUCUAGUCCUAUUCACCUUCAUAAAGUAACUCGUCGUCAUCAUCAUCAUCAUCAUCAUCAUCUCCGGCAACAACAACUCCCUUGCCUUUCUUAUCGACAUUAACCUUACCAACAGGUAAAUCAGCAACAAGAGCCUUCAUCGUCUCCAUCUGUGCCUCUUCCGCUUUUUGUUGUAACUCUUCCAUUUCAAUCCUUCUCUUUCUUGCCCUAACUUGCUGCAAAUAUUUUUCCCAUGAACCCUCAGGGUAUUUCACAUUCGGAUCAACCACAUAACCUAAGCGAUCUCUUUCCUCCCUUAACCUUUGUUUCUCCAACUCCCUCUCCUCCUGCAACUUCCUCCUAUUUUCUCUCUUCUCAUUUUCAGUUAGAGGUCGUGGAUACUUGGAUCUAUUUUGCCUCUAAUACUUAAUAAUAGUUUCCCUUGCAUAAAGUCCUUUAGGUUCCACUCCAGUCUCAUGCACCAUAUCUUGAUAUAUUUUCCCCCAAAGUAAGUCGUCGUCAGGAAUAGGCACAUCAUACUUCUUCCUAAUCUUUUCUUUAAUUUCUUGUUGUUUCCUUGACUUCCAUGGUUCCGAUGUAUUUCUCAACUUUAAUAACAAAUCAUAUCGACCACAAAAAUCUUCCCAAUCACAUGUCCUUCCCUCCUGCAACAACAAUUCAAUAUUCUUACAAAUUUGAAACAAGUUACAACCUUCAUAAAACAUAAGAGACGAGUAGUUACUAACCCAGUAAUCGCCAUGUGCAUUUCCACAGAACGAACCAUAUCCAAGUUCAGAAGGCACCACACCUUCUGUUGCUAAUAUACCACACUUGCAUCUAUCACUAGGAGAGGACACACAUGGCCACGGUGCCUUUUCACUUUCGAACUCCCGCACUUCCUCCUCUGUUGGCCACAUUGCCAUUGGGCCGUAUAUAUACUCAUUGAAAUCACACAACGGCCACCCAUCCUGCAAAAAACCCAUGACGUGAACUACUCAUACGUAAAGUAACUACAAAACGCUGCUCCAACUUCCAAGCAAUAAUAUCAAGUAAAUAACAUCAAGUUAAAGUAUGAACAAUAUACUGCAAAAUUAUAACCGCUAGCUAAACGACAUACUAAUAUUCUCGUAAUAUACUUACAUGAGUCUUUAGGGAGCAUCGAAAGAAUGGAGUAAACUUAGGUGGAUCCCCUAAGUUAGGACGCAUAAGCUUAGUAGGAACACCACACUUGCACAUGGGAGGAUCCCUCACACGCCUACAAGCAGCCUCCUGCUUCUGCUCCUCGGUCAUCCUAGGUGGGUUUGGUGGAGGAGGAACCCAACGCCUAAACUGAUGGUAUGGUUUAAGCUCUGUGCUAUGAUAUGGGAAUAGGCGGAUCCUAGGAUCAUAUUUGUCGGGUCCAUCGAUCCACUGAAAGAAAUCACAAGGUGCGGCAGGCAGUGGAUCAAAAGUCCAUUUGCAUACAUAGAAUGCUCUUCCAGCUGUCUUUGGAUGCCUUGAUUGUUUCACCUCUGCUUGCGCGCCACAUCUACAAAGAGGUACCGGAAGGGCAGGAGGUACGGGACCAGCACCAUUGGACUCGCCCACAUAACGCACAUACCACCUACGCCGUUUGUAUUCACAACCAAACGACGCCAUCUCACCUGGAAAUCAAGUGCAACAAAUUUAAUACACAAAUAAACUUUAAACACGUAAUCCAUACAAGCUAUAUACAUCAUUUUGAUAAAAUGUAAAUACUCGAUCUACAAAAUACAAACACUGAAACAAAAAUGAGACUAAUUAAUUGAAGAUAUAAAAAAAAUACAUGUCAUGUAAACCACACAAUUGGAUGAAUAUAUACCUAAAUCGAAGCAUUCAACAAGUUCUACACGUCAAUAUCACGGGCAGAGACUCAAUUGCGUAUGAACUACGUAUCAUCUAACACAAAACACCAUUGCAUUUCAUUGAAAUUUCAAAUCACUAACCUAACCCUAAGUCACCUAAACAUCCUCCGAUCUACCAAAUGCAACGGUAAAACACGAGAAAAAGUAGGGGAAUACCUUCCACACGAAGCAGGGAUCGAUUUUCACUACUUUUCCCCACCCAAAUCGUCGGAUUUUGGGUGGAUUUGGGGGUGGGGCGGUGGGGGCCGGCGCUGCAAGGUGCUGCUGUGUGGUGUGUCUGGAGGAGGAAGAAAGGAGGGAGGGAGGAGGAAGGGAGCCGGCGCGUGGAUCUAGUGCUGGCCCUGCCGCGCCAGCCCAGCGCCCACCUGGCGCCGCGACUCGCCGCGCCAGCAUGGCAGGGGCCGCCGCGCCAGUGCAUGCGGCGCGGCAGCAUGUUCCUGCCGCGCCAGGCGGUCUGGCGCGGCCAAAAGGGUCACCCCGCGCAAAUAAAACCCGGGUGAGGUUAUUUUUAAAAAUAAAGAAAAAAAAGGUUAAAAAUAAAAAAAAGUUCUCAUCCGCUCUCGUUUUCAUUUCGCACCGCCGACUCUCUCUCUCUCUAUCUCCGUCCCCGGCGAUUUCUCCGCUGCACCUUCAAUCCACUCAAACCAGACAAAUCGCGAGGGGCGGAAUUGCACAGCGAAGACGGAGAAGCGAUUUGAGCGCACACGGAGGUGAGUCGUUCGUCGAUUUGCUGCGGGUUUCUCUCUCAAUCCCCCCGAAUGCGCACUAAUUUGGAUUCAUUGUCUCCAACAUUUUUUUCCGAUGGAUAGACGACGGGCAUGAGACCACGGAAGUGAGGAUGAGCUGGGGUGGGGGGCCAAGGGGAGCGCAGUUCUUACCCUGAGAUCCACGCAUGUUAGUGAUUUUUGUGUUUUUGGUUUUGUUGCUAGAUGCCCUUCUAAAAUCUGUCCUCCCAUCGAGCAAUCCCAACUUUUACGUGUGCGUUUUUUACUGCAGAGAUCUCAGCGGAGCGAGGAAGGAUACUUCUGGCACACCAAGGUGUGCUCGCAAAUCCACCUCCCCCAUCGAGCAUAGGACGCAAAAACAACGCUGAGGUAUCUAAGGUUCCCCCUGAAUCCCUGCUUGGAUGCUGCGUAAGAGGACUGUUUUUUCUGAUGCAGACAAUAUCAUUCAUGUUUUACUAUUUUUUAUUUGUGCAAUAGCAUUUGUUAGUUUUGGGGAUUAGGCAGAAUAUUGAGUUUUUGGGGACUGGUACGAUGUUUGUCCUGAGGAGAAAUCUGAGUUCAUGCACGUGACACUGCUGCAGUGAUGUUUAGGCCUACUAUAGGUUCCAUUGCAUGCAAAUAAUUUUACAAUAAAAGUGGCAUGGACAAUAGUACUCUUUUUUUCUUAUUGGCUCUUUACAGUGGUGAUCAAAUUAACCAAAACUGUGAAGUCGGAGAUUUAGUGGUUCAGUAGCUGACCCAAUAACUCGUACUGCUUUUUUGGUAUGACAAAGAUAAAGGUACCCUACAUGUCAGUUUGCUUUGCUUAAGUCUUCUCUUUUUCGGAGCCAACCAAAAUAUACAGGAAUGAUAGGCUUUACUGGAGUUGUGGGAGUUUUUUUUUUCCAAUCUGACUAACCCCCAGCGUGGAUCUAGGCUAUCAAUGCAUGUUACUUAGCUGUGGUCUACACUAUCAGCUAGCCUUUUUUACUCUGAAAUAUUCAAUUUUUUAAUCGAGUAUAUAAUUGCGUACGUCAUUAUCAUAAUUUGCUUACGAGAUUAUAUAAACUGUCUACAAAAUUAUUAUAAAUUGCUUGACAGAUUAUGUAUUUUUCUAUUGUUCUUAGAGUGCAAGAGAAGCAUGAUUAAAGGGUGUGAAAGUAGCAGCUUCUAUACACAGUGGAGAGGGGCCUAGAUGCACAUAAAUGUGAGACUCUGUUUCCAUUCUUUUUGUUUUCUGAUCUGAACUUUUUUUAUGUUUCUUUAAUUGGUUUUCAGAGUAGUUGUAGUAACAUUCUUCCUGUACACAGUUCUAGUAAAUUUUCAGAAUAGCUUUUAGAGUUGGAAUUACCAACCGGGACUAAAUGUUUUGUCCCGGUUGGAAUUAGCAAUCGGGACAAAAGUGGGGGGGGGGGGGGGGGGGGCUUUUUUCCCGGUAAAAAUUUUAAACCGCGCAAAAGGGGGAGGGGGGGGGGAUUUUUUUNNNNNNNNNNNNNNNNNNNNNNNNNNNNNNNNNNNNNNNNNNNNNNNNNNNNNNNNNNNNNNNNNNNNNNNNNNNNNNNNNNNNNNNNNNNNNNNNNNNNNNNNNNNNNNNNNNNNNNNNNNNNNNNNNNNNNNNNNNNNNNNNNNNNNNNNNNNNNNNNNNNNNNNNNNNNNNNNNNNNNNNNNNNNNNNNNNNNNNNNNNNNNNNNNNNNNNNNNNNNNNNNNNNNNNNNNNNNNNNNNNNNNNNNNNNNNNNNNNNNNNNNNNNNNNNNNNNNNNNNNNNNNNNNNNNNNNNNNNNNNNNNNNNNNNNNNNNNNNNNNNNNNNNNNNNNNNNNGGAGUGUCGGUGGGAUUUUUAUGUACGCAUUACAACUAGGACUAAAGGGGGCCGGGACUAAAGCCCCCCUCCCACGCUGGCCUUCGGUGGUACUUUUUUGACCCGGGACUAAAGCCACUUUAGUCACGGGUCCAAUGUUAAUCGGGACUAAAGGGGUUGGAUGGAAGGUCAGUUCUCUACUAGUGAUAUUUGGUUAUUACAGGACAAAGUAAAGAGACCUCCACGAUUGCAUUUUAUCUCUAGUUCAAGUUUUGUAUCUUAUACUUCGUAGGAUGUUUCUAAAUUAAGUUUUGUAUUUGGGGCUGCAUCGCCCAGCACAUAUUUAGGUCUCGUUUGUUUUGGCCGGAACAGCCCGGAAUGAGGCCCGUUCCGGGCGGUUUGGUCCGGCCCUGAAUGAAGUUAGGCCUCAAUUGGAAUUGCUGUUCAGUUGGCCUGCCCUGAAACCAAACCUUGUACGGCUCCCCCCCCCUCAUCCACAUCCACGUCCCAGAACAAACCCGUGCCUCAUCCCUCCGAGAUCGGAGCCUGGCGGCGCACGACGCGAAUACUUGAAGGCACACGAGGCGGCGGCGAGAGGUGGUGGCGCAAGGUGAUUCCGUGGCGGCGUGGCACAUCCCUGACGGUGACCGGCUCCCGUCCAGCCUCCACCCUCUCUGCCACCUUCUCCCCAGUAAGCGCCACCAUCUCUUCCUCCCCCUCUCCCAUCAUCAUGUUCUUGUUCUGGAGGUUUCCAAGCCUAGGGUGUAGUGGAUUCGAUUGUUUGGGGUGUAGUGGACCUCCACUCCCUGUCGCCUAGGGUUCUUUAGUUUCAUUGGAUCUGCGUUGACCGGGUGGGCGAUUCGUGAGUGGAUGGAGACUGGGAGGGGGACGUCGCCGGUGACCGGCCUGAAACUAGAGCAUCGCAAUCUCACACCCAACCACGCCCUUCGCUUUGCUAUCCAGGAUUGGCUUCGUCACUCUCACUCCCUGAUGAUGUAUAUAGUAGUUGCUUUACUCUUGCUUUAAGUUUUUUCUGUACAAAUUGACCAAGAGCUUUAGUACCUUGAAUUCAGAGUAGAAAUGGAUGCCCAAUGGGUUAGUGCAAUGGAAUACAAAAGCAGCUUUCAGUCUGAAACUCUGAAUUCCUUGCUGGUGUAUUCUGUUACCUGUAUAUAUGAUUUUACUUCAUAUAUUUGUCUGAUGGGGUGAGACUAAUUAACAGACUAUGUUGUGUUGAUCUGGUGAACAAAGAACAUGUUUUUCUCUAGAACUGCAGCUACAUCUGAAUCUUUUGAUGGUGGUUUUCAGUAGUUCUUUUCAGUUUCAUUGCAGUAGUUCUUUUGAUGCUGGUUUUCAUGGUGAGCAUUUCAGAAGUUCCUUAGUUACCUGAUUGGGCUGUACUGCUAGUACUAGUACUGAUUGGUUCUGUUAGUUUAUUCAUUUUGUUAUAAAGCAUGAUGCUAUACCAACAAUUCUAGCAGUAGCAGUACAUGAGUAUAGUGGCAUACCUGUUACUAUUUUUUGCUUAACGAAUACCUUUUCUUGUUACUUGUAGAUCCCUCCAGCACCAAGAGCAGAAAACAGAGAGGCUUUCAUAUGUGCCUGCGAAGCAGAUCAAGAAUCAGCUUUGAUUUGGCUAAGAAAUGAGAUGGCUUACCAGGUAAAGUCGUUGUCUACUUAGUUGCUAUAAAUAGCACUUGUUCUGUAUAUUUCAAGUGAGAUGUCACCUAUUAUCAAUUCACAAAGUGUCAAAAUUGCGGAGUUUCAGUUCAAACUUUCAAUUCUGAAACCAUGUCUAGAAAUGGAAUAAUAUGGCUGUAAACAAGUGCAUGUUGUUUAUCAAUUUGGAAUUAAACAUGUGAUCUGAGUUAACACUGUUUGAACAACUAAAAUACCAUAAAGAUAGAACUUUUGGAAAGCAUGUUGGUGCCUUUGGAAGUAUAUUUUCACUGCCAAGUACCUUUUAUAUCUGAAUAUUAGUCAGAUUGUGAUAUACUGUGCUGCUGCUUUUUGUGUGUGCAGGUCUUGAAAGAACAGCAGUGAGUUCAGCCUCGGCUUUUGUUUUCUUUCAUUCGUUCUAAAUUGUAGCGUGAGGAUUGUUCUAUUAUAUUAAGCAAUAUUGAAGCUUUUGUUGGUGCCAUGGGACAUGCAAUAUUGAAGCAAUAUAUUAAGCGAUGUCGUUCUAAAUUACCAUAAAGAUAGAACUGUAUGAUGCAAGUGCUAGCAUAUGUAUGCUCUGCCAACAUGCAUGCAUAUGAAGUAUUCUGUAUGGAUAACGGACAUGAACUUAAUGAUGCUUUUGCUGUAAUUCAGUUUGAAGUAUUCUGUAUGCUCUGCCAACAUGCAUGGGUUUGACCUGGAUUGAUCCAAUCUGUGCCAAAUGAUGGAUUGACCUGUUCGGUUUGAGUGGAUUUGGUAGGAUUUAAUCUUCCUUGGAUUGAGUGACACAGGUGGAAUCAUUCAAACUGGGUCUGAAAGUAAUCCUGGUCAGAAUCCAGUCCGGCAUUGCCGAAGGAGGUCUUAGGUGGAAUCGAAUCACGCGUGGAAUUGAAGAUUCUUCCACAUCUUGCGUUCACACGUGCGGAAUCGAAGAUUCUUCCACAUCUCGCAUUUCGCUCCACGCUCCUUGCUGUUCACAGUGGAUGCUCCCUGAAGUGCUAGCUUUUCGAGUGUGGAAUUCUACCUUCGUGCCAUCAACGCUGAAAACGCGGAGACAAACACGCUCUAAAGAAAUAUUGCAUUUGUUCAUAUUUGUGUAACGGGAUGAAACCAUAUUUCCCUUUUCUAUUCAAAUACAAAUGGACGAGACAUGCACACUUAAUCUUCCACAUGACGAGAUCUUUCUUACCGAAGAAAGGCUUAAAGUACUCUUGCUGCACGAGGUAGUUUGUAUACAUGUACGAUUCUAGCUACGCAAUUGAAAGAUGGUGGUAGUAUAUAUAGGAAAGUUACUCAGCCACUGCAUAAGUAGCCUACUGGCAUGUCCAUGCCCUCUUGCUAUUACCCAGCCUCGUUUUACCACCAGUACGCCCACCAGCAUAUACUCUUCUUUGUGAAAUUGUAGUAGGGGAGAAAAAGGGAAGAGCAUGUGUGCAAGAACUCCUCUUGUUGUGCAUUAAAUGAUCAGAUUUCCGGAAUGGAAGGUCUCUGGAAUCUCAGUUCGUUGCACAAUUCUGGUCGUCCUUCCUUCACAAAUUUAUGUAUGGACCACCCAUAUGUUCUGACAAGCUAGAGCGAGAUAAGUAUGUGAGAAAUUCAAGGUACGUGAGUGAAUGGAUAGUAGCUAAUAGACGUUCCACUGCUAUUCACCGAGCCUUCAUGGUAUUCCGGUACUCAACGCUUCUUGUGCUUGUUUUAGAUCCAUUUGUUCACAUUUGUGUAAAGGGAUGAAACCAAAUUUUCCCCUUUUUCGGUUUUAACAGACGAGACGUGUACUUGUUCAUUCCACAACACGAUCUUUCUCAUCCAUGAAACGCUUACAGCAGUAUCAGCUAGCCUGUAUAUAUAUACAAUUCUAGGAACACAAUUGAAAGAUGAUACUACGAUAUCAUUGAAACAGUUUGGUGCGUUGUAUAAUAUAGUUUAGUUACUCAACCACUGCAUAAAUAGUAUAUUCCCUCUGUUCUAAAUUGUAGGUCGUUUUAACUUUUUAGGUUUAUAGAUAUUAUUAUGCACCUAGAUAUACAAUAUAUCUAGAUGCAUAAUAAUAUCUAUGAACCUAGAAAAGCUGACCUACAAUUUGGAACGGAUGGAGUACUAGUUUAACCAUGCUCUCUUGUUACUCAGCCUCGUUUUACUAUGACGAACAUCAGUACACACACCAGCAUACACUUUGUUGUGAAACUGCAGUAGGGAAGAAAGAGAGAUCAGCAUGUGCAAGAACUCUUCUAGUUGUGCUUCAAAUGAGCAAUUUUUCAGAAUGGAUGGUCUCUGGAAUCUCAGUUGCACAAUCCAGGACGAUCUCGCUUUACCUAAUUAUGUAUUAGAACAUGAUUUUUAUUUGUUAUUAGGGCCUUUCAAAAGUAUCCCCGCGAGCCUGUAGUGAGCACCGGUAGUGAGCCUAAAGCGCGGAGCUGUUGUGCACCUUAGCAGUCGUAACUCCCUGGCAUGCAUCAUGACCGCUUGCUUCUACCUUGUACCAUCCACCUAGAGUCGCCACAUCUCAUGUAGUUCUUCCAAUUUACAUUUCACGUUCAUAAUUCUUAAAAUCUCGAAAAAGAUUCAAUACUGAAAGAAUUUUCAACAAAUAAUGCUAAAAGUUUGUCUAAAACACAUUUAACAGCUGAAAAUGAAUCGGCACCGACUAUAGUACUGUUUUCUGCCUUAGUAAUCAUUGUACUGUUUCUAGUCGCUACUUCCAGAAAUAGGUGUACUUAAAAUAAAAAAUUUCAAGCAUAUUACUAGUUUUGACAAAAUGACCUUGUUGUUCCUGAUUACUCAUGAUUCAAAGUUGCGCUAUCUCUAGCUACUUGUUAUGUUGAUCCUUAGUAGUCCAACCGUGAAAGAAGUUAUAAUUAGUAACUGGAUUUGCGACAUGCAUUUCUCCAAAUAAAUUUGGUUGUUGGUGUGAAAGUUUAAUUAAAUAGAUAUGCCCACAAGCUAGCUAAAAGUGCAGCCUUUGUAGGAAAAAAUUUGAAAUGCUCGAAAUGCACUCAUUUUAGGACAGAGGGUUAGUUCUUAAGUAAAAUUUCCCUUUGAGCCAUGUGUGCCAAUUACGGGGUGUACAAUUAUGUGUCAGCUGGUUGGCAAGCUGUUUAUGAUACACACACAACUUGCAUCAGAAUCUAACACCGAGAGAGUAGCAAGCUAUUUGUGCUACAUGCUAAAUUAACCAAUUACGGGCCUCUGAUGACCUGCUGGUCGUGAACACACUCAUCUGUUGUGCGUUGUUGUGGUCGAGGACAUCUCGAUAAGCACAUACAUGCAGUUUUUUCUUUGUAUAUACAAUAAGAUAAAUAGUUCACUGGAAAAGAAAACAGACAAUAAUAAGAGCACAUGCUUAGCUGUUGUGACAGCAAAACUAUGCUGAUAAUGAAGUGGUAACAGGGAGGGUGAACAGAGAGUACUAGAUAGACCAAGGGGAAAUGGAGAACAGAGGAGGGGGAGCAGAAAUCAAUUGCAAGCAGGGAGGCCAGCAGCAGCUAUGCGGCGUGCCACGGCCGAGAUGAAGGAGACGACGGUAGCGUCCAGCACCAGAGAUCCGACAGGUAUCCUGCGUGGUAGUGAGGUUGUAUGCGGGUCUACGCAUUGCCUCCGCCCCUCGGCGUCCGGGCCACGAUCUCCAUCGCCUAGCUAACGCUCAUCACAACAUGGGGCGGGCUCUCCUCUGCAGCCGCAACUGCAAGGAGGGAGUCAGCGACAGCUGCGGCUGUGAGGAAGGGGGCGACGGGUUCCGCCGAUGCGAGCAGAGAAGGCCGAUUUUCAGGAGACACCUCAUGACGCUGCCAGAGAAUCAGUCAGGUCAUACUCUAUAAAAAAAGAUGUAAAACGUAAAAUAGUGCAAUUGUCUCAGGAUAUACACGCAUUACAAAUACCUACAGAGACAAACAUUUCACUCCACACCAGAAGGUCUAUCUACAAUAAUAUACAGGCCAGUAUAUAAAGUUCCCCACUUAACUGAUGCUUAGAUGGAUUAUCACGAAGAACAACAUAUCGUUGGACUUGAGGCACGUCUAACGUGGCAAACCAGCAGUCGAGAGGAACUCUUGCUCCAGACUGUAGAACUUUUUGCUACCUUGAGAUGAGGAAAGUUCAGAUUUUUUCCCAAAAUCAAUGCCUGAUAACUGAUAGCUGUUUAUAUCACCUUUCAUAAGCAAGGGUUGCCUCUCUUCAUCUUUUCCAGCAGCAGGUUGAUUGGACUCUGCUCGUUUUGUCCUCAGAAAUUGUAGUGCCAUCUCCACUUGCUUCAUAGUAGGUCUUUGGUCACUUUGGAGUCUCACGCACAUCUCCACAAGAGAUGCAACACAAUUUAUUUCUUCUUCAGACGCUUCCUCAAGAACUUGAGGAGCUACUAUUUCCGUAAUAGGCCUAUUCUUCAUCUCCCACAUAAAGUAGUUAGACAAGUUUUGCUUUGUGCCCGACUCACUUGUAAGAAUAGGCUCCUUUCUUACAAGCAAUUCCAAGAGUACCACACCAAAACUAUAAACAUCACUCUUUUCAUUUAAUUGCCCAGUAUGGUAAUACUCUGGAUCUAAGUACCCAAACGUUCCUUGGACAUUGGUAACUACAUGUGUUUGAUCUAUUGGAACCAAUCUUGAAGCACCAAAAUCUGACACUUUAGCGGUAUAGUUGGAGUCAAGGAGAAUGUUGGAUGACUUCACAUCACGAUGGAAAACUGAUACUGAAGCUGCAGAAUGGAGAUAGGAAAGAGCCCCAGCAGCUUCGGCCGCAAUCCGGAGGGAGCCAUCCCAUGACAAAACUAAUUCGUUACUUGAACCACCAUGGAGGAAGUCAUAAAGUGAGCCAUUAGGGAUAAAAUCAUACACCAGUAGUGGGACCUCGGUCUCGAGACAACAUCCAAAUAACUUAACAAUAUUCCUAUGGUUUAUUUGAGAAAGAAUUGCAACCUCAUUUAUGAACUGAUUAAUCUCACCUUCCUCAAUAAUUUUAGACCGCUUUAUUGCAACCACACGUUGGUCCGAUAAGAUGCCUUUGUAAACCGUACCAUGUCCACCCCGGCCUAGGAUACGUGUGGAAUCAAAAUUAUUUGUUGUCUUUUCAAGCUCCUCCAGAGAGAAAAUCUUUGUCUUUUCACUAGCAUUUUCAUCAGAUAAUAUUAGUUGUUCUAGGAGUAGGCCCUGGUUUCUACGGAAAUACAUCCUACGCAGUCGUUUUUGGAUGUUUCUUUUCCAUUGACGAGUGAGGUAUAUUCCACCAACACUAAGAAGCAGAACUGUAAAACCGCUGCACAUACCGAUAAUAACACCUGAAAAAUUGUACCUAUGAGUUCCAUUUUAAUACAAACUAUAAAUAAUAGGGAAAUUUGUCUACAGGACACUAAAAAAUACAAACUUUUCUAUAGGACACAGCAGCAAGUUUUAUUAUCUGUAGGACACCGUCAAGUGUCCUCGAGAUAACAAACUGAGUGUCAUAUUGACAAAACCAGGUAAAUGUAGUGUUCUGUAGAUAAAUUUCCACUAACAAUAUCUCAAAAAAUAUACUUCUUACCUAAGAGAGCAUUUUGUUGUUUCAUUGACGAGCACUGUAAUUUGGUUGGAUCAUAUACUGUCUUCUCAGGGCAUGGGGUACAGUAGAAGCUUCCUAAAGUAUUGUGGCACGUUCCUUGACAUCUGUUUGGUUGUAUACACUCAUUAACAUCUGCAAAUUAAGCACAUGUAUCUUUUUUAGGUAGCCAGAAUUUGCUAAAACCUUUCAUAGUUUACUGAUAUAAUCAAAUGUAAAACCAAAGGAAUAAUUACUUCCCUACUUCAAGACGCCACAUGCACCAUAAUGUUGUAUAUCAUCUUCACAUUAUUAAGACAUCUAUCGAAAAGUUCAUAUACUCCCUCCAUUUAUUUUUAUAAGACGUGAUAUGACAUGGCACGGUCUCCCAAAUUACACUUUGAUCAUUAAUUUAUCUUAUCUUAUAUUAUUUAUAGUUAUAAACUUAUAAUUAUUGCAGACUACAUUUGAUUACAAAUCCAACCAUGUCAAUUUUACAUCAUAAAAAUAAAAAAAAAAUAUUUGUUAAAUUAUUGGUCAAAGAUAGCAAUGUUUGAAUCUAGCUAUGCACGUACACUUUAUAAACAUAAAUGAAGGAGUAUACACCAUCAUUAAAUGCCUCAGGUAACAACUAUACUAUACCAUUGACAAAUUAGUUAUUUAGACAAUGCAAAUAUCGUAUUUUUUGUCAUCCAUAUGUAAUGCAUGGCAGUUCAUAACUUCAGUACAAGGUAAAUUCUGAAUAAACUAUAAAUUGUAAUAUUUUACGAACACAAUAUUUAUGCAUAUAUCUUUUAAACUGACAUGGAUACUUGGGAAAAUUAAGGAAAUAAUGAAUUCAAAAGCCACCCCUGAUCUAGCCACACAAUAGAACGUUGCAACACAAAAGUCGCACGUUUUUUGUGUGAAAUACCUACAUGUGUGGUUACUAAGCUUUAAACACAUGACCGCCCCUCUAAAACGACCCCAAUUAGAAUCCACAGUGUAAAACAUUGUCAUCUGGUAUGAGUAAAAAGUUUACUACACAACUGAACUAGUUGGCCUAGGCAUUUCUGAUCUUUAACGCAUGGGCUGGGCAAUAUGUAUAAGAUGGCUGUGGUUACAAAACACAGAACACAAUAGGCUUUGGUCCAUAUUUCGAAUACAUGUACAUCAUUGUGUUCAAGCAUUCUUCUCCAAGGCUAUUGGUACUAAGGUUGGAUAUUGUGCGCACACUCUUGUUUGGAAAGAGAUAUGGCUUCAUGGGCAUAUAAUCUCUCUUCCACCUUAUCUCUUUGCUUUGGUGGCCAAGUGAAGGGCUAACAAGCAAACUAUAUUGGAGGCUCUUACUGAUAAUGCCUCCAUUGCUGACAUGCAAGGGGCCCUUACAGUGGGUGUAAGUGCUGGAUAUUUGGACCUUUGGGAUCUCAUCCUCAGGCUGUGUUGUUGCAGCCUGCUAGUGUGCAGGAUAAACAUGUUUGACGCCUAUCUUCUUUAAGGGAUUAUUCGGCUAAGUCAGAAUAAGAGGGAUUUUUUCGAGGUGCGGUUCAGUUUGAACAUUGGCAGUGUAUUUGGAUAUGUCACUUCUUCAUAUGGCUUGUAGCAUAAUCCCUCCAUCCCAAAAAGAAUACCAUCCUAGAAUCAAAUUUUGUCCCAAAAAGAAUGCAAUCUGGGAUUUAAGCAUCGUGCAUGCAUAAUAUAGUACGCUAAUCUAGCUCGUGCAUGCAUGAUUAAAUAGAAAUGGAUUGCCUCCAUCUUCUCUAUGCAAACACAACUAACUAAAGGCACAUGCGUCUUUUUCAUUCACCCCUAAUUUGUAUGAAAAAUUCCACGAUGUUGUUCAUUUUCGGAUGGAGGGAAUAUGUGAUAGAUGUUGGAUGGCUGAUCGCCUUACUUGUUGAAGCUUACAGCAUCCUGAGCACUAUCCUCUCUGUGACCAAGAGGCGGGAACAAUUAACCACUUGCUUGUACUGUGAUUUUGCCCAACAGUUUUGUUUCUGUUCUACAGAAUGUUGGCCUACAAAGCUUGACUCGGCAACCUGCUGAAUCUUCCUCUAAUGGCUGCUGGUGGUCGUGGAGUAAUGAUUUGGUUGGACUGGCAAGUACUACAAGAAUUAAAUUCCAUCACUAUUCUAGGGGCUUGGUAUCCAUGGAAACACAUGAAUCAGUGUGCUUUUUAUGGAGGAUCAAGUUAAGGGGCUCUCUCUCUUAUUUGCCCCGAGCCCGAAAAUGUAAUGAUGAGCUUAAGGUCAUAGUGGGUUCUCUUUUAGUUUAAAAGGUGUGCAUGUUUUCCUUUAAAUAUCUAUGGUUUGUGGUGCAUGGUGUUGUAUGUGUUUAUCACACACUAUAUAUCCUUCUUAAUAUAAUGAUAUCCAGCUUUCAUACAUGUCCUAGAAAAACAACUUUAAAUGAAAAAUAUCAACUGCGAGAACGUAGAUCUCGUUGAUACUUAUAAUUUUCAUAUAGAGUUUAUUUUAUCCAUCAGAGUCUAUAUGGAAAAUUAUAAAUUUUUUAAAUAAGAUAAAAUUCAAAUUAUACGUAGGAAAAUAUGUGGGCUGGCUCAUGGAGGUAUCAGUGGCAGUGAUGAGGAGAAUAAUACCACCGGUCCAUAUCUUUGACCAGCUGUGAUUUUGCUGCCUGCAGGACAGCAGUUACCAAAAAUCACAAUUUCUGUAGUAGUAUUAAGGACAAAAGUCGCACAUAUAAUCGUGAACAUAUUUUUGCUGGUGAAUAACCCAUAAGGGCUUUGUCUGGUACAACUUUCUUAUUCGUGUUGGUAUUUGGCUCCAAACUUUACUAUUACGGAUGAGCGCGCUGCUAGAAAAAAUGUUUUGUUGUAGUAUCUAGUUGAUACUAGAAACAUUUUAGGUAUGUAGUUAAGUCACACUUAAAAAUAACAAUUUCCAAUAUAAAGAUAUGUAUUUAGCAUAUAGGAUCAUAAUUUUGUACGGGAAGGAGAGUUUAGUUACCUUCGCAACCACUAUGGAGGUAUGGAUUUCCGUGGUACCCGUAGGAGCAAUUGCAUCGGUAACCAACAUAGUCACUUGUAGAAUUAACUGGAAUGCAAUUGCUAUUUGCGCUAACACAUGCAUAUCCAGAGCUAUUUGCCUGUGCCUCUUGACAAGUUAGAUUCGCAACAACCCAUUUCAAAGAAACUGACCCACCUGAGCUAACAAAAAUGCCAGGGCCGUCGUCAGAAAAAUAUCUAACUGAUCCUUCAUCAUCAUCAGGGAUUGUGUACUUGAUAAGCCCUUCGUUAAUAUUGAUCUCUGUCACAAGAUAGUAUUCAUCCAGUUGCAGGGUAGAAGUUGUCACAUUUGUGCAGUUGAGAAAAAACUGUUCUCUACCAAAACAACCUUCUUCAAUCCCAAAUGGAAAAGGAACCGUGAUGUUUCCACAAACACGGCUGCAAUUGGCUUUUUGUUGCGCUGCAGGAUUGUAACCUAAUUCCAGUAGAAAAGAAUUCACAAUGAGUACUAUAGAAAAGUAGUACUUUUUCUUUUGGCAGGUAAUACCUUUAUCUAAUAUGUUAAUAGAUGCUAUAGUGUGACCCAGAAUGGGAUGAUUACUAUCUAGCUAUGUUGAAUAUAAGCCACCACAGUAGUUUAAAGAUAAAGAAAAUCUGGGACAAGUUCCUCCAAAUUCUCUUACUACUUAUUUUAGAGGAUCCAAAGUUAUAACUUUAAGGAUAUAGUUACCGACUCACGAAACCUACCGCACUUUGUAUUCUGCUCAACACACCCUGACACCCAUUAUGGUUCUCUGGCAUUUUUGACAACUGUGUCAAUCCUAGGAGAUUUUUUAAUUCGGAAAGAAAAUGAAUGGAAGAAAAGUAGUACAUACUGAAUAUCGAUUAUGCAAAUACGUAAAGUAUUGUAGUUUUGUUGGUCAUAUGAGUGACUAUGCAGUUGGCAUAUCUACAACAUCUGUAGAAAGUCAAGCAGGGCCAUUUAUAGUUUGCUGAAUUUCUACGGGUUCCUUUUAACUGCCCUAUAUAUUGUACCAUUUUUUGAAGACGUAAACACCGCUUCUAUUAAUAAAUAAUAAAUCUAUAUAUCUGAAUGGUCUCGGGCUUAAGUUCUCAAUACAGAAAUCGAGUGUAAUGAAAGAAGAAGCUGGCUUUCUUACAACUGGGUAGUGUUAAUACCUCUGUCUCGCGAGCAGCCACUUUUUAAAUAUGGGUUGCCCACGUAACCUGAAUUGCACUUGCAAUAAUACCCAAUAUACUCAAAAUCAUAAGGAUCGAUACAUUGGCUAUUCUUGCCAACACAAGCAAAUUUUGCAUUAUUCUCCUUGGCACUCGCACAGUUUGGUUGAUCGACGAUGUUCCAGGAGAGGUCAGCAUCAACUGUAGUUACGUUGAUGUAAUCCCACAAAGAGCUCCGAUUAUAAUUUACCUCUGGACUGCUUUCUCUGUGACGGACAAAUGUGAGAUUAAAUGCUCGAACACUUGUCUCCCAUCUGAACGUGCAACAUCCUGUGCCGUUGCAGUUUUGCCUAGCCGCCAUGUCCGUGAUAUCACUGGUAGGACAUUUAAGUGUGCAGACCGGCGAUGUUCUAUUCAUAUACCGAUCACUAUAAUAUAUGUCAAAGUCGCAACCAGUGAUAUUCAUCGAGAUAUAAGAAAUUGUAAAUGAAUUCCCAGGAGAACUCCACGACAUGUUGUAUGUGUGAACACCAUAACUCACUGGGAUAGUACUAUUUGGAAAAUUGAUCUGAAUAUGUGGGCUCGAACUGUAGAGAUACCCUGCAUCCACUGUGACAAUAUUGUAGGCAACCUGGGUGAUGCCAUCAUGUAGAAGGAGAGUUGGGGGCUGAGCAGACUCGUUGCAGGUAAGCUCGAAGUCACCACCACGGGAACAACGAGGCCCGAUGCCAAAAGGAUAGCUGAAGGUCAAGUCUCCACAGCUCGUCUGGCAACCGGAGAGGGUGGGGAUGGUGGAAACCGUGCCAUUGCUCUCUGCUUGGCUUCCCAGCACGACGGAUACCAGCAUCAAUAGUUGAAUCCCCAGCAGUGAACGGAGGAGCAAUAAUGGAAACAUCCUCCACGCCGGGACUUUUGUAUGUUAUGUGGUUUGCAGUUUCAAUGAUGAAGGAAUAGCUCGAAAACAGGGUAUGCAUCAUUAUAUAGAAUUAUGUUGGGGCAACUUAGUCAUUUCCAUUGACUACACAGUAUAAUUGUGGGGCUAAAGGUUGUCGUCUUUUUUCUUUUUUCUCCACAUGCAUUUUCCAGUUGUCAAAUUUGGCCGGUUCGAGAACAAUAGUCUACUGCUUGCCUUUUUGGGUCCACAACACCAAAAUAUGGAGGCCCUAACAAAAAGAUCAAAAUAUCAAGGGAUUUGAUACUUUUGUUUAACGAGAAAACAAAUAUGUGGAUAACCCUCCAAAUCCAACCUAGUGCCUACUUGUAACAUAAAUGCAGUGUCGAUCUUGCCAAUCUCAACUAGCCCCUUAAUUUGAUUUUCUGACUCCUCUUAUGAUUUCUCACAUAUAUAACUCGGUGGGUGAGAAAUCAAAAGAACGAUUUAGAUUCGCCGUAUGAAACACGUGGUAUCCAUCGGACCAGGUAUGCACGCAGUUAGAUUUGGAGCAGUCAUACAUGUAAGUUUUUUUAUGUGUGGCGUAGCCUUUGUUUUCCAUACACUUCAGUGUCACAACUAUAAUUAGCGAUAUGCAAUUAUAUUAUCUGCAUUCAAAUGUAUUGGCAAAAAAUUUGUUUUUUCCUAGACUUGAAUUAACUUUGUUGGGAUCUGGACCAAUUAAGAAAGUCCCUACACGAUUUAAAUUAAAAACCCAAUUAGCUAUUAUAGAGAAUCAUUUUCGUAAAACUUCAUAUAUAUGGUCAGUCAACUAUUAGCGUGACAAAUCAGCAAAACAUUAUUUUCCACACAAGACAUGUAUGGACGACAAUGAUGAAUAAUUAGUGCGAGAUGUCCAUACGAGACCAAUAAGAGGCUUGAUGCUCUUGUCGUUGGACCCAUAACACCAAGUCGUCCAAUGUUAGUCAUCAGUUAGUUGCAUUGUCUCGCUCCACGCGCUAAAACUAUUCUAACCCGUAGAAUGGGGCAGCAGCAUUCAUGAUUUCGACACCUUCAUUAGAGGCAGUAAAUAGCAUUGGACUGAUGUGUGGUACAGUUGUUAACAAAGAAGACGUCAAUUCGAAAAGGGACUAGAUUUUUCCAUGGAAACAAGCUGGAAUUCCAAUCUCCAGUAGGGAUGUUUGGAUACUAGGUGCUAAACUUUAGCAGUGUCACAUCGGAUGUUCGGAUGCUAAUUAGGAGAACUAUGAGCUAAUUAUAAAAAACUAAUUGCAGAACCCCUGUGCUAAUUCGCGAGACGAAUCUAUUAAACCUAAUUAAUCCAUCAUUAGCAAAUGGUUACUGUAGCACCAUAUUGUCAAAUCAUGGACUAAUUAGGUUUAAUAGAUUCGUCUCGUGAAUUAGACUCCAUCUGUUCAAUUAGUUUUGUAAUUAGCCUAUGUUUAAUACUUCUAAUUAGCAUCUUAAACAUCCGAUGUGACAGGUGCUAAACUUUAGCGGUGGGUAUCCAAACACCCCUUUAGUGGGCGAGUUAGGCAUUGAGUCCACGACUCAGAACAGUCUACAAAAAGACUUGCUUGGCCAACAACGUUGACGGAUUUUUGUAGCCGUUAUAUAACUAUUUUCACUAGAGGUACGUGACUGUUAUUUUGACGCCCAUUACCCGCUGGUAAAGCUGGUAACGGACUACGUUAAUGCCCAUUACCUACAACAUAGAACUUGACACAGCUGCUCCAGCAGGCACAUGCGGCUAUGCCCGCGACUGUAGUGGGCUAGCUGCCUUCGAUUGGUUGGCUUGCUAGCUGGUAGGCAGAAACUUUUGUCCAGUCCCCACCGGCUGCGUCAAUAUUGCUUGGCUGGUUGCUGGUUUCCGUAGCGAAUCAUGCAUUUACAAAGUCGUUAGGUACUUAGAAUGUUGACAUCAUGGACCCUCUCCCAGAUACAGGUCUUUUUCCUUAAAUAUUUCCUCGUCGCCGUGAGGCGAUCUUGAAGCUGCCUGAUGCUCCUUGCUCUGAGGAACAUGCUUGGUAUUUCAAUAACAACUUGUAUGUCUCUCAUGCAACACCUAUAAUUAAUGUUUCUUGUUUUCGUCCAGAAUGACCACGCUCCGUUUGCUGCCACUGCCCAUGUGCUGAUUAAUUUUGCUAGUUUACAGUGCAACAGAGGUAUAUGUUUCGCAAACAAAGAUGAAACUUCUCUACAUAUCCAUAGUAGACAUACGGGUAAAGAAACAUGCAUGUAAGGAAAAUGGCGGUCAAAGUCAUUGUUCUGAUUUUAGGGAUUGAGUGACAUCAAUGUAAAUAGGACUGAUAUGUUUGUCAAAGUCUUUCAUCCUUGUAGGAUCUUUACCAUGUCCAUGUCCAUGCCCUAGGCCACGGCCGUGCCAUGUCCCCUCCAUUGGCCGACACGCAUACACUCGUGCCGGUGAGUGUAACAACCUAAUUUUCAAACUUUUCAAUUAAUAAAAUUUGUUAGAAUUUAAUUGCACAUGACUAAGGAAUUUUAAGGUUGCAUUUAAAUUUUCUUUAGCAUUUAAAUCUUUCUCAAAGUAAAUUAACGAAUCAUAGGAGUUCAUUGGCAUUAUUUUUUUUGGCUGCUUGAAUUCAAAUUCGCAUUUGAAUUCAUUUGUUUGAAUAUUUUUAAACAAUAGGAAAUCAUUUUCUUUUCCUAUCCCUUUCCUUUUCCUCUUUCGGCCCGUUUCAUCAGCGCAGCAAUAGCCCCAGGUCGGCCCAGCAGCGCCCUCCGCACCGUUCCGCUUCCAGCCCAGCUCCGUAGCGCAGCCGCCUCGACCCAUCUUCCCACGUCAGCCCACUCCCGUGCCGCCUCCGCUCCCGCUGCUGACAGACGGGGCCCACCUGUCAUUCCUCUCCUCGCGCCGCACCUGAACCGGACUCCAGUCUGAGUUCCGGACGCUCCCGUCCGCCCGUGCCUUCCUUGGCCUGCACGCCAAGACGCCCUCCCAGGCCUAUUUAACCUGCCACCGCACCCCCUCAACCCCACCAAGAAAACCCUAAGCUCCCACGCCCUAGCUCUCGAGUUGUCGCAACCCUAGCUCGCGCUUGCCGCCAAUGACCCGCGCCGCCGUUGCCUUCCAGUCAGCAGAAACACCACCCAGAGCACCGCAAGGAGGUGGCGAAACCUCCCGUGAAGAUCUCGUGCACUCUUGUGCUUCCUUUCGCGUGCACGAGCUUGCUGUAGUUGAGCUCCUCCGCUCGAGCCGCCCCACCACGUCGCCCUUCGCCUCCGUUGCCUUGGCUGCCGUGGGAACCACCUAGAUCGUUUUGCAAGCUCCCCAGCUUCAUCCCAAGCUAGUCCGCAUCGAGUUUUGUGGCUGGGAACUCGAGCUUUGCUCGAUUCCGGUGAACUUUGCCACCCAGUGCCGUCGAGCGCCACCGCCCACCGCCUCGUAGCGCCACUAGUCGCCCGAUCCUGAUCGAACGGCUCAGAUAAGAUCUGACUGGAGUCAAUCCGGCCACGUACCGGUCAACCUUGCCACGACGUUGCUCUUUUGCUAAAGAGAUCCUGAGUUAUCUUAUUUUUGCACCCGAGGUCCAGUGCAGUUCAAAAGUAAUUAGAUCUAGGUUGUUUUUCUUCCAUUUUAGCCCCUGCUUUUCUUAGUUUUUAUGCUUGCCAUCCUAGAUUUGCUCUUUUACACUAUAGACCUUUGGUUUCUACGCAUAAUGAGAUUUUAGCCCUUGGUUUAUUUAAGUUUAGCCCCUGGAAGUUUACUUUUCUUGCAGAUAAGCCCUUACAUCUUGUCUAGGCUAUAUCUUUAGCGUUUUAGAUCCGUUUUGAAUGAUUCUUGCGUCUGUGAGUUUGUCUUAAGGCGUAGACUAGUUUUAUGAACUUUUUUUUCCUUGUUGCUACUGUUUGGUGUAUUUUUUUAUUAUUUUAGUUCUUUGUUUGCUUGUAUGUACUUGUUUGAUGCAAGUAGAAGGACCGCAGUUCGAGGGAUUCGAAGAUCAAGCCUUUGAAGACUUCAAGCAACAAGAGCAAGUUCACGAAGGCAAGUCAUGCCCUUGAUCACAAUUUGAUCCUAUGCAACCUUUACUUUUAUGUUCAAUACAAUAUGCUAUGCACAUUAGGUUAUAAACAUGAUAGUUCCUAUAUAAGGUUUGCCUUGUUUUAUCCUUAUGCCUUGAUCAACCUGGGUUUAUAUCAUGUUGGAUAGUUCUUGCUUAGUUGCUCUAUUUGGGUACGAUGGUAUUAAUGAACCAAUGUUUAAACUUGUUUUAUUUAUGUUGUAUCUUUCAUUAAUACAAGAUCACCAUGCUUAAUUGGAACAUGGAGAACCCCCUAGGAAAACAGUACAACCACAAGAACUACAUGGCUCUGGUGUUGGCUAAUUAAUUAGAUACUCUAGUCUGGGUAACCUUAUCGAAAGGUCAAGAGGGGAGGCAUUGAUGGGGUAUAACCCGGCCCUCUGGCUGAUCUGCUCUAUGGUAGCUUCAUAGUUUUGAGAGAGGUUUAUGCUCUGCUUCGACUUGAAACCUUAGUGGGUUACUAUUUACUCGGGAAUCUUUGUAAAGGCCUCAUAGCGUCCCUAUGCAAUCACACCUCGGAAGUGUGGUAUUGUGCUUGGCUGGCACAACAUGGUUGGAUCUAAAGUUCUUUUGAAAUUUUACGUGACUUGUGGGUAAAGAUGUACAACCUCUGCAAAGUGUAAAACUGAUCGAUCAGCCGUGCUCAAGGUUAAGAGCGACCUGGAUCCUCACAUGAUUAAUUUAUCAGGAGUUGAAUUAAAUUGAAGUUAUUUAUUUAUUGUUAUCUUUAUUUAUGUUCAUGUUUAAUUGGGGUGGUAUAAACUUAUACUUAGUAAUUGCUAAUAAAACUUUACUAGCCAAUUAAAAUGCUGAAAUAUUAUUAGACCUUAGCCCAUCCUUGAAUGGCCUUACACUACACAUUCCUCAUGCUUGUUGAGUACCAACCAUAAGUGUACUCACACUUGCUAAAAUCACUGCUCACACCAAUUCAAUCUCGAGGAGGUCCUUCAAGACUUUGAGGAGUUCUAGGAGAAUGUGUGCCACUAAUCAACUGCCUGUGGAGUUGUCGUCAUUGUUGGAGUUUUGCUACUAGAAUAAAGACUCAUUUGCUAUUUUAUUUAAAGACCUUUGGUCAUGUAAUAAAUUCAAUACUCUCUUUAUGUUUUGGCAUUGUCUAUGGUACUUACUGAAGUCAUUGCAUGUGUAAAACUUAAUCCUAGCACACAUGUAAUUUAUUCAUCUAGUUUUGCCUUUAAAACCGGGUGUGACAAAAGUGAUAUCAGAGCUGAGUUGACUGUAGGACGUUAUCCUAGUUACAAAAUGGUCGAAUUUAAGGAUUAUAAUGCUUUGGUAGCCAUUCUUACUUAAUGUUUUCUUUAAAUCUACUUUAAAAUGCUUAUCCUUUCUAUUAUCCUAUCUCCAUUGCUCUACUUGUUUCUUUAUCUUGUUUUCUACAUUCUUUACACUCUAUGCUUCUUGAUGAUCUUGAUGAUGAGGUCCUUCAAACUCGCCCUAUGAUCUCGAUGAUCACUCCUUCGCCCUAUGUUAGUGUUUUAUAUCUUGGUGGGGGAUUGUCGGACCUAGAACUCGAAGGUAGAAGUGAGAAUACAAGACACAGAUUUAUAUAGGUUCGGGCCGCCAGAGUAGCGUAAUACCCAACGCCCUGUUUGGGAAGUUGUAUAUUACGCCCUGCGCUUAGGUGUUACAUAGCCUGAUUGUUGGCUAUUGAUGAUGGUUCUAUGAGGUCUUGGCCUUUGUUGAUCUGAGCUCUGACGAUCUAGAUACCCCUACCCUCCUUUAUAUACUCCACGAGGCGGGAUAACUAGUUGGUUAUAAGGAGGAGUCGUAGUAGGAUUACAUGGUAUGAGCAGGUAUUAGGGAUCUAUCCCUGACAGGUGGAUAUCCUAUUUGCUAGUCUAUGUCGUGCUGAGUUUGAUCGUGUCGAGGAUCUAUAUCUUGCUCAUGAUAUUUGGUCCAAACUCUAGAGUUUCCAUGAGGGGAACAGUUAGGUGAAGGCACGACUCUUUGAGACUUACCGAUGUGAGUAUGAAAACUUUAUUCAUUUGAUCAGUGAGUUAGCUGAUGCUUUGUUCCAGCGCUUUCUUACUAUUGUGAACAAGAUGAGAGCAAACAUCACCAUCUUACCCUACACUGAUCAUGAUAGAGCUUUAAAGCUCCUGCAUGCUUUGGACCACGAGGUGUGGGUACGAAGGUUGAUGCUAUCAUCGAGUCCACAAGCUAUGAAACUCCUGCAGUUGAUGAACUUUUUGCCAAGCUGAAAUUGACAGAGGUUGACAAGAGGCUCCGAGCUAAACAAGGGAGUCCUACUAAUCCUCAUAGUAUGGCUCUUGUGUUAGGCUCUAGAUAGUCUAUGUCUUUGGCUAACCCUUCCACUAUGUCCUUUGCUUUGUCUUCUUUGUUGUCUGUUUUAGAGCAGUUGGAGGUUCUUGAGGAUGAGGAGCUCGCCUUUAUCAUGAGACGGUAAUCGCAAGAACCGGUGAAGGAACAACAACAACUGCUUCGAGUGUGGCAAGUCAGGACACUUCGCCGCCGACUGCCCCGACAAGAACAAGUCCAAGAACGGGUACGACUACAUCAAGUACAAGUACAAGGACAACGAGAAGAAGAAGAAGUAUACCGGUCGUGAGAAGAACGAGCACUGCAAGAAGGCUAAAGCACGUGCCUUCAUCACCUCCCUCAGCAAGAACGGGUACUAGUUCCUUGUAUGGAAUUCACAUAACAAAUUUGCAUAACAUUUCAUUCUUUACAACCUAAAAAUGGGCUUCAUUCUUUUUUGCUAUAGUUUCUGAUGAUUAUUGUUACUUUUUUCUGUCUAUAUUAUUGUCACUCAAGCCCGCAUCUUAUAUAUGAAUGCAUGCACUGAAAACAAAGUUAAGGUGUCUGUGUGUUGUUUAUACAGAGAGUGGAUCGAGGUGUCUGGCAUAAUAUUUUUUUGACAUUCCAAUUUUCUUUCCUUGUAUGUUAUAUACAAUAGUUCUAGUUAUUGCAAUGCAUGGGAGCAGCAAAACUGCUAUAUUUUUUUUAUUACUUUCCCAAGUUCUUAAAAUUAUCACUUCAUGCUAACAGAAUUUAUGGUUUUAAGCUACACCUGGAGCAGCAUACUGUGGGUAGAGCUGUGCUACCGAAACAUAGCUGGCUGGAAAUUUGUACUGAGGUAGGAAAUGAGGUAGCUUGAGUCUGUAAAAAACAUCAUCAGGCUGUUUUGCUUUCGAAUUAAUGUGGCUCCAGUUCGUGUCAUGCCUUCUUGACUGAUUGGAUGAACCCAAUUGCUUGGGAAUGUUAAAGAUAAAGAGUUUGGUUGUAAUUGGAAUAGGAUAUCUGGAAGAUUAUCUUUGGGCGGCUGCUAUUCUAGUUGUAACAGAUAUGUAUUUUUAAAUUAGUUUGGCCAAAGAUAUCUCCUAGAGAGGUCCUAUAUAUUGUAAUUUCCUGUGUGCUAUUUUGCACAAUAUUAUAACACGCAACCGUUGCACCCUUAAGGUUGGGGCAACAUUCCACGCAGCGCAAGCACCUCUGUUACCUUUCAUGGUAAUCGGAGCAUAGAAUUAGAUCCAUGGCUUCAAGCUCAAGUGUCUCCAAUCCCCUACUCGGCGUUCAGAUCAUAGAGAAGCUGAGUAAGAGCAACUAUGCGCUCUUGAAGGCGUAGGUGCUCACCGCCCUACGUGGUGUUCGGAUGGAAGGCUUCAUCACCGGCAAGACCGGCGUCCCCUCACCUGAGAUCGAUGACAAGCUGUCUGACGGCAAGAUCGUCAAGGUGCCAAAUCCAGCAUAUGAAGAGUGGUAUGCCCGGGAUCAACAGGUCCUUGGGCUCAUCUUCUCAAGCGUGGGGAAGGAUGCCCUCACGCAGAUUGCUGCUGCAAAGAUGGCAGCACAGGCAUGGCAAGAGAUCGAGAACAUGUUCACCACCCAAACUAGGGCUCGGUCGAUGAAUGUGCGCCUAGCAUUGACAACUACAAAGAAAGGUACAUUGUCAAUUACUGAAUAUUAUGCCAAGAUGAGAUGGAGGCCUCUGGAAAGCCGCUAGAUGAUGAAGAACUUGUCGCGUAUAUCGUCAACGGAUUGGAUUCAGAAUUCAAUCCUGUGGUGUCGACGCUCGUCACAAGGGUCAAACCGAUCUCGGUUACUAAGCUCUACUCCCAGCUACUUAGUUUCGAGAAUAAGCUUGAACUCCAAGAUGGCUCAGGAUCCUCCAUCAACAACAUUGUUAGGGGCAGUCGAGGCUCUUCUGGAGGUCACAGUGGUGGGAGCCGUGGCCGUAGCUCUAGGCAUGGUGGCCAUGGUGGUUUUGGUCGCGGAUGCGGGAACCAGAACUAGCCGCGGCUCAAUCCAGGAAGCCAGCACCGCCCAUCUGGAAGCUCCAACGAUAGUCGCCCUCUCUGCCAGGUCUGCUUCAAGAAAGGGCACCUCAUCUCUGAUUGCUGGCAUCGCUACGACGACACUUACGUCCCCGAUGAGUGCCUCGUUGCUGCUGCCUUCAACAACUCCUACAGUGUGGAUACUAAUUGGUAUACCAACAUUGGGGCUACGGAUCAUGUCACAAGCGAGCUAGAGAAGCUCUCCUUCCGUGACAAAUACAAGGGAGGUGAACACAUUCAUACAGCAAGCGGCACAGCUAUGGAGAUCAAACAUGUUGGUCAUACUAUUGUUCCAACCUAUUCUAGAGAUUUACAUCUUAAAAAUGUCUUACAUGUUCCUCAAGCUACAAAAAAUCUUGUCUCCGUUCAUCGCCUAGCUAAAGAUAAUUCCGCCUUCAUUGAAUUUCACCCUGAUUAUUUUCUUAUCAAGGAUCAGUCCACGAAGAACGCGAUCCUUAGAAGGAGAUGUCACAAGGGUCUCUACCCUCUUCCUGCAGUGCAUCCAGUCAAGCAGGCGUUUGGAGUUGUCAAGCCAUCCCUUGCACGGUGGCAUAGUCAUCUGAGUCAUCCUGCUUAUCCCAUUGUUAGCAAGAUUGUUAGCAAUAAUAAUCUACCUUGUUUAGUUGAGAAUAAUAAAGAGUCUGUAUGUGAUGCUUGUCAAAAGGCAAAAAGUCAUCAAUUGCCUUAUUCUAGAUCAUCGAGUGUCUUUAGUUUUCCCUUAGAACUUAUUUAUUCAGAUGUCUGGGGUCCUGCACCCACUUCUACUGGAGGAAAGAAAUAUUAUGUUAGUUUCAUUGAUGAUUAUAGCAAAUUCACAUGGAUUUAUUUGCUCAAAUUUAAAUCCGAGGUUUUUCAAAAGUUUCAUGAGUUUCAAAGUCUAUUUGAAAGAAUGUUCGACAAAAAAAUCAUUGCUAUACGGACUGGAGGUAAGUAUCAAAAACUCCACACCUUUUUUGAUAAAGUCGGCAUCUCCCAUCAUAUUUCAUGUCCCUAUGCGCAUCAAUAGAAUGGUGCAAUAGAAUGCAAGCAUCGUCAUAUUGUAGAAGUUGGCUUAUCCCUUCUUGCCCAUGCAUCUAUGCCUUUGAAAUUUUAGGACGAAGCCUUCCUAUUAGGUACAUAUCUCAUAAAUCGAGUUUCUAGCAAAGUUAUUCACCAUGAAACACCUUUAGAACGUCUCUUUGAUCAAAAACUAGAUUAUUCUUCCCUUAGAACCUUUGGGUGUGCAUGCUGGCCCAAUCUUAGACCAUACAACAAGCACAAACUCGAAUUCAGAUCUAAGUAGUGUGCCUUCCUUGGGUACAGUCAACAUCAUAAAGCGUUCAAGUGUCUUGACAUAGCAUCAGGUCGAGUUUAUAUCUCCAGAGACGUCGUCUUUGAUGAGAUGGAAUUUCCCUUCUCCAAACUGCAUGAGAACGUAGGAGCUCGUUUACGCUCUGAAAUCUCCCUCCUUCCCUCCCAUCUUCUCAAUCCUUCUGUUGGGGUGGAACAUAUAGGUGACCACUUGUCUGAUUCUCCUAAUACUACAAAUGAUUCUGGUGAAAUUUGUGAAGAACAUGCUGCACGAAAUAACAGCAACAGAGCUGGUCCAAGCACAGCACACAAAGCUGAUUUAGCGCCGCUUCCAACUGACCAGGCCUCGGGAUCGCCAGGCGUAUCCGCGUGCAAUUCUGCACGUGAGUCCACUCCCACCACGUCACCCCCGAUCGCGCUUGACUCAUCCCUACCUACGCCUGCUCCCGCCUCUCCUCCUGGGCGCCAGUCCGUGCCCGCCAUGUCGGCAUCGCCACACGCUCUGCUCUAGUUGGGCGUGCUGGAGGGGCAUAAUGGCGCCAAUGAUAGUGCCAAUGAUGGCACCAAUGAUGCAGAUGGCAGGUGCAACGGUGAACCUAGAUCUUCUGCACCGAUGGAAGCUGCUGACUCUCCUGUUGAGUCCUCUGAUUGUCCAGUUCCGUCUACACCUAUGCGUCCUACUACCCGUCUACAACGUGGCAUCCGCAAGGAGAAGGUAUACACUGAUGGCACUAUUAAAUAUGGAUUUUUUACAUCAUCUGGUGAGCCGCAUAAUGUUAGUGAAGCUAUGACAAGUGCACAUUGGAAAGCUGCUAUGGAUGACGAAUGUAUGGCACUAAUGAAGAAUAAAACAUGGCAUCUAGUUCCAUCUAAGAAGGGUGUUAAAUGUUAUUGAUUGCAAAUGGGUAUAUAAAAUCAAAAGAAAAGCUGAUGAAAGUUUGGAUAGACAUAAAACCAGACUGGUUGCUAAGGGUUUCAAGCGAAUGUAUGGCAUUGACUAUGAAGAUACUUUUAGUCCUGUUGUUAAACCAGCCACUAUCAGGAUUGUUUUGUCUAUUGUUGUAUCUAGAGGAUGGACCCUCCAUCAACUUGAUGUACAUAAUGCUUUCCUUCAUGGUGUUUUGGAGGAAGAGGUUUACAUCAGACAACCUCCUGGCUAUGAGGACAAAUCUCUGCCUGGUUAUAUAUGCAAAUUAGAUAAAGCAUUGUACGGUCUAAAGCAAGCACCUAGAGCAUGGUACUCCAGGUUAAGUACAAAGCUACAUGAGCUGGGGUUCAAGUCAUCAAAGGUAGACACAUCCUUAUUCUUCUAUAAUAAAGGGGGAGUUAUUGUCUUCAUACUUGUUUAUGUAGAUGAUAUCAUUGUUGCUAGUUCAAGACAGGAGGUUGUGUCGGUUCUAUUAAAGAAUCUCAAUAAGGAUUUCACACUAAAAGAUCUUGGAAAGCUUCAUUACUUCCUCGGCAUAGAAGUGAAUCAGAUCCAUAAUGGAAUUAUAUUGACACAAGAGAAGUAUACGAAUGAUUUGUUACAACAAGUUGGUAUGAAAGAUUGCAAACCAGUUGCUACUCCAUUAUAUACCUCAGAGAAGUUGUCUCUUCAUGAAGGUAAUUUGUUUGGACCGAAUGAUGCCACAAAUUAUAGGAGUGUUGUAGGAGCUUUACAGUAUCUGACUUUGACUAGACCUGAUAUAUCAUAUUCUGUUGAUAAAGUCUAUCAGUUUCUACAUGCACCUAAUAUUGUGCAUUGGAUGGCGGUCAAGAGAAUUCUUAGAUAUCUUAAGCACACGGUCAAGCUUGGUUUAAAGAUUUGCAAGUCUUCUUCUUUGUUGGUGAGUGCUUUCUCAUAUGCUGAUUGGGCAGGGUGCCUAGAUGACAGACGAUCUACUAGAGGAUUUGCAGUAUUCUUGGGGACGAAUCUAGUUUCUUGGAGUGCUCGAAUACAAGCAACUGUGUCAAGGUCUAGCACUGAAGCGGAAUAUAAAGCAAUAGCUAAUGCGACUGCAGAAACAAUGUGGAUACAGACUUUGUUGUAUGAAUUGGGCAUAGAUGUGCCGAGGAUAGCCAAGCUUUGGUGUGACAAUAUUGGAGCUAAGUAUCUUUCUGCGAAUCUAGUCUUCCAUGCUAGAACUAAACAUAUAGAAGUCGAUUAUUACUUUGUAAGAGAAAGGGCGGCUAAGAAACUACUUGAUAUCGAGUAUAUAUCUACAAAGGAGCAGGUGGCUGAUGGUUUCACAAAGCCAUUGACGAUGCGGCAGCAGGAGUUGUUCAAGAACAAUCUGAACCUAGAACGGUUGAGGGGGAGUGUUAGAGAUGAAGAGUUUGGUUGUAAUUGGAAUAGGAUAUCUGGAAGAUUAUCUUUGGCCGGCUGCUAUUCUAGUUGUAACAGAUAUGUAUUUGUAAAUUAGUUUAGCCAAAGGUAUAUACUAAAGAGGUCCUAUAUAUUGUAAUUUCCUGUGUGCUAUUUUGCACAAUAUUAUAACACGCAACCGUUGCACCCUUAAGGUUGGGGCAACGUUCCACGCAGUGCAAGUGCCUCUGUUAUCUUUCAGGGAAGACCUACCAGUCUCUGGCGAAAUCAGUCAGUCUCCUUGUAUUGUUUGCAUUGGCUUGUAGUCCCUCAGUCCAAAAUUACUAUUUUUUUUGGCAUUUGUAGGUACAUAUUUUGAGACGGAAGGAGUAGGUUGGUAGUACAGAGAUUUCUUAUAAUUUUCCGGUCUCCCCUUGGACGUUGAUUGACGCGAACAUGCAUCUGGAAUGCAGCGUCUAAUAUCAGGUCCAAACUGCUACUCAAUCGUUCUAAUAUCAGGUCCAAACUGCUACUCAAUCGUUCACCGGGUAAAGACAUAAUGUGAAGACCGCAUCUAAGUCGUUCAAGGGCCACAGGUCGUCGGCGUUAUUCAAGUGUACGCAGAGACCUUGCUUUCAGGGGAACAUUCAGCUCCAAAUAAACAUGCCUUUCUCAGAGAACAUGUAUGGAAUUCCCAUAACAAUUUUGCAUAACAUUUCAUUCUUUACAACCUGAAGAGCAUAUAUCUUAGAAUACAGACACGUGUUACACAAGAACACAAUUAAAACACCUUCCACGUAUCUACAUAUACUUAAAUAUGCCACUGUUGCGACAAUAGAUGUCACGGAAAUUUUUAUCUUGCAAAUUCUAUGCAGUUAUCUGUCCAUAUUGAUUUCAUCUUGCAAACUCUAUGCUCAUCGAGGCUUUCUUCUGGAGGAUGUAAUAAUCUGUGCUUUCUUCACUAGUAUAGUCACCCGAUGAAUUGUCAGACGACCGUCCCUGCAUCAUGAGUGCACUAACACCAUGAAACCCUUGAGUGCGAAGUGGUACUGGACAUGCCAAUCGCUGGAGUUCCUCUGCUACCUCUCUCAUCAUUGGCCUGUGUUGACCGGUCAUGGCCAAGCACCGACUUGCUACCGCAGCCACUUGAAGUAUUAACUCCAUGUUUUCUUGAUUGUCUAUCUCCCUAUCUAUGAGUUCUGUAAGCUUGCCCUCCUUUACACCUUCCAUGAAGACAAACACGAGGCUUACCUUUGUUUUGGACAGUGCCCUCCUUCGUGUUAAGAGCUCCAAAAGAACAACACCAAAGCUGUAAACAUCACUCUUAUCAGUAAGCUCAAAGUUCAAAAGGUACUCUGGAUCUAAGUAGCCCAUCGUCCCCUACACUACUUGAACAUUUUCAUCAGCUGACCUAAUCAUGGAGCACCCAAAAUCAGAAACUUUUGCAGAGAGAUCAUGGCCUAGAAGAAUAUUAACGGACUUGGCAUCUC